rnacentral:lncRNA from 1 species
UUCCCUUAGUUUCACAACUUGCAGUUUACUGCUUUUUAGUUUAGUUGGGUAUGCUUUUAUGGCAAAUACAAUUUGAAUGUUUUCAUGUUUGAGAGGGUGGAAGAAUUGACUCUGAUGUCUUUUUAGUAUCCAGCAAAAUCAUCAAUCUAUUGUAGCAUUGGAAAUAGAUAAGAUGUCCAAACAAUGCAUGAUCCUGAAGCAAUGCAUCCACUUUCCUCAAGGUGUUUCCCACUGCCUGCGAAACACAAGAUCUAGUUCAGGAGCACUGCUGCUUCCUUUUCUUCUUCCACCAGUUUUACAGAUGUCCUUAGUUUGCUUUUUGAGCACAAACAUCCUGCAUGACAUGACUGUUAAUAUUCUUGAUCAUCUAUUCUAUUGUUUGUAGUUUUGUCCCUUGAGUGCUCACUGAGAGGAUACAUAAUUUUUUUUUUUUUACGACACGGGGGUAUCCGGGUAUUCGAUCUGACUAAUUCCCCUGUGGUUCGGGAAAGGGCACCAUAAUCCACUCCGAGCACGGUAAUUAUAGGACUCGAACAUUGAUCAAUGUUUUAAAGAAGGACUACAUGACCGGCCGAGCUACCGUGGGGUGAAAGGAUACAUAAUUAAGUAGACAAAUUUGUAAACGGGCUUUCCGCAAUGUGUUAUUAGACUUGAUAGCCAUUCAUGAUUGUAGAAUUGCAAUUGCAUAAUUAAGUGAGUUACACUUGUACCACUUAAGCCUCCUUUUCUUGGAAUUUCCCAAUUUUAAAGUACAGUUUGCUAAACAAUAGACUUGGAGGAAGAAAAAACCAUUUUCCCUUAAAAUUGAUGGACUAGAUGACAAAUUUGAUUUUAGAUCAGAAAAAAGUGAAAAGCAUAUAGAAAUGCUGUUUAGAAAAUGAUAUCCAUGAGGGAAGAGGUCGCUUGUCAACUAACAGCACAUUCAUUUCCAAAGCAGAUUCUGUCUUUUCCUACAUGAGAACACGAGUUCUUUUAGGAAAUGGAUCCAAUAACCAAUCAUGCAGAAUCUAGAAGAAAGUGGCCUUAUUGUUAAUUUCUUUGAUUACCGGCCAUUUUCUUUGCGCUAUCAUCAGGGUUCAGGUCCAGUAGGUGACCUGUCCCACCUAACCCAUCAUUACCACCAAUUGCAAUAAAAUCUGUACUCUUUCUAUCAAUUAAUGUCAUCCAAGUAGAGCCCGGGGAUAAGCAGGUGCCAAACAAACAAUUUUUGGAUUGAGUAUUAUUUGGAAUAUUAUUUGAAAUAAUUAUUGUAGUAUUAUUUGUGAUGUGAUAUAUGUGAGAUAAAAAGGUGAUUGAAAAUAUAAAAAAGUGAGUUGAAAAAUAUGUUUAUAAUGCAAGCGAAAUAUUAUUUUGGAUAAUUUCACUGUCCAAACACUGUUCAAAUUUCAUUUGAUUUCGUACAAAGUUUUGAAAAUAUUUUCUUAGAACUUGUCUUAAAAUAUUUUCUUAAAUGAAGUAAUCGUGACCAAGAUUUUAUCUCACUGAGUUUGAACGAGUUUUUAUGUGCAACAACAGUCAGUUUUAUAUUUUUGAGUCGAGUUAGAAAAAUCAACGAAUACUUACGUUUGGAUUGUAAUUUUUCAAAAAAAAAAAAUUUAUUACGUUUUUCGUGAACACAUUUUUCAAUCACUUUUUUAUCUCACAAAUAUCAAAUAACUACAGUAAUUUUUUUACAAAAAGUUCCAAAAAAAUGCAACCCAAACAAAACAUCAAAUCUUGUGCAAGUUUAUUGUCCUCACUCAAUUGACCAGCUCUAAAGUCUUAUAGUAAAACAUAUUGGGGCAUGAACGCUUUGUGAAUCGACCAUAUAAUUGGUAAACGAUUAAUAGGAGGGGCAAAUUCUUAAGUCUCUAAAACUUAAGAUUUGUGUAAUGUCAAAGUUAAUGAGAGGUGAGAAACGAAACAUAAAAAGAUAAAAUCGAUAUUUCUUAAUGAUGAAUUGCUUAUGUAAAGAGUUGAGAGUUAUCUUUGGACAAUGUCGAAUUCGUACUAGAAUAUGAUGUAUAGAAGCACUAUACAUUCUAUUAGCGUAAAAGCUUGUUCAAACUUUCAUUUUCUAAAGGCGCAGUCAAUGCGUUUGAAUAGCAAUAUAUUUUUGUUAAAUAUUAUUUUAUUGACAUCACGAUUUCAAUUUUUAAUCAUAAUAAUAAUCUAUUCAUCUUUUAUAUAUAUAUAUAUAUUAUAAAAAGUAUUACGGUAAUAACUUCUUUAUCCAAAUAUAUUGGAUCAAUUAUUUUUGAAAAAUUUUACUAUAACAAUAUAUAUGAAAAAUUUUUACUAUAAAUAUUUUUUAAAAUAUUUAAUAUAUUGUAUAGAUAAAUUAUUUUUAUUCAUGUAUUAUUGGAAUAUUAUAUUUAAAAAAUUUAUUUUGAAAAACAUGACUAAUGCAAACAGACCAUAAAGGAAACUCUCACAAGCAUCCAGAUUCCAUACACAUUCAAUUGUGUUUUUUCAUAGUAGCCUACCUAAGUAUAGUUACUGACUACUCCUUGUGGCCACAUGAUAUCACUUGUCCACACUCGGCUUACUUUAAUUAUGCCAUCUCUCUUUCACACACACACACAAAAAAGAGAACUUUCCUGAUUUCUGAACGUCCUUGCUUGCUUAUCACUUCAUCAGUUCAGUUUUCUGACUAGGUUGCAACCCUGUUUGCACCUUCUUCUACUAGCCAAAAUCCAAGAUCGAAACGGGACAAAUAAAACUCUGCUAAAAAUGCGAGGUGGUGGAUCUGGAGCUGGAAGCUUACUUAAAGUUUUGGCCAACAACUUUGAUGUUCUUGCUUGGUACCAUCAAUUAAACCGUUUUUCCCGUCAAUUUUCACUUAUUAUUACAGCUUUUGGACUCACAUUUAUGGUUUUUUAGUACAUAAGAAUUUGUGGGUUUUACUUUCCUUUUCUUGGAUAGUUAAUUAAUUUCCUGAAGACGGUCUUUUUAUUUCUUUUUGUUUUUUUUUUCCUGUUGUUUUCUUAAAUACUAGGCUGGAGCCUAGAUGGGCUAAUAUUAUUUAUCCAAAGGGUUUCUCUAAUUUUGUUAUGUUUGUUUGAUAUUGCAGGCCUGUGGUUAGUUUGGUGUAUCCUCUGUAAGUGGGUCAUUUGGAAAUCUGAAUGUGUGAUUCAAAUUCAUAGUAUUUCUUCUUUAUUGUGUUUCCUUAAAUUUGAAAGAUUGAAAUUUUUUUUUAAAAUUUUUGAGACUAUCUGUGUAUGUUAAGGAUUUUUGAAAUGGUUGCAUUUAUUGUGAUUAUUUUGGCAGUUAUGCUUCCAUCAGGGCAAUUGAGACCAAGUCUCCUGUAGAUGAUCAGCAGUGGCUGACUUAUUGGAUUCUCUACUCCAUGAUCACCCUGUUUGAGCUUACUUUUGCAAAAAUCAUUGAAUGGUAAUUCUCCUUUUGGGGCAGACAUUUGACUAUCAGUAGAAAUCUUUUCCCGUUCUUUGGGAUUGAACUUCCCUUCAUAGCCUUUUAUCAAAGCUUAUUUUGCGGAUUUAUAGCAAAGCUAAAGUGGACCAUUUAGCUGUAUACCUGUUCAAGUUUUGAACUUUAUGCUGAUCUGUACUUAUGGAUUUAAGUUUACAUUGUUGAUCUGCAGAAUUCUGUUACCCAAAUGAGGUGUGUCGGUUCAUUAAAUUGUCUGAGGCUAAGGAGAUUGUGAAAGGAUAAUUCAAGAGAUGGGUGUAAUUGAUUUUGUCACCUGUGGACUAAAAUUUCACUGGUGACGGUAGAAGUUGGAUAGCUUCUUUUUAAGAUCUUAGUACUAGCACUGAACUGCCUGCAGGGUUCACAAUGGAGAUUUUAGGGGACAGUUUUAAGUUUUAAUAAUUCGCGAUUGGGGAGGAAGGGGGAGGUUUGGGUUGAGUUGAAUGACAAUUCCGGUAAGUAAUGCUUUGGGAGAAUUAUACUGACUGUUACUACCAUUUCUUCCACAUAAUUGGGCUUGCUAUUUAUAGCCUGCAAACCAUCUGAGUAUCCCGUCGGGGGUGAAUUGAUUAUAUUGCUCUCCACACCACUGGACAAAAAACAUAUCUUCAUUAUAUCUCAUGUUUUAAGCCUUGAUCUUUGUUUUCAACAGGUUGUAGGUUUCAGCAUUGUCUAUCUGGAAAAUUUUUUGUUCAUUAUUGCUUUCAUGUUUUCUUUUAUGGAUUGAGAUCAAUCUAGAGAUUUAAAAGUGUGAUUUUUCUGAAGGUAUUAUGUUGUGGUUUUGAUACAAGUUGGUGAAUUGCAAAUUUGUAUUUGUCCUGCACCAGCGUACAUGUGAGGUCAGAGGAUGUUGAGUACCUUUUUAAUUUUUUACCCAAUCUUCUGGCGCUUCACCUACUCUAUUGCUCUGGCUUGCAGUAAAGAAAGCGGCUUGCCAAAAAUUUGAUUUUCUGUCAUUUACUCAAUAAGUAGUUUGAACAAGGGAGGAACCAAUUGCUUUAGGGGGAAGUGAUGGCUUGCAGAAAAUAAAAAAGAUAAUGGAACUUAGAUUCCUUAAGGAUUUUAUGGAUUGCAUUGAUUGAAAUGACUUCACCAAAAUGACUCAUUGUGCUUUGUAUCUAACCAUUAUCGUUGGGCUGUUGCUUCAAAAACUUGUGGUUUAGGAGGAGAAAGCAGACAAAGUGAAGGUCUAGUUUGUCCCUCAAAAGUCUACAUCUGUGUCUUAAAAUUCAGCAUUUUAUAUGAGUUUUGGUGGUGAGGAUCAAAGACAAGUUCAAGUCAUGUCCUCUUUCACUUUCCCCAUGGUUGUGGGGCUUCAUGUGUUUCUAUCAGCUGUUUACAAACUUUUACCUUCUUUUUAAUUGGUACUUUUUUAAAAAUACCAAGGAAACUUAUAUGUCUUUAUUUGCUAUGUACUCAAAUAUUAUGACUCAGUGUGGAUCUUAUUGAUUGUAUAACCACCAUUUCGUUUUUAGGUAAACAGCUACAGGUGCAGUAGAAUUUGCUUUUUGUUUAGCUUGGAACUGCUUAAAUCUCAGGGCAAUUCAAAUUCAACUUAAAAGGCUUGGUUUCAACUUAAAAGGCUUGGAAUUUGCGUGUUAGAAUCUGCAUUUCUAUCAUGGCAUCGUGUAUAAAUUAGUCAUAUUUUCUGAAUUUUCUAAAGCAGCAUUAUGUUAAGAGCUUGCUCAAAGUUUACCUUCUCAUAAUGCCAGGAUCCCUAUCUGGUCUUAUGCAAAACUGAUCUUGACCUGCUGGUUGGUCAUGCCAUACUUCAACGGAGCUGCCUAUGUCUACGAGCACUUUGUUAGGCCUACCUUUGUUAACCGACAGCCCGUCAACAUUUGGUACGUUCCACGGAAGAAGGAUGUCUUCAGUAAGCCAGACGACAUUCUCACUGCAGCUGAGAAAUACAUUCAAGAACACGGAACAGAAGAAUUUGAGAAGAUGAUUCACAGGGUAUGUUGACUAAUCUUUCUUCCAUAUGUUUCAUUGUACCCUUUUUGAGAGCAAGUGAGCAAUGCAUUCCUGGCGAUGCAGUCCUAACGUAAAAUUAUCUGUUAUGGCAUUCUUCAUGGUUUAUUUUGGCAGUUCUUGCAGUUUGAACUAAUUUUCGUUCGAGUAUCAGAAUCAUGUUGCUAUUUUGUUCAUGCAGACUGAUAAGAAUACGACGUACAGCAGCAAUGACUACAAUAACUACAGUUUUUACGACGAUGACUACAGAUACUGAUCCGUACUGGACUUAUGGCGUACGGAUCUUAAAGGGUGUUAUUGUUGCCAUCUACCCUAGUAUGUUUAUGCUGUUGUAAAGAGUUUUGUUGCUGAUGCUUCCAUGUUUUGUCAAGUGGUACCAUGAGUCUACGGUGUUUGUAUUAUUAACUGUGGCUAGUGUUGUACCAUCCUUCUUGGAACUAAUAAUAGUAGAGAACCUUCACCUGCAUAUUUGGAUUCUUGGUUAUCUCUAUGCAUUAGAUGUUGGUGUCAUUUUGAUGUAGCAUAAAUCAUGUAAUCACCCUCUUCUUGAAUCUCAUCCUGAAAGCAUGAGUCGUUAAUAUGAAGGAGCUGCACACAUAUUAAUAAAGUCAAAGAAGAUGUGAGGAAUCUGAAUCUGAUAAAUGUGUUGCAGCACAAAUUUUGUGUGUAGAAAAUCUUGCCAGUGAAUUAAACUCAUUAAGCUGUCGAGUUUGUGCAUGGUGAUCAUUAAAGUGAUGGAUCUAAGCUUGAUUCUUCUUUUAUUAAAAAUUGUUAUCGAAUCACUCAUGCUUGACUCUUUUAUGGAAAUUUCACCAAUUAUCAACGUAGAAACACAUUUUUUGACAAUCCAACACCUGGAAUCCUGGAUUGUACACUUUUUUUUUUUUGGAUUGAACUCUUUUUUUGGAAUCCUGGAUAUGAUGAAUUAGUGUAGAAAAGUAAAAAUUCUAAAACAUGCCAUGCCUAAAAAUACGCCAUGGGGUGGGCCUCAUAAGUUUCAUUUCAUGCAAUUUGAGAGUAAAUUUGUAAUUUUUAAAGGAUUAAUCUUUUAUACACAGACAGUGUAUACACCAUCACCAUUGAAUGCAUGACAACUCAUCUGAAUUUAAAAUUAAAAUUAAAAAUUUAUUUAUGUGUUAUGCAUCCAAUCGUAAUAGUGUAUGCACUGUCAGUGCAUGUAAGAUUUAUUCAUUUUUAAAUUGCAUCAAACUGUAUCAGAUUAUCUUUAAAUGGAUUAAUUUUUUCUACACUGACAGUGUAUAUACUAUCAACGUUGGAUGAAUGACAACUGUGUAAAUUUUGAAUUUGAAAUUUAACUGUUGCACACGUGUUAUGAAUUUAACGGUGAUAGUGUAUGUAUUGUUAGUGUAUAUAAAAUUUGCUCUUUUAAAAUUAUAUCAAUCUGUAUCUGAAUUAUACCAAACGGUAACAAACAAACUUUAUUUGACUUGCACUUGAAUCUAACUUGUUUACAUCUAAAAAUCUAAUUUAUUUACACCAAACUCUUUUAACUUUUAAACCGAAAUUCUAAUAGUUCAUAGCAGAGAAAAACUUGUACGAAAUUGUGUUAACACAAUCCAUGCGCCACUGGUUAUAAUAAUGUUUAGUGGUUGCUGAUGCUUAGGUAGUUAAGGCUGUUCAACUGAAAAAGAAAUUGUAACAUAAAUACGUACAUGGGUCGCAAUUUGCAUGAGGAAACUGUUGAAACUUUGCGAUAGCUUAGAGAAAAGAACAAGCAAAAGCAAGGAAAAUAGGGGCAUUCCGAGAAUUGAACUCGGGACCUCUCGCACCCUAAGCGAGAAUCAUACCACUAGACCAAAUGCCCAUUGGUGCUUUGCCAGCUAAUUUACCGAUUCACAACUUAGUGCUGUCUUCUCGAUUAAUUUCUAUUUUAUUUUUGAAUAAAUUUUAUAUACAGCAAAAGUUAAAUUUCAAUUCAAAGUUUGUGUGAUUAUCGUUUUCAAAAUUUGCAUAAUUAUCGUUCAUCCAACGCUACUACUGAUGGUGUAUACAUUUAAAAAGAAUUGCUUGCUUUUUUUUUGAGAAGGCAGAGGUGGAAAAUUUCUGGAGUUAAGGAUCUCUCUUCAUUUAAACUGCCCCAUGUCUGUUAUUCGAGGCUCCUGCACUAUGAUAGAGUCCACAAUAGAGUCUUCCUCCAUUUCAGUACUACUAACAUCAGAUUUCUUAGUAGUUGGCACAAUUUUCUUGUUCACUGCAUUUUCCUCUGGAAUCCAGACUGUUUUAGUGUGUAAAUUUUUUUGGACAAAACUUCUCAAUAUAACCAAAAUUUACUACAGCCCUUACACCAUUGGGGCAGCCAUUUAUAGUCCACCUUUUAAGCACCAAUUUCUCCAGCGGAACUACAAAACUUACUUCAGAAAUGUAGGAGUUUACCUGAACCAAGCCCAGCGAACUAUUUCGAGGACUCGAUCACUUUGCACGGUUUUGACCUCACAACUAUAACUUGUCCCAAAUAAAUCAUUGAACCAAAAAAAAAUGCAUAGUUUAAUUUUUUUUUUCACUUAGGAGGUGUCCCAGCCUUUUUUUGCCUAGACUAAUCUUUCUAAGGCCAGCAGAAUCCUGCCAAGGAUGCCAGCAAUUUUACCACAGCGGGGGUCAAACAUGGGACCUUACCGUAAAGACGGACUUAUCAAUCCCAAUCGAGCUACCUGUGGGAGGCUCAAAUGCUUAGUUUAAUAACUUCCAUCAAUUCUGAGCGUUAAAUGUAACGGAACUAGGGAUAAAACUAUCAACUAAUAACAUGGAGUUUAAUUUUAAUGUUUCUUCCUCUUCUUUCAUCUUUCAUCUUUUCUAGUCCUAAUUUGUUGAAAUAAUCAUUCAACGAAACCUUUUAGAUUGUUUUCUAGUCUUAAUUCCGUGACACCUAAUGGUUAAAAUUGACGGAAGUUCUUAAGAACCUAAGUUUCUUAUUGGUUCAAGGAUCUGUUUGUGAUAAUUUAUAGUUGACGAGUCAAAAUGGUAUAAAGAUAAUAAUUUAUAUGCUAUCUGAAAAGCUUCAUUUAUUUACAUAGAGCUCACCAGAUGGAUGGCAUAGUACAAUCUGAGCCAUUGAUUCUUUGAAUAUUGGAUCUAUUCAAGUGUGAGUCUUUAUUUAUAUAUAUAUAGAGCUUACCCAAAAAAAAAUGAAAAAGAAUAACAAUUUUGUAGGCACCCAAAAAUCAUCAUAUAAGCACGCGUCUGGUCACCGGUGGGCUGCAGAAACUGGCGGGAAUCCACGUGAUUGGAGGCAACACCUGAGAUGCUGAUCCCCCCUAAUCCAAUCACUAAGCUAAAUUACAUAAAUAGCCCUACCUAUUCCAACAGAUUCAGAUUCUGUAGCUGACGUGUCCCCACGCAAAAAAUCCCCUGGACCCAAAACCGAAAAACAAAUUGACAAAAAUAGGAAAAAAAAACAGUUGAAUUCCGCGAGGGAAAAAAAAUACAUACAACACAGCUAUAUAUAGACAUCGGAAAUGAGACAGAGAGAAAGACUUGCUCAGUUGGAAAUUUUGCUCUGUGCAGGAAGAAUUUGAUUCCAUCACAAGCUUCAUCAUCGUCGUUCUCGCCGGAGGGGGAAAAAAUACCUCCGCUGCAUAGAUUUCGAUAUAUUCAAUUUCGGCAAUUUCAGAGCUCGUAAUCACCUCGGAUUCGUCACGUAUUCGGAGCAGCAAGUUACCCUUUUUUUUUCAGCUUCUUCUAGGUAAAUGCAUUAAUGACUAUCAAUGCCGUUAUUGUACUGAUUUCUUCAUUUACGCAUUUAGUUUUUUUUUAAGAAGAGAGAAACUGGAUUUAGAAGAUUAAUUGUUUGGAUAAUGCUGUUUAGUGAUCUUUAAUAAUGUGUGUUUAUCUGAAUAAUUUUUGAACAAUCCCUAGCUGCUGUUGCUGUUUGAAGUUAGGAAAAGUGAUUUUAGCGCUGGUUUUUUCCAAUUUCUUAUGGCACAGUAGAAGAUUGAAGGAAACUGUAGUGAUUAAUGUAUGUUCUCCGUAAUGUUUUGAUGUCGAUGUUUUCCUCUUUUUUGUUUGUUUCAGCUGUUAUUUGUGCAUAUAUAUUGCAUAAAGUAUCACUAUUUUGAUUUCGCGGAUUUAUUUUUCUGAUUUAGUCCUGGAAACGUAUAUAGUGUUUUCUCUGUACCUAUGAUGUAUCAUUUUAGUGUUUUUUUUAAUGGUUUUUUUUCGGUCAAAAUGGUAUACUUUUUAUUCUAGUAAAUAGAAGUGCAAUACUUUUGACGGAUCUUAGAGAUUGAACUGUCUUUGUCAUAGUUAGAGUGGUGUUCAUCCAAGGUUCUGUUUCUAAGGAUAGCUUAUGAUUCCUUAGCAGGAUACCAAUAAUCUAGAUCCACUAGUAUUGGAUGAAAACUACGAGUUUGUAGUGGUUCUUCAUAUGGUUUUCAGUUUUGUAAUUUCUAAAUUUUAGGAAUUUAAAUGAUGCCAGGGAGUUUCAGUAAUAGAGUUUUGAGGUACCUGAGCAUGUUCAUUUGUGAUCUAUGAAUGAAACUAGUAGGGAACAUCAAUGAUGUAAAUACACUGGAUUUUGGUUGUUUUUGUUUACUUUUGGACUGUAGAUUUGAUUACUUUAUUCCGACUUAUCACCAUUGGUAACCUGCUCCACCUAUCAUUUAGAUUUUCUGUGGAAAUAAUACUAGAUGAGAACCGAACACGUAUCCAAGGAUAAUAGCAUUUCAAGAUUUCUUUGGAGGAAAAUUUGGCUCUUUUUUCUCAUGUUCUACAGGCAUGGCAUUGUAUAGAUGGUUUUAUCUGCUCGAAGCACCAAGCUUGAUGUAGCAGCUUAAAUGACUAACUUACAGCGAAACAGUGUUGCUGAGAGGAACAUUGAUCAGGUAAUAAGUUUUCGCCAUGUCUUGGGUAUAUAUGUUUUGAAGUUUUUCUGUUGCACUAAAUGAGAAAGAAACUUUCAGCUCUCCAUUUAAUAGUACAAUGACCGGAUUGAAUGACUUACAUACAAGCUUUUUCUCUACAAGUAUGGUUUUCUCCCUUCGUGAAGUUUACAGAUCUGACUCUUGUCGCUGCUACUAGAUUAUAGAGGAGUUAGAAUUUGACAAUUACAUCAUAAAAUUCGUUUACAAUUCUUAUCUUCAACAUGUCGUUCCAUAAUAGGAAAAGAUAUAAUUCCCUAAUUUCACAUCAAGAUAUUGUUGCUUAUAAGAGUUUAUAUGCUUGAUGAAUUUUAAAUGAGAGUUUAUAUGCUUGAUGAAAGUCAAAAUGAAUCUAUGAAACACAGACUUUAUUUACAGCUGAACUAAUCUGCAGUCUGGUUUUUCCUUUGGUUUUGAGGUGAUAGUCAUUAAGUGGAGACUGUGGCAGACUGGUCAGAUUAGUCCCUGUUCUAACUUAGUGUUCAGCUGGUGAAAGAGAAUCAUUCAGAAAACUAAAUAAAACAUAGGAAGACCUUCCUGGCCAAAUUCAGCUCCUUAUUUCAUUUUGUGCAUCAUAUAUUUCUUAAUGUUUGUCUUCAAAAACUUGAUGACAAUCUAGUACUGACUACUUUUAAAUCUAUUUUUGUUUUUAUUUUUUUUAAAGGAAAUAUUCCAAAUUCUAACAUUGAGUGAUUGCUUUAACCCAAAUUCUUUAGUUUGGUGGUGGUUCAUUCAUAUUCAUUAUCUGUUGUGUACCUGGUUCUUUGAUGGGGAUUUUCGAAGUUGAUUUUUGCUUGUUAACUGCAGGCUAUUACAGCAUUGAAAAGAGGCUCGUAUCUACUAAAGUAUGGCCGCAGAGGGAAGCCAAAGUUUUGCCCUUUUCAGCUCUCUAAUGUAAGCUCCAUUGCACUCAUAUCCAGGAGUAAUUUGACUUCAAUUGAUUGCUAGUGUAUGGAUGCUAUUCUAAUUUUAGGUUUCCUAAAUUUCAUUUGAAAGUGUUUUUAAAACAGUGAUUUAAUUAUUGCAAACUUGGUUUAUCUGGCAUUCAAUUUUCAGUCCAUACAUAAUUCUGAAAACUAAUAUUAGAAGGUUUCUUGAUGGCUCCUUUCUGUAUGUCACUGAAAUUUGAUUCUAGGACAUAGGUUGCUUGUUAAUCUCUUGUAGGGAUCCCUGGUCGAGGGAAAGGGAUCCAGGUGGGGACAGCUUGGUUACUCCCAAGCCAUCUACUGCUCGAUUAGUUUCUGGGUUGGGUCCCCCCCCCCCCUCCUCUUCCUAUUCUUGAUGAACCACAAAAUAAAAAAUAAUAAGAGGUUGCAAAUAAUUUUCGGACACAGUUAGGAUGAUUUUAGGGGCUUCUACAACCAGGAUGAGCCCUUCUUCUAUGAUUUUGUCGGAUUUUACAACCAAAUAGGGUCCUAUAUCUAAUUUUUUGGUUUUUAAUUUCUUCCUCAUGUUCCAUUUUUCUUCACACCUGUAGCCUCCUAUAAAAUGUGCAUAAUGAGGCUUUCAGACACUUCUUUAACAAACUUGGCUCACAUACAUGCAUUUCAGGAUGAGACAACACUAAUAUGGUUUGUUGGUAAGGAGGAGAAACAGCUUCGACUGAAUCAUGUUUCACGAAUUAUACCUGGACAGCGUACUGUAAGUUUGUUCUAUGUGCAUCUCUUGCUUGUAUUUACCAUUAAUUUUGAAAGCUUUGAGUGCUGUGCUGUGGUUUACCACCAGAGAGAGAAUGAAAAUAUGAAUUGCAACAGAAGAAGUCAUAUCUACUUUGGUUUCUUAGAGUUUGAAGAUCUUGCUUCGAAUUAAAGUUCCUUUUACUUUGGAUUAGCUAAAACACAAUAAAGAGUGGAGCCAUAUGAAACAUAACAUGCAGGGUUUGACACUUUCAAGAUAGUCUCAAUCUUCCCAAUUAUGGUUGGACUCAUAUGUAGAAUUUGCCAAUGAUAUUUGACAUUUAAAGAGCAUGAUGUAAUACCAUAUUUGGAGACCUAUGUGCAGAGGCCUAUUUAGCAUAUUGUUGACAGCGGUUAAAUUAAAAUCCUAGGCAGAUAUAGCUGUUUGUGAAUUUUUAGAUUACCAAAAGUAUGCUUACGCUCUAUGAUAUUCAGCCAUCUGUUUGAAAGAAAACUACAAAAGAUGCUGCGUAAUGUGCUCUGUUCAAUAAGCCUACAAAAUAAGCUUUAGGCAUAGGGAAGUGAACUCAACCAAUCAUUCGCAUGCUUGAUUUUCUGAUAACAAGUCUGCAGUUUAUGCAUCAUGUUGCACAUAAUGAUUUCUACUCUGAUGCAUUUAGUACCAUUGAGUGUUGAACCGGUCAUGCAACUUUGCAUGAGUAUUUGUCAUGAAUCUAUCUUGAGCUUGUCCAACAACUGACUUGGUCGCUUACAACUAUCAAUAGAGCAUAAUCAUUGCAGCAUAUUCUGACCACCUCUCUGGAUUUGGUUCUUGUAUCCUGCUUCGGCAUCCUGUUAAUCUUUACUAGCAUCUUAUCCUCCAGUUCCACUAAUCAGCCUUGAUACAACCAUGUCACUUAGUGAUUCCCCUGCUGCUUAGUUUUUCCCUUAGUCCUUAUGCUGAUUGUCUUAUGAAGGCAAUUUCAGUUCAUUCUACAUGAUCAUGGAUGUUAUUUCUGUUUUAGUACAACAAGUCUGCAUGAGUGCAUCAGUUGUAUUAAUGCUGUUUCUGCUGCAUCUCUCAUGUACUUUGUUGACUUUCAUAGGAUGCUUGUCCUUUUUUUUUUUUAACUUGGAUUAAGAUCAUAUCUAGCAGGUUUAGGUGAGACUAAAAAAAAAAAAAACCAAUAGAUAGUGUUUGCAUUUAUGUAACAAUGAGAGCUCGGUGCCAUCUAUUAUCCCUGAAACAUUAUCUAUCAUUAACUUGAUUUGACAGUUAAAUUCAGAUUAUAUCACUCAACUUCUGCCACAUCCACGGUUCAAUUGACUCAUCUUAUGGUUGUUUUUGCAGGAUGUAUUCCAACGUUUUCCUCGACCUGAAAAGGAAUAUCAAUCAUUUUCUCUUAUAUAUGGAAAACGAUCCUUGGAUCUGGUAGGCAAAUUAAUUUGUUUUUCUUAGAAGGACUCUCAUGUGAAUACCUUAAUUUUGACCUUCUAAUCAAGGAUUAAUUGUACAUAUCUGCACUGGCACAUCCUUUGAGUAAUUCGGAUGGCUUUCAAACCUUGCAAAUCAUCUAUAUGUUGAAACCAAGAUGAAUAAUAGGGGAUUUCUCUUUUCUGAAAGGGAUUCUGUGACAUGUUAAAAAAAGUUAGGAGGUAGAAGGCCUUGCGAAAAGGGACCAGGUACUUAAUGAUCACCAUGGGCGAUCAUUUUGAGGCAUGUUUUGGUUCGGAUUGGGGAUACUGUUUAGUUUUUUGAACAGUCUAGAUUGACCCACAUACACCCUCUUCCAUACAGUGAAUUAAGCAAUACUUUGGAGCAUCAUAUUAUAGCUCAAUCCUUCAUAUCAUUGAGGUGGCAAUUUCACAAAAACCCCAUCCUCCAUUUCACGAAUCAUUGCACAAAAAAUUGCAUCUCCACCCUUUCCAGGUGGAACUAUGAAGAUGAAUAUUUGGCUGAUUCAAAGUAGAUGGAGUUGACUUAGUAACAAUCAUGAGAAUUUAGAGGUAAAAGAAACUAGGACAUGAAGUGGAAAAGCAAUUAUUGUAGUUUGCUAAUGAAUCCUUUCUAAUGUCUAUACAAAUUAACCAAGAGUGACAUGGUUUUGAACGAAAAUGUUGACAAAUUGAAACAUGUAAGAAGCAGAUAGCAAAUAUAGCACCGAAAUAAUAGAUUAAGUAGCUAAGCAGAUGGGUAUGAGAUUGGUUUUUGGUAUCACAUAAGGACAUGCUAAUUCCCGGGCCACUUAUUGUACUAGUUUAGAAAAUGAAUUUUGCUCUUAAAAUACUUACUUCCCGUUAUCCGACUAGAAACAAGGAUCUAUUGUACACUUAAGUUGAAAUGGCACACAGCUUUUAGAGGGCAAAAAGAAAUUUGGAAAAGCUUCAUACCUACAACUGACCUGUUGAAUUUUAAUAUUGGUGACAUGCAUAUCAGAGUUUUGUUUCCUUCUUGCCAUUGAAGAAACACGCUCUGCUUGAUGCUCGAUUGUCCUCCAUAAUUCUCUUUGAACUGGGACCAGAAGAGCUACUGUUUUCCUCCUGUCCAAUUUGUGGUUCUACUUUAUGGGCAUGAAUUAUUAUGUUUGACUAGCGUACACCCUUAUAAAAGUGAUGCCUUUUGCUUCUUCUACUGACCAAUGGUUCCUUUUGAGCAAUAACAACAGAAUCUUGAAGUCUCUCAUAGAACUAAGAAAAGAGUUGCUUUUACACUCAGCUUCUUCUUCUGUUUUUGGAGAUAAACUUAUGUUCAUCUCACAUGCUGCAUUCUCUAAGAAUGUUGUACUCAAUAAAGUUAAGGGAUUGUCUUAUCUGUAAACAAUAUUCACAGAUGUGCAAAGAUAAGGAUGAAGCAGAAAUCUGGUUUAUCGCCCUUCAGGCAUUGAUCUCAAAGGGGAAUUAUCAAAGAUGGAAAACAGAAGUAAAAGGUGAUGAUAUAUCAUCAGACACUUCAAGUGCUGAUGCUCAAAGGAAUAUACGGCCCACUGUGUCAACUGGCAGUGGAGAUGCUGCUUAUGAGGUUUCUUUCUCUGCUUUGAACUGACACUUGAAUUAGUCUACUGCAGUUAAUUCAAUCAGCUUAGUAUUCUUUGAACAGGAUUCCAGACAAGUACAUAGAAACCUGCUUUCUCUUCAAAAGCCUCCACAGAAAAAAUUGGGAAGAGUAUUUUCGGAAUUCUUACUUAACAAUUCAGUGGAUUUUUCUCCUCAGAGAGAUUCUUUCACAAAUUCAACAAGCUCAAUGUCCUGCACAAAUAUGGAUGAUGUAAGUGGGCAAAGCUCUGCUGAUACUUCACGAGUAAGUUCUUCCAGUGCACUUUCUUCAUCUAGCCAGAGGUCCUUUUUUGAAGAUUUUGAUAGACUAUGUGAUCUUUUCAUCUGGGGGGAAGGAACUGGUGAUGGAUUGUUGGGUGGGGGUGUGCACAAAGUUGGAGAGAUUUCUGGUGCUAAAAAAGAUGCAUUUCUGCCAAAGGCUCUGGAAUCAACACUGGUACUUGAUGUUCAGAAUAUUGCUUGUGGAAGUAGACAUGCUGUUUUAAUUACAAAAAGGGGAGAGGUAUUCAGUUGGGGUGAGGGAUCUGGUGGUAGGCUUGGACAUGGAGUAGAAACUGACAUUGCUAAUCCGAAACUAGUAGAGACUCUCAAUGGAUUGAGUAUCAACUCCGUUGCUUGCGGUGAAUAUCAUAAUUGUGCUCUCACAGUAUCAGGAGACCUCUAUACAUGGGGAGAUGGAACUCAUAAAUUAGGCCUUCUUGGUCAUGGAAAUGAAGUUAGCCACUGGACUCCAAAAAAAGUAACUGGUCAGAUGGAGUACUUAUAUGUGUUGUCUGUUUCUUGUGGACCUUGGCAUUCUGCAGCUAUCACUUCGCUAGGUCAAUUAUUCACAUUUGGAGAUGGAUCCUUUGGUGCUCUAGGUCAUGGAGAUCGUAGCAGCUCAAGUGUUCCCAGGGAAGUUGAAACUCUAAAAGGAUUUCGAACAGUAAGGGUUUCUUGUGGAUUUUGGCAUACUGCUGCUGUAGUAGAUGUUUCUUUUCAAUCAACAAGUUCAGAAACCUCAUCAGGUGGAAAGCUAUUCACAUGGGGAAAUGGGGAUGAAGGCCAACUUGGACAUGGGGAUAAAGAACCUAGACUUUUACCAUUCUGCAUUACUGCUCUUGAAGAGAUGAGCUUUUGUAAAGUGGCCUGUGGUCAAAGCAUCACAGUUGCUCUUACAGCCUCUGGUGAAGUAUACACUAUGGGAAGAGCGGACUAUGGACAACUGGGAAAUCCUGGACAUGCUGGUGGGCUGCCCACUUGUGUGCAGGGAAAAUUGAAAAACAUUUUUAUCGAAGAUAUAGCUUGUGGCUCUUUUCAUGUUGCGGCCCUGAGUUCGACAUCUGAAGUUUACACCUGGGGGAGGGGAAAAAAUGGUCAGUUAGGGCAUGGGGACUUUAAUGACAGGGACAUUCCUACACUAGUUGAAGGUCUGAGGAACAAACAAGUAAAGGCUUUAGCUUGUGGGAACAACUUCACUGCUGCUAUAUGUCUUCAUAAACAAGUGUCUCUAGCUGAUCGUUCAACUUGUUCAGGUUGCACUCGUCCGUUUAAUUUCAAAAGGAAAUGUAAGAACUGCUACAAUUGUGGGCUUGCCUUCUGCAGGGCAUGCUGCAGUAAGAAAUCUCUAAAAGCUUCUUUGGCUCCAAAUAUGAAGAAACCCUAUCGAGUUUGUGACAAUUGUUUUGCCAAACUGCAUAAGGGCUCGGAUUCAGGUUUUAGUUUUCUACCUCCCAAGGCCUUGAGCGGAACCAAGGGGAGAAAUGCUGUUGAGGAAAAGGAGAAAGAGAACUUUCACACCAAACCUCGUGGUUUUCUUUCUAAACUCUCCUCUUUUGAUUCAUUCAGACGAUCUAAUAUUGGACAUUACAAGAAGAGCCUAAAGUCAACCUCAAUCAGUGGGCAUUCCUCUUCCAUCGGUAGUGAAAAUUCACUAUGUGAUAAGUCAUGCAUACCAACUCCGUCAAGGUCUAUGUUGGACUACCCUGAGAAAGUAUCUAUUUCUGCUCCUGGUUCAACAGGGCAUUCUCAACCAUCAUCUCCUUACUCUAGAGGAUCAAGUCCAUUUCAAUCUGCAUUGGUUAUGCCUUCUUCUUCUCCUCCUCUUUCAAUUCCUGAUGCAGUAUUUGAUGAUUCAAAGCAGAAAAGUGACAGUUUGACAAAAGAAAUAUUGCUCUUGAGAGAACAGGUAAGCUGUUACACUUAGAGGAAUACGCUUGCCCUAAACUUGCAUGAAGGUCUUUCUACUGUUAUUUUGGCAUCCCUCACAAGCAUCAGAGUAACCAAAUUUGACAUUUUAUUUCUGGAUGAGUUAUGCAUAUUGAUGUCACUGUAGAUAUAUAGUAACUAGUAAGCACAUAUAACUUUUCACAUUUGAGGGAACUGAUAAAUGCACUAGUGAGUCCUUGCCUUUGCUCCUUGUCUAUGUGUGAAGACUGCCACUUGUCUAGAAUUAUCAAUAAGCUAAUGUUGUUGAUACUAUACUUCUUGUUAAUGACAUCCCAUUUUCUUUGUGUGCUUUUGCAAAAACCACAAAGGAGGCAGCGUGCCAUUAAAAAUAAUUAAAGUGCCAUUGGCAUUGCCCCAACUAAUAUUAAUCUUAUCCUCUCAGAAAUGACGGCUAUGUGGUAUUUUUUAAUAGACUGUCUGUAAGAUAAUUAAAGGCGAAAGUAUUCAACUUAUCUGGCUAAUUCUAUUUAUUGCAUGUAAUGAUUACUCUAUGAUCUUCAAAAUGUAGCUAAUACUUGGAUUCUACUCAGGGCUUGCAUCAUUUUGUAGUUUGCUUAAACAUUUUAUGUAAACUCCUUGAGUAGUUUCUGGUUUUGUGGGUAUGGGAUGUGCUAACUAUGGUGAUGAAGAGUUGACUCCCAUAUAUAUAUAUAUAUAUAUAUAUAUGUAUAUGUACAGACGCACACACAUAUACUGAUGCCAAUUUUUCAUGGGUUAUCUUUCCUUAGCCAUAAGCUUUUAACACAUGUCUGCAGACAUAUAUUUUUGUUAUUUGUUAUGAAAGCGAUAUUAUGCUUUUUAUGCAUGGUUGAUCUGUGAGGGCUUCACAACACAGCAGGCCCUAUACAACCUUAUUUCGUUGCACAAUCUGUUGCUUCAAAAGUAGUAUCAUCUUCAUCUAUAAGUCUGAUGAUGAUGUUAGCCUUAGAAAAUAUCCAGUUUUCUUACUUCAUUCUAUAGGUAACGAUAAUGAAUGUUGGCUAUACAUUUCAUGAGACAACAAAAUGAUAAUGUUCUUUGCAUGACUAACAAUUAGCUGAGCAAGAAAGAUCAUUUCAUCAAGCUUGUUUAGUGUAACACUAAAAGAAUGACCUUUUAUGGUGACAACUAAAUUAACUGGCAAAACAGUUGCAACGUGGAAUAAGUAAUACCAGCAGCUGGAGAAAUAAAAUUCAACUAAAAUAUCAAAAUACCUGUGCAGUAAUUGGGAUUAACAGAAAUAUAUCUUUGAAGUAUGAUGAUGACUGGAGCUGGAAUACUAUAUGUAGGUGGAGAUUCUUACCUGCAGGUCUCAGUUCCUGGCAUCAGAACUGGAAAGAACAUCAAGCCAAAUAAAGAACGCUACAGAAUUAGCAAGGUAUGAGGCAGAGAAAAACAAUGCUGCAAAGGAAGUAAUAAACUCACUGAUCAGGCAGGUAUAAACUGCAUCCUGGGCAUAACCUCUGUUAUCUGUCAAAGAUGAUUCUAAAUUACUGCAAAAUGAGAAGUAUAUUAAUUAUGUGGAUUUUGAAAUAGACUUCGAGUGAAAAGAUUUGUACAUGAGUGUUUUAAAAGAUUCAUGGCGCUUUUCAAGGAAGAUAAUAUUGGUAUAUGUUCCUGUUUGCAUAUCAUGAUUUAUCAAUCUUUUAGAGAGCAUGCCAUCGUAUAUUGGUUUUACAACGCUUUGGACUAUUGGACAAUUGUCCUAAAACUUUUUGGCUAUAAUUUUAUUAGCAAGCAUGUUCUGCUGGAACAGUGCGCAUGCAUAUUGCCUAAUAGAGUCAAACUAUGAGGUGUUGAGCUGAUAAUAAGCAUUUAUUUUUUUAUCCUAUACACUGAACUAUGUGAUACCCAUUUUAUUACUAGUUUUUCAGGGUUUAUUUCAUAUGUGAUGCUGUUUGUCCAUUCUCCGUGAAUCAUUGACUUUUCAUUCAUUGCUGACAUAAGUUGCAUUAAAUGCAUUCUUCUUGUACAAAAAUUUUGUGUAGUUGAGGGACAUGUCUGCAAAAGUGCCUCAAGGGGCUUCCUCCUGCAGAACUUCGGAUCCAUUUUCAGAGAACAACUCCAAUUCCCUGAGCAUUUCUUCUUCCUGGAGCCAAUUAACCAGCUAAGCUCCAAUGAGCUUGGGAGGUGUUCUGCACAUAGUUGUAGAGGAUGUCUGACAUUAAGUAGAUUUAGACACUAACUCAAGCCACUUGGCAGUCUUCUGGACAAAUUCACUUCAGGUAUAUUUACACAUGCCUUUAAGGAGCUACUAUUACGUGCUUUCUCAGACAUUACCUUUAUGUGAUUUCUUUACUGAAGAAUGUGGAAAGGAUUACAUGAUCGGAAAAUUGUUUCCAGAUUUAAACUAAAAUGCCAUCACAAAAUACUUUGCUGUUGAUUCAAAACAUCAUGUAGUGAUUUCUGUUUUUUGGUGAAGAGGGGUUGGCAAUGCAUUCUUAAUGUAUUAAACAGUUGAUGCUUAACCAAUUGCUCCUGGUAAGAUGUUUUUGUUCUUUCAAAAUUUCAAUAAGAUAUUGGUUAUCUCCAGCUGCCAUACAAGAAAUCUGGGCCAAGGCAUUUUGUGCUUUAGGAAGUCUAGUUAAGCAACCUAUAUGACAGCCACUGCAGUCUAGUUUUUGACUGUUAAGGAAUUUACCAACUAGAGUACAUGGAGGACAUCACUGAAAAGCAAUGGCAUCUUUGUCUCUGGAUAGCUGUUGCUGUAUCUUAGUUAAUGAUUUGGAAAUACUUUUUAACUUUCUCGUGGUUGUAGGUGGUAGUCAUUCUAGUACGAAUCUUUUAUGAUUUAACUUGUCUGUGUAGGUGAUGUGCACAUAGAUACAUAUACACACACUAGAUGUAUGAGAGACUGGCUAUGCUUGGUUUUUUGUUUAGCAUCUAAGGUUUCGGAUCCAAUCAAAAGGAAGAAAAGGUCUCUCUUCAAUCAACUCCAGGCUGUGGAAAUGGUUAACCCAAAAUAUCAAAAAUAUUUUGUUUAACCUUUGUGUGUGUGUGUAUAUAUAUAUAUGUCAAUAAGCUACUACACAAGCAUAUGAUGAUCAAUCUCUACUCUGUGGAAGUCAUUUUCUACUAGGAGAAGAGAUCAAUAUUGGUCGCACACAAAAAUGUCAAUCUUACAACUCUUUUGCUCCUAUUCUUCAGUUUUGGACUGUCUUCUCUGUCUAUCUGUUGCAGCUUGAGACAUUGACAACUAAGAUCGAUAUCCGAGCAAAUGAUAAACUGAUGCAGUAAGAGCAGCAAGACUUGGGUUGUACCAAAUCUUCGGCUUUAUAGCUACCCUUUUUCUGAGAGCUCUUUCACUUUUGUUUUGACAGUAAUGAAAUUCUGCUUCAGAUGUGAUGUACAGUCAUUCUUGCCCGGUGUAUAGUUAGCAUUACGUGUAGAGGCGUUAGAAUGUAGGCAAGGAAAAGAACGCUAAGAUGCAGUUCAGCAUUCUGCUGCGAAGCGUGAUUUUUCUCAUGGUGCUUCCAUGCAAUUUCGGUUUUUUCUUUUCAGGGUAUUUUGAAAUUUGAUCCCUAUUGUGAUCAGCUCAAAUUUGUUACGCCAUACGGUCGCUCUAUCCUCAGCUUCCUCUUCUCUUUCAAUUUGUCACUUUGCGCCAGAAUUUGCCAAGCAAGUUUUUUUUUUUUUAAAUCUUGAUUUUACAGUUAAAGUUGGCCGGUUGGAAAUUCCUACAGUUCUUACUUUGUUAUAUGAGUAAAUCUUGUAUACACUGAUAGUAUAUACACUAUCGUAGUUGUAUGCAUGACAUAUGAGCAAAAUUUAAAUUUUAAAUUUAAAUUCAGAUGAGUUGUCAAACAUCUAAUUUUCACUUCAACAACUUUUUUUUAAAAUUUUAAAUUCCCUACAUAAACAGAAAAAAAAAAAAAAAAAUCUAAAGGAGGUUACUACCGAUUGCACUCAUAUACCAUCGCGGAAACGAAGAAUAAGCUGGUUUUAAGGUGAAUCAAUAAAUGCCUUUCCUCUUGUAAAUUUGAAGAUUUUGCUCCUUAUUUUUUAUUUUCCAAAAUUAAUCUUCCUGGAUCAGGUAUGAUGUAACUACCACAGCUAAUAUGAAGGAUUGCCUUCAUCGCCUGCUUAUAGUUUAGUUUGUUGGCUUUUGCACUUUGCCAAUUUUCUUGUGAUGACCGUUUUUCCAGAAUGUUGGAAAAAUAAAAAAGAGAAACAACAACUUUUGAAUACAAAAUAUGCUGCGGUAGUUACAUGACCAAAUGUUUUUUGAUCCAUCAAUAAUGUUAAUAAUAAUGUCAACUGAGACAACUCUAAUUGCUGGCAUUCAACUUAAUAGCAAAAGGACGUACUACAGACCCUACCCACAAACUACCACCACUCUCUUCAUCUACGUCACUAAUGUACUUCAACGUCUCCCCUUCUGAACUCUCUAUCGUUUCCAAUGUGUCGCCAUUCUCACUCAGUCUAAUUGCAAAAGCGUACGCAUCAUCGGGAUUACCAAAAAGCGAGUCCAGUUUAGUAAAAUCAAAAUGGAUUCUGGCUAGGAAAUUUCCUAACCGAGGACGUGAAAGAAUCCAAUUGAAUAAACCACCCUUUUCUGAAUUAGCCGCCACCCAAAAUUCUCCGUUUUGGUUCCUUUUGAUGUUGUCCGGCCUUCCCGGAAGAUUUGCAAAGACUUCAACCUUCCCGAGCUUUGAUGAUGGCUCAAGCCAAUAUCUUAGUAUUCUGCUAUUUGUGGUCUCGGCGACAAGAAGGAAAUCGCCAUUUUUGCUCAGCGCAACUCCAUUUGGAAACAUGAGGUUGUGCAGGAGAACUGUUACUUCAUUGUUUCUUGGAUCAAACUUCAAUAGCCUUCCUGAAUUGUCACCGCUAAACAUCACAUUGGCAAAUUCCCUGAAAUUUUGGACCAAAUCAGUGCCAUAUAUAUAUAUAUAUAUGUAAUUAUGAAGGAAGAAAGCACGUGUAUGAGAUAAAAGUUCAAGCAUUGGACAAUACUAAAAAAGCAAAAUCACACUCUUUUGAGUUAUUAAGUUUACCUUCUUUCAAAUCUUGUACUGGUAUCAGUAAAAUAGAUUGCUCCACUAUCUUGAUCAAUAACUAAAUCAUUGAGGAAUUUAAAAGGAAAACCAUGGACUUCCUGCACCACUGGUGUGGCCAAUCCACCUUUGGAACCCACUGCUAAGAGCCCCAUAUAUGCAUCCGCAAUAUAAAGGUCACCAGUCUUGUGAUCGAAACUUAGGCCUAGUGGCCUUCCGCAUCUAGCCUCCGUGUUGACAUGAUCUUCUGAACCUUCACAUCCGUCUCUGUGUGUAAAAAAAAGUUUCAACAAAAUCUAUUUGGAUAGAGUUGUAUUUGCAAAAAAAAAAAAAAAAAAAAAAUCGAUUGAAUCAUAAAUAUGCUUUUUUAAUAUUUAAUAUUUUAUUUUUUAUUUUUUAAUAACUUUUUAUAUAUAUAUAUAUAUAUAUAUAUAUCACGUUACAAAAAAGUGAUAUAACUUUUUUCAAAAUAUUAUUCGAAAUAAUCUCCUAUUUGAACAUGACAACUGAUUAAUAUCUCUAUUGCAUGCUUUCAAAAUAGAUACGAUUGCCUUAAUUAAUCGGAGGAUUAUUUGUGGCUUGUCUUCUAGAGGACAAAAGCAUGCCUCAAAAUUCUUAUCUUAUUUGUAGAUAAUUAGUAGCUACUACGUACGAUUUCAAAUCAUACGAACAUUUUUUUUUUUUUUUUUUUACAAUUUCGCUAAUUUUACAACAAAAACAGAAGAACGAUGACAGACGUGCGAAAAGUUAAUCAUAAUCUACAUAAUCUGAAACCCUUAACCAGUAAUUUCUCUAUGAAAUAAUCCAAAAAAAAUUUCAUAAUGUGAUGACAAAUAGUAAUUUUGGUGAAAAAAUAAUAAUAACAACAAUAAUGACCUUUCGUACUUAAUCACAAUAGCUACAAGAAUAUGCAUGGUCACAUACACGUAACAAGAACAGUACAGACAGUCCACAUAAAUAGUUAGAACAAACACAAAUUUUUCACAAAUAAUAGUUGUAAGAACAUUAAUUGUAACCUGAAAGGAGUUGUUGUUGCGAAAUUUAUCCACCGACUCUGGUUCCGAUCCCACUUGAUAAUCCGGCCAUCAGAAACGCCGGUAUAGGGACCAUCACCAUGACGAUCGAAAGCAAGGCUCUCUGGUCCGGAUGCACCAGAGAUUGGAAACGGUUCAUGAGACCAUUUACGCUGAGAAAUAGGAUGUCUUGGUUCAUAACCAGAAUGGACUGUUCCAAGAGAACCAACGAAAAUUAGAAUGGUUGUUAGAAGUAAGAUUGAAGAAGAAAAAAAGGGCUUAGAAGAGAUCAUGAUGGCUAUGGAGGGAGAAACAAGAAAUUACUAAAGGCUAAAUAAUUUCAGAGAGUACGAGUUUACGAGGGUAUUAUAUAGACAAUGUGAUGAUCAGAGUAGGGUGUCAAUUGUAAUCCCUUUUCGAUUUUUGUUGGAACUGUAAUUGGUUUGGUUAUAGGAGUUCAUAUCAAAGUUGGUUCCAUGGGAGUUUAGGUGUUUUCAAGUUUCAUGAGCACAAGGUUAUUACUUAUUAUACGGACAAGCUAGGUGACUAUGUAAUCCUAUUGGGUUUUGUGUUAUUUAACUGGUCAAGGUUUAGAACUAAAAUUCGUUUGGAAUUCGAUUCGAACUAAAAUUCAAUUCGAACUAAAACUCGUUUGGAAUUCGAUUCUUCAGCAAUUUACCCUUGAGAACUUUAGUUUAUUUCCUUCCAAAAAAAAAAAAAACACUUUAGUUUAUUAAGGAAUAAUCCUUCAAGUCCUGCCGUGCAUAGUUAUUAUGUAUUAACCCAGUCCGGAUCAGCUUGGCAAGGCCACAGGUUUAAUAGGUUAGCGGGUUAGUUGCGGGUUGCCAGUUGAACAGGUGUUACAUAAUAUAAUAAUAUUUUUGAAUAUUUGAAAAUAAUAUCUAUACUAUAUAUACAGGGAUAAUUUCAGAAACCUCCCUUGAGAUUUCUAACAAUAUCGCUAGCCUCCCUUGAAGUUUGCAAAAUUACACAAACUUCUCCUGAGAUUAAGGUUUUGAUAACAAAAUUAGUCUAAUUAGAAAAAGUAACAUUAAAAAAGUACUUUAAGAAAAGAGAUGAAACUUUUAUUCCAUAAAUACCCCUAAUGCAUGUAUAUAAGUUGUAUUAGUAAAAGAACAAAAAUAAUUAAAAAUUAGAAAUAAUUAAUACACACAUUUCAUAAUUUAAAAAGUUUACAUUUAAUAAAUUAGACAAUACAAAUAAGCGACAAAGUUGCACCUGAGUAAGGAGUUUGACAUUGAGGUUAACAUUUAUCGUCACUUUAUGAACUUUCUUUUUUGCUCUUACAAAAACUAUUUUUACUUUAACUACCUAUAACUAUCCAUGACUAUUUUAACUUUUAACUAUUUAAGUGUAUGUCUUCUUCAAUGUAACUACUCCUAAACAUUACAACUAUCAAUAUAAAAUUAUUUUAUGAAAAGGAUUUAAAAAUUUAAAGUUUGCUUCAGUAAUAAAAAGUUUAUUUAAAAUAUAUAACCAUAAGUAUUAUAUAUUUUUUAAUUGUACACACAUUUGGUGUGCAUUGAGCAUUAGUAAGAAUUAAAUUGGUUGUUGAAUCCAUCAGUUUUCUUUGAAUUUUACUCGAAUUAAAACAUCAUGUCAUUAACUAGUCAAUAGACUACUUCGUUAUUAUUAUCCAAUCUAACGAUCAACCCAAAUUGUCCAGAUGGUUAGUUGAACUGUUGAUCCGGCCGAUUAAUAACUAUGCGAAUUAAACCGACAAGUCAUUGACCGAUCAGCGGUCUAACUACCAACCCAACCCAUCUAGAUCAAGAUGGUCGGUUAAACCGUUGGCCCGGCCGAGUAAUAACUAUGCUCUUAUGGUCACAUACCAUCAUCUUGUGUAGAAUAUGCUGGCCUUUGCUCUUUGGAUCUUUCAUUCUUUAGUUGUCGUUACUCUUUUUGCACAAUUUACAGGGGGAGGGGGAGGGGGAAGUUGACAACUGAAACAAACAAAUCAGACAGAUUCCAUAUUGAAUUGACGAAAGCCAUAAACUUGAAUUAAAAAAGUUGACCUCCAGCCCCUAAUCCACCAGGGGGAAUAGCGAAGGAGGAAGGAGCUGAAGGAUUCAUACUUUCAUUCCCUACACAGAAAGUUGCAGCUUAUACCCCAGUAAACUAAAUGCUGUUUAUUUGACCAUUUUGAUCCAAAGUAGACAUUGGUUUCUUUCCAGGGGGAUAGCAUUGGCAUCUUUUUAACACAUCCAAGACAGCUGAGGGGUAACAGGUUAUUUACUACAUUACGGGAUAGAUAACCAACAUAAUUUGAGCAAAGCUAAAAGAGACUUUCUGGGACAAAUGUUAGACUGGUCUCCCACCUUUAAUGGCAAGAAACCCAUCUCGUCUAAUCUUCUUCCUCCCCCUCCUUGCUCAAUUCGGCUUGGCCAUCCAUGGUUUGGUGGAUAAUUUCUUGAGCUUCUGUGAGUAGAGACUCUUUUUCAUCCGCAGCAUACAAAAUCUUCUUAACUGCAACAGCGAUCUGCAAAAGAUUUAAGAGAAAGCGAUGAAUAAAAUUCAUUUUGCUAAUGAUAUGCAUUUGUAACAAAGUACAAAUCGAGGCACCAUGAUGAAUAUAUCUAACUCAGGAAAGCUGGGAAACUGGAACAGGUUCUGACGAAAGUUUAGAUAUUUUGACAGGGGUACAGAUUACAUUAUGGCGUAAGACGGGUUUGAAGAAACACCACAGAGACAAGCAAUAGCAAUAGACAAGGAUUCAGGGGACCUUUGAGGAAAUCAUACUGGGAUAUUUUCUAAUUCAGGACUCUGACAGAGUAUCUCAAUAUCCCGUAACUUCCCAAAAUAGAAAUCUCUUUCUUUUUCCAAAAGGUCAACUGACAGCUUCAGAUCUGUAAUCUGCAUGAGCAUGUAAUGAAACCAAUUAGUACAAGACAUUCAAAGACUGGAAAAACAUGUUUAUUUUUGCACAACAUUUCAGAAGAAAAGCAUCAUCAGCAGAGUGAGUAAAUAGAUUUGCAGAGUCAUAGCAAUCAUCUAUUUAUCAUUAUGAUUCAACAUAAACUCGAUUUUAAAUUCUUGACAACCUUAAAUAGAUGCGAUAGAUGCUACUCAUUUACUCUUGUUUGCAUGUGUUUAACUAGCAGUGAUGCAAGUACAACUUAGAUUAGAUAUAUUGACAGCUAAAAGAUGUUUUAAGAAUGUAAUUCGAGAUAGAUAUGACCUAAGUACCUCCUUUGUCAAUGCCUGAAUCUCCACUGAGGAAUUAACCCCACUAGAUACUGGGCAUUGCCUUCCUAACUUGGUCCCUUCAUUAACACAAAGCGAACAAGAAUCUUAAGCUCGGAGAAUGGUGAAACACAAAUAGUAAAGAAGAAGAUGUGAUUUUUCCCUACCUGCAACCUUGUUGAUGCCCAACCCAUCCCCGAUGGCAUGGUCAUGCGUGUUGCUUGUUUGCAGAGACUUUGAGCUCUUCUGGGUCCUUACAAAUCGUUCCUUCCCACCUUUACUUCUGCGCUCCACAGGGUUAUAAUUCCUGGAUGACUCAAGAAUAUGCAAGAGACAAAUAUAAGGAAGCUGGUGUCAAUGAUUUAACAUGUCUAAGCAUAUUAGAAGUACUGUACUCAUUCAUGAUGCCACCAUUGAUGGAAUCACAAUAACGUUUAAGCCAUUGCAAAAACUCCAGGUUGUCCAAAGUUCUACCCUUGACAAGUCUGUUGACUUCAAUAUGCUGCAAACGUGAAUAGAAUUAUCAAUGUUCGAUACCAGGUCAGCAACAAGUCAGUACACAUAGUCUAUAGAAACGCAUGGCUUGAUGUUCAAUGACAAUGAGUAGUUAAUAGAAUUUGCCCAAGCCAAAAUGAUGAGAAUGAAAUAUUAAUGGCACUUAUCCACCAUUGUUGUUUUCACAAGAAGGAAUCUAACUUGAACAGAAAAGAAAUUGCAACGGUGCAGAAAUUUCCAACUGGAAGCUGCAUAUUAGAAUGGGCACAAUCUAUCCCUACAAUAUCCAAAACAGCCCUGCUUUCUUCCAAGAAAAGAAGAACAAAAGGAAAAAAGGAAAAGGAGCCUAACAAUGCAAGAGCUUAUAGCAAGUAGAAAGCACCCCAUACAGAUGGGUACUUUAACAACCUGCAUCUUUCUUCUUAUGCUUAACAAGUAUUAAUUGAAUUUCUUACAUACAUCACUUGCAUAACUCAAGUUGCUCAACUUGCAGUAUGGUUUUUAGUAAACAAAUAGGUACUUCAGCAACCUGCAGUUGUUAUUUCUUCCGCUUAACAAGUAUUGAUUAAAUUUAUCAUAUCACUUGCAUAACUCAAGUUCCACAACGUGCAGCAUGUCAAACAUACAAUUCUACUGAAGGAGACUAUUUCAUUUACUUGAGCUAAGUUAUAACUGAUUCUUAAGUCUAAUGCUGACUAAAGGAUCGUAUGAACAAAGAACCCAACUAAGAAGAAAAAGGUAGCAGAAUAAUGUCUUAAUGGCCAGUAAGAAACUAUUGAGUUCUUAGGUCAACAUGAACAUGGAAGCAAAGUUCUGAAGCAUAACUUAAAUGCUUCAAAAUGGGUCAUAGAAAAGAUUUACCUUGUCAAUUUUCAGUUUAUUGAAUACAUCUUGCAGCACCUUGUAAUUUUGAAUAAAAUCAUAUUCUGUCUUUGCGUCAAAAUUCACCUAUGUAAAAAUAUCUGUCAACAAUUCUACAAGUGCACAAAAUGGUCUAGAUGUAAGAGGAAAAACUAAAAGAAAUGCAUGAAGAUGCCAGAUUUGACAGGACAAACAUGUUACCUUGUGCAUUGGAACCACUCCUGGAUAAGUCAUGUCCAUCAUCUGGCAUUGGACAGCUCCCGAUGCAGCCUAGCAAAAGAAAUUGAAAUCUAAAACUAUGCAUCAUUGCAAGAAGGUGUCUUGCAUACCUGAUGACUAUUGAGCAUGCAAAUGAAGUUGCCAACAAAAUGCGACAUCACCUAAAAAGAUGAUUAGCAAUGGCAACAAAGAUUGAAAAUACCUUCUCACAAAUGAAGUACACAAAUGGAAGUAAAUGCUUAGAUUUUAAAAGAUAAUGUUUUUGUCUUUCAGAACUUCCAUUGCUCAGAAAAGAGAAGCUGCGGAGUCAUGUUUUGGCAUAAUUCUUUCCAAAAAUUGGUUCAGAAAAUACGACUCUGAUCCCUGAAAGUAAUAUCUAAAUUCAACUAAGUGGGCUAAAAUCCAAUGGCUAAAUCUAUCAAUUUGGAUGCAUUGAACUCUAUUAAAAAAAUUUGGCCUACCAAUUGGAUAGCCACAAUCGUUCCCCAUAAUUGAUUAAUUCCUCAUAUUUCUGCAAAAAAAAAAAAUACAUCUCCUUUGAAACAUACAUUGUACACUGCUGUGGGUGCAUGACAAUUUCCAAGCUCUUUCAUAGUGAAUUUUCCUACAUAAUUCUUGGAAGAUUAUGUCUUCCUAGUAUAUAAGACUUACAAGCUCAGCCAAAUAGAGAGAGAGAGAAAGAGACUCACAAGCUUCACACCACUUUCACAUGCAAUUUUCCCACUAAAACUGUCAAAAUUUAAAACUGCAACUAGUUUUCAACAGUAUUACCCAUGCUUAACAAGGCGAGUGGAGCAAUAAAUGAAUUCCUAUUUGUAUAACACUCACUACAUUCAAGAUAAGCACCAUGUCUCUUCACUGAAGUGUCACAAAUUUUGAAGAAGCAAAAUUCCCAAUUCAUAAAUUAACUUAUUCCUAAGCAGCUGGGUAAGUCUUUGCAAUCAAUUCUCCCUAUUCAUAUCAUUUGUGACGUACUCAGCAAGAGCAGGGAGGAUUUAUCAAUGCCCCAAAGAAAUUAUGAAUUGAUAUCAUGUCUAGUUGGCAUGCUUGGACAGUUUGAAUACUAUAUUUCCUGAAAGGAGAUGCAUAGAUGAAUGAAGACUAAAAGUAGAUCAUGCCAUAGAGAGAUCACUGCUUAUAGUAAUCUGACCGUCAAUUUGACAUAACUACAAGAUAAGCGUCCUGUCAGAAUAUUUCAGAAUUCAGAAUGACAUGUAACCUCACCUAUUAUAUCAAAAGAAAAUAUUAUAGAUAAGAUAAAUCAAUACUGCAAAGGAUAAAGCAUCCCUCUCAGCUUUCCUUUCCAGGACACACAAUGACUAGCUAAAAGAAAGCUAACCCUUUGUCAAAUGUUAUUUUCUGUCAGAUGAACACAGUAGAGAUACAUAAGUAGUUGAAUGAGAAGGGGGAAAAAACUAAGGCUGUAAAAUGUGUUUUAGCAAAGCCAUCAGCAUAUUGAAGAUCAGAAUCAGUUUUCUGAUUGGUUUUCCUUCAUCUAAAGCUACUCAAUAUUUAAGGGCAGAAGCUACUCUCAGCUUUCCUUUACAGGACACACAAUGACUAGCUAAAAAGAAAGCUACUCCUUUGUCAAAUGCUAUUUUCUGUAAGAUGAGCAAAAAAAAAAAAAAAAUCUAAGGCUGUAAAAUGUGUUUUAGCAAAGCCAUCAGCAUAUUGAAGAUCAGAAUCAGUUUUCUGAUUGGCUUUCCUUCAUCUAAAGCUACUCAAUAUUUAAUGGCAGAAGCCAUUUUCCAACAUCAAGCCAACAAGAACCACAAUGAUUAACCACAUUGAUUACCUAUCGCCUUGUUCACACUCAAUAUUACCUAAAAUGACAGUUGAAUUACAGCAUAAAACCUAAGGACGAAAACAAGAAGCUUUGACCAAGUCAGUAAGUGCUCGAAUGCAUUAGCAAAAACUUGAAGCAAUCCAAAAGAUGCUGAUCAUAUACCAGAGUCUAUUGCAGCCUGAUUUAAUCAACAACAGUCAAGCACUCACUUUACGACUUACCAGUGAAGAGAAUAAAAACUACAUUUUGAUUGCAAGAAACAAAAGCCUCCAUACAUAUUUCAAGAAAGGGUCAAGUACUUCACCUCAAUAUAAUGGCCCAGGACGAGGCAAAAGCAUAAAGGUUCAACUUUUGUCCACAGAACAUGUAAUAACAAAAGCAUCCCAUUGUAUAACCAUGACCGGAAUUCAAUUCAAGAGUCAAACUUGAACAAUUGGCCAAAACCAUUCAAGCUUGUAACUAACGUAAAAAUGGUUUCUUGAAAAUUCUAUAUGGAAAAUCACCGAAGGAAAAUAUGUACCAAAAUUCAUGCACAUAAACAAAAAAGGAGAUACAUAUUGCUGAAAAAUCCAAAAGGGUACCUCUUCAAUACGAGAAAGAUUGAGCUGAAGCCUGGCAUUGAUCCAUGCUAGAAUCUCAUUCCUCCCAACAAAGUAUGCACUAUCCAUCAUACCAAUAUUUGUUGCCAUAUUUUGCUCUUCCAAAACUUUCCAAAGAUCGAAACUUUGACUCUAAUUCUAUUAGUAUUAUUCAAAAUCAGAUAAAUAUGCUUAUGUGGUAGUAGGAUAUAGGCAUCCCUACAUUUGCUGAUAAUAAAGGUGAAGAGAGAAAGGGGUGUUGCGAAAUAUAAGGAAUUUUUGUAAUUCAAAUAAAAAUGGCUGUUAUACUAUCUUAAACCAAGUUGGUUAAAGGGGUCUCUCUGUUUUUGAAAGAGACAAAUAGAGAGAUCUCAAAAAGAAAGGAAUGAAUGGUCCAAUUUAAUUUGCUUUCAGCCUCUAACCAAUGAUGGAUUAGUGGAAAACUAUCACUGUUUAACUGUUGUUUGUUAAAGUGGAAAGCGACCCACCAAUGCAAAACCAUGUAAAAAAAGGGCAAAGAGCCAAAGAUGUUAGGAGAACGGCUGAAGAAGCUGGCAUGACUGGCCAAUUGGCACAUUUAUGUCCUAGAUCCAUUUGUCUCUCUAUGCAUGCAAUUGCAUUCUGGUCACCUGUCAAACUUGGCAAACCACUGAAAUAUGGUUCAGUUGUCAUCAAAACCGGACUAAAUCCCUCUUUGAGUUAUAAGGUGGGGAUUCGAACCCUAUCUAUUUUGAAAAAAAUUUAAAGGAGGGGUCAAACACCUUUUUGAUUUAGUCAAAUUUUUAUACCUACUAACCUCUUAUACACAAUCUCUUUAGGAUCCCUUCCCUUUAAAUUAGGUUUUUAUAUCUAAUAAUCCUUUAUACAUAGUCUCUUUAAUCUCCCCUCCUCCCAAAUUAAGAUAGAUUAGGUUAUAAAAGUACUAUCGUUACCGUAAAAAAAAAAUUGGGGAAGUUUACUUUUUUGCAUACUUCUUUAGACUUGGAUUUUGUUUAAGACUUGCUGAACUAUCAUUGGCCUGGUUUAGAUUAAAGGGUGGUGGGAUUUUUUUUUUUUUCAUCACAGGAGAUAUUCCUUUCGGACUAAUCCUCCUGGCCUGUGCUCCGCCCCCAAGAGACACAAGACAAUGGAAGGAGUCGAACCCCAAGAGACACAAAACGGGUGGUGGGAUUGGUGGUUACAUUUGGAAACAAGAAAAGAGAGGAAACAUUAUUAAUUUGCUAAAAUUGGGAUGAUAAUGCUUUAGAGCCCAAGUGGACUCUUUCACUGUCUGUAGCAUUGUUUCUAUUGGCUGGCCUUCAGAGAAUGGUGGGGUAGGUGACCUAGGCUUUAUCACAUGUCAGAUUCGGCCUUAGUCCGGUCCCAUGGAUUCCAAGAAUUUGCUUUUUAAUGCAAGAGGAGGCAUAAAUAUUAAACAUGAGCUAAGGUGGCCAGGGAAUUUUUUUUUUCCACAAACGUUAACAGAUAUAUAUAUAUAUAUAUAUAUGAAACCACUAGCUAAUACAAGAUUUAAUUACAAAAAAGGGCUACUACCCUCAUUUCCUUUCUCACUAAGACCGUCAGCCAACUUGGUAAGUCUUGUUCCCAUUCGAUAUCAUACACUAGCUUGACAGCAAAUUCAGCUAGAGUAUGACUGAUUUCAUUUUCUGAUCUAGGUAUAAAGACAAGCCUACAGCUUUCAAAAUGUGUUCUAAGUUCUUGCACAUCUUCCAAUAUAGUUGCAAUGUUGUAUUCAUAGUCAUUGCUUCCAUUUAUCUGGUCUAUUACUGAUUUGCUAUCAGAAUAGACUAUUAUUUUAGUCCAUCCUACAUGUUUAGCCAUCAGCAUUGCAUUACUGAUUGCCAGAGCUUCUUCCUUACUUGGUACUCCCUUGUAUUGAUUGACUAUCCCAUUCUUUCCUUUCCAGUUCCUUGCCACAAUUCUUUGGCCCAUCCUUUUCAUUUUUGCUGAUAUCGCUGCAUCUGUGAACAGACAUAUCUCGUCUUCCUUUGCUGUUUCUCUUUUUUUCUGGUGCUCACUGUGUAUGGGGGGUACAUUGUUGUCUUGUUCUUCUUCCCUUGCCUGCUCAUACUCCAUCCAGUCCUCCUGUGCUUUUGUGACAAUUCUGUAUGGAUUCUGGCAUUCAUUUUCAAAGACUUUUUUGUUUCGUGUUUUCCAAAUUUGCCAAAAAAUAUUGAUGGUGAGGUUAACUCUAUCUGGUACAUGAUCCUUUGAGAUAGACUGAGUAGCUUUCUCCCACCAAAGCCAUAAAUUAUGUUGUUUGUCCUUUAAACCAUCCCACCUUAUUGGAGCUAUCUUCCGUACUUCUACUGCAUUCAUGCAAAAAAAGAGUAAAUGUUCGAUGGUUUCCACACCUUCUCCGAAGCAGCUACACCUUCCCUCUCCUUUUCCCAUCCUUUUGAAAGUAACUUCAUUGGUUGGUAGGCAGUUCUGCAGGCAUUUCCACAUGAAGUGUUUCAGUUUGGCCUUUACCUUUAGUUGCCACAGUUUCUUCCACACACUAUGUUUCCUUUCUUCCCAACUUGUCUCAGCAUUGUUUGCUCCUUUUCUACUCUGUUGGUUCUCCUCCUGUCUUGCAGGUGGCCAGGGAAUUUUGAUAAUAAGAGUUCAGAGCAAAGGCCAAGCCUUUUUUUUUUUUUUUCCAUUUGAGCAUUUGGUUUUAGGGAUAAUUUUAGAACCUCGAGGUUUUUUACACUUUCAUUACUGACUUUUUUGAGCUUUAAGAAAUUUGUAAUCAAUCAUAAUGUCUUUGGGCAGAAUAGUACUUCCAUUACAUCUUAUGCAAAGCAAUGGGGCCCAAAUUUUUCAAAUUUUUUAUGGGGGAGGUCAGCGUAAUUUUUGAAAUUUGAGAGAAGGUCAAUGAAGGUGUUAAAAACCUCAGAGGAGGUUUCUAAAAUUAUCCCUAGGUUAACUAUUUUAAAUUAAGAGGAACUAUUGUCCUACGAGUCUACGACUCCUAUCCUAUAAUCAUUGGAUCUAGAGCCUCACAAGUUUCAAAUCAAUACAUAUAAUUAUCAUUAUAUUUUGUCUAAAAUCAUAGUGUUUUGGUGUAAUCACCAAUUUAGUUAUAUGAAUUAACGUAAGGGGUUAGUAGGUAUAAGAAUCUGACUAGAUCAAAGAGGUGAUCUAAUACUUUCUUUGGAUUUUUUUCAAAAUCAAACCCCCGACCUACAACCUAAAACUCUAGCACUUCUUUUGAAUUUUUUUCAUUGCAGGUGGGUUUUGAAUCACCAACCUACAAUUUCAUCUCUUUUUGGUGGCCAUUGGACCAAAGCUCAGCGGUUCAACUAGCACUUACUCAUUAGUCAAGUUUAUACAGAGGACUCUACUCUCUCUCUCUCUCUCUUCUUUUUUCUCUAUUAGCAAAUCGAAUAUUCUAGGGGAAGGAUAUGGUUGAGUGGUAAGGUUGGAGGGAUUAUAUAUAGAAGAUUUUGAAUUCAAAACCUUCCACUUAAAAAAAAAAAAAUCGAGUGCUCUUCAUAAAUAAAAAUGAAUUGGAAGAAAGGACCUACUCUUUUUUUUUUUUUUUUGCAAAACGUCUAGUAAGAAACUAAUCAAGGUAUAGCAACACCAACAACAUCGAAGGAGCUUUGAUAAAAUAAAAAAAUGGAUUUAUAAGGUAAAGAGUGACAUAUCCUUUUUUUUUGGUAAAAAAAAAAUUCCGCUUAGAAUGGUGCUACUUACAUCAAAUGUAUGUAUGAAUUUAACUCUGGGAAAAUCGCUCAAAACGUCUAUCACAUUUUACAACAUGACUUUUUUCGUCCCUCACUUUUAAAAGUGUAAUUUUACAUCCUAUACAAAUUCACAUUGACCAAAUUUGAUCCCUACCUAGGUUUCCGACUAGUUUUUGAUCGGAAUCCACCACAUGACUUGCAUGUGAUCAUUUUUUAAGGGCAAAAUUAUCAAAUCAAAUUUUUACAUAAUCUGAUUCGUAGUCCCUCACAUUUAACAAAAUGAAUUUUUUCAUCUCUAACAUAUUAUAAAAUGAAUUGUUUUGUUUCUCAGAUUUCAAAAAAUCAAUUUUUUCAUCCCUCACAUUUUUCAAAAUGAAUUUUUUCAUCCCUCAUUGAUCAUGUGUAGAAAUAGCUUCUUUUUUUUUUUUUUAUAAACCCACGUAUAUGUAUAUUUGAUUUUACUUGCAUAUUAUGAAUAACAUGUAAUUUAUCUCUAUUGGAUUUCAUCUAAACAUGCUAAUCGUAGUUAUACACAUGCUAUUCAAUAGAUAUAUAUAGGGGUUUAAAACUAAUAAUUUUGUUUGAAAUCCAUGUAUAUAUUUAUAUGAUUUCACCAUUUGAACCUAUUCAAUAUUUGUGACCUUUCUCUUUUGGUAAUAAUUUAUUUAUUGAGUUGUAUAAUAAAAUCAUCUAAUUAAUGGGUCCUACCUCGAAUUCUAUAAUUGUGCUAACAAAUUUCGAUUUAAAUCUGAAAUUUCUAUUCGACACUUUUAAGACCAACAGUUGAAUUACUUGCCUUGUGAUUGUUUUAAAAUUUGAAAGUGCCAAUCAUUUAUUUCUUUUCGUCAUACUUUUCUUUUGUUUACUUUUCUAUCCAAAUUUAAUUCGAUAUAAUAAUAUUUAGGAUUAAAUGUCUUCUGUAUUUUCAAAUUUCAAGUAAAAGAAAAUGGAUAUAAGUGAAAAACUAACAAUUUUUUUAAACCCAUGUAUAUAUCUAUUUGAUUUCACUUGAGUAGUACGAAUAGUAUGUAAUAUAUCUCUAUUUGAUUUUACAUGCUAUUCGUACUGUUCAGGUAAAAUCAAAUAGAUAUAUACAUGGAUUUUAAAAAAAAUCAUUCACACACAUGAUCAAUAAAAGAUGAAAAAAUUCAUUUUGAAAAAUGUGAAGGAUGAAAAAAUUCAUUUUAUAAAAUUUAAGGGACGAAAAAAUUUAUUUUAUGAAAUGUGAGUGAUUGUGAAUCGAAUUAUAUAAAAUUUGAUUUGACAAUUUUGCCCUUAAAAUAUGAUCACGUGCAAGGCACGUGGUGAAUUCCGUUCAAAAACUAGUCGGAAACUUAAGUAGGGACCAAAUUUGACCAAUGUGAAUUUGUAAGGGACGUAAAAUUAUAUUUUUAAAAGUGAAGGAUGAAAAAAGUUAUUUUACAAAAUAUGAGGGACAUUUUGAACGAUUUUCCCUUUAACUUUUAAGUACAAGUGUUUGCCUUCAUUGAGGACUCAAUGAGAACUUGAUCGAGAACUCCCUAGAGUGCAUGUGGUGCCAUCUAAGGGGAAGCUCUCCCAGCAGAUCUUUCUUAAAAUUUGUGUUAUUAGAGACUGUUAAUGAUAAUAUGGAUUAUGGAGUUAGAUUUCUCUUUUUGUACUGUACUCGACCACAACAUUCAUCAUCACUAUAACUUUUGGUUUGUAACCCGUUUGAAUAUAUUGCCAACACAAUCAUGUAUAUUUAAGAGCUCAUUUAAAAAAAAUAACAAAAAUAGAUACAAAUAUGAAAAUUUUUAAAAUCAAGGAGGUCAUUUAUUUUGAAUCUAUCGCAUGAGUUGCAUCGCUUAGAGUAAGAUUUUCUUAUAGUGUUUGUGUGGUUUUUUUCCCCUUACUGCAAAUGCAAUGGUGUUGACUGACUUCUUUUUUUUUUUUUUUUGGUCAAAGUGUUGACCGAUUUUGAAGGGUGUAAUUUUACAUGAGUGUUCAUUUUGUUGAAUUUUUAUACUGCAGAGAAUUUAACUUGAGCAUUAUUGUUCCAUUGUCCCUUUACAUAAGAUGUCAUGUUAUAGAAGAGUUCGUGUACCAUUUAUGAAUGCAGGAACGUCUUCAACUUAAGAUAGAUUUAUAUGUGAAUUAGUCCCUUCCUUCUUUUUUCUGUUUUUUCUUUUUGAUUGGACGCCUUCGACAAUUUCACAAAGCUUUAAAUGUCAACAUCAUCACCGUUCGGCUUAUAUCAAGACCAAACUACAAAUAACAAUUACUCCAUCCCAUGACAAAAUUCAUUGCUUUGUCAUAUAUCUGCAUACCACAUUGAUGUUAGGAAAAGAUCUAUUCUUAUAAUUUUGAAGUUGCAUGUAUAAAUUCGGAAUCUCUCACUUGCACCCCUUUCCUCUGCCAUCCAACCUAUUCUUCUCUCCCUAAUAAAAAACACUAUGAAAAUGUUGAAAACUAAAUCAUAGAAAUUUCAGAAAAUUGAAGAGUCAUGUGCACUUAUGACAAACCAUAAUUGGCAGAUUGCAUUACCUUCAGGUACAUUUCAAACUCUAUAAAAAAGAAUGACUCCAUGAGCUUACCUUACUUUGGAAAUACAUAAAACUAACUUGCUUGGUCGAAUUGGUUAACCUCAGUUAUAUCCCUUUUACUUUUCAGCAAUUUCUUAAAUGCUUGAAUCAGUGUUUUGAAAUUCGGAUCGACAUGGCCAGUACCGAUCUGGCUUGCUCAAUCGAUCGAACCAUGAAUCAAACUAGUCAUGACUUUGGUCCAAUUCAUUCUAAGGGUUGACUAGCCAUUAAAAACCGUCAAAAAACGAAAAAAAAAAAAAAACCAUCAAACAGUGCAAAUCGGUUUAAAUAGUGAAUUGCCGCUUUUGUAAUUUUGUCAAUUAAAUUGGAAAAAGGAAAAAAAAGUUUUUUGAACGCUAAACCUUAUCACUAAAGCUGCCGCCCCACUCCAAUUUCUACCUUCUCAUCUUCUCUAUUCUCAAACAUUCCUCCAAGUGUCCUAUUUUUAAUACAAUUAUAUGCUAGCAUACAGCCUUCUAGCAUUCAAUUGUAUAUCACACCAUUUUAAGGGAAGCACUCACUGUAGACUUUUCCUAGUCUUUGACAUUAAUUUUUAAAGACCGUUAGUGAUAACUAGUUGUGAGGAUAAAAAUUGAACUGAAAAAGUGAAAAACAAAACUCAGCAGUCAUCUAUAUCUUUAUAUAGUAAGUACAGAUGUAUACAUACAGCAAAAAUUCUAAGGAUUGGUAUAGUGGUUUGUACCAAUGCAUUGGUAAAGUGGUAUAAAGAGGUACAGAUGAGAGGAGGACAAGACACGUUAGCCCAAACAAAAUUGAAGGUUGUUUUCGGUCAUGGAAAGGCAACCGAAAUUGGAAGUGACAGUGGGUUCCACACUGAAAAGACAGUGGGUUUCACACCGAAAUUGAAGGUCUCAACUUUUGUCAGUGGAAGGAACCAUGCGAAGGACCGGAAUAAGAAGACUUAUUUCGCUAGUCCGAGGAAUAAUAAUGUGACGUGAAAAUUGGCUAGCAUCAUACGAGGUAUAAAGCAUUUAUUUGGCAAGAGAAUGAACGAGGAAUAUUAAUCUGUACAAUUACUUUUACCAACCAAUAUAGGUGAAAAUUAAUGGCUAAGGUAAUAAAUCAAGCUAGAUGGAUCCGUAUGAAAUACUUGUAAAAGAGCAAACAACUGAGCAAAAGUCUUGUGAAUAGUGGAGAGGCCGGGAGGAAAAAAACGCAAAUAGAUAGAGGUGAAGAAGCAGCUGGUACGUGGAUAAGGUAAUAUGUUUUGUAACAAUGAUCAAUUAGUGGAUGUCUUUUUGAAAUAUUCUUUUUGUAAUCGAGGGAAAAAAUUGAAAUGUGGAAUAAAUUUGCUUAUGCAGUAUUGUUGUUUGAAUAUAUGUUGUACUUUUGUAUAUGAAUGGUAACUCUCUUCAUGAACCAAUAAUCAUAAAAUAUGAUGUAAUUAGUUUAGUAUAUGACAUAAAAUGGGUAAGAGCAAUUUAAAAUAUUUGUUAAUAUUGUUUUCUAAAUUAUGAACAAUAGAGUGAUAGAAUUGUGAGCAUAGAAAAAAAUAAGAAAUAUUGUUUUUAGUUUCAUUGUGUAGUUGUAGAAAGUAGAAAGAAAGAAACUGGUUUGUAGAGGCAAAAUAUUGUAUAAGGUAAAUAUUCGAUGAAUUGAACACGAUUAUUUAAUGAAUAUUUGUAUGGGUUGGAUAAGAAAAUGCUAAAUGCAAUUAAAAUAUUUAAUAAAAUUAGGCACAAAUGUACUGAUUUAUGUGGAAAAUCUCAGGGAAUAUUGUAGUUGGAUUGCUCGAAUUGAUUAUGGACCCACUAAGGAUUAAGUGAAAUGUUGGGAUCAUUAGUGAAUUUCUGCUAGAAUACAAAUUUUGAAGAUUAAAUAUAAUUUUGUACAUGUUGUAAUUGAAGAAUUAGAAUAGAAUUGUAAGUAAAGUUUAUCGUUAUAUUGGUCCAUACCGAAAGUUAUUGACUGAUAUUGCUUGGUUCAAUUGAAAAUUGACUACCGGCCUGAUUUGUAGGCAAAAAUAAUAUGACAUUGUGAAAAAUAUUGUCAUCAUAGAAAAGACAAUUAGUACAUAUUAAUUGAGUGAACAAUAAACAUAAUGAAGAAAAUGUAAAGCUGGAUACAUAACUGAAAAGAAGUUAGAAAAAAUAAAUAAAUUGACAUAAGAGUAGAUAAUUUAAAUAUUUUGGAAGAAAUUUCAAACUAGAUAAUAUAAAAUUAGGUAGUAGUAGUACAAUUAUAUGGAUUACAAAAAAUAAAUUAUAUAUGUAUAUGCAAAAUUAGAUAAAUUUAGAUUAAUUUAAUUGUGUAAAAUGACAUAAGAGCAUAAAAUUUCAGCAAAGAUAAUAUAAAAUUAGAUAUUCGUAGUAAAAUUUGGAUAAAUUAAUUGUAGAUAAUUAUAUUGUGUUGAUUGAUAGUCGCAGAUGGAUCGGGAGAAAGGAAAAAAUGCAGUAAUAAAUUUGAAUGAAGAGGACGAGAAUUGUGAGUCAUUUAGCUCAAGUGAAGAAGAAUUCAUUUCCUCGGAAACAAUAGAAAAAAAUUACCCUGUUGAUGAUAUGGAUGAAGAAGUGAUGAAUAUGGUAUUUGACAGUGAGGAAGAUGCAUAUGAGUUCUACAAUUUGUAUGGCAAGCUCACUGGUUUUGGCAUUAAGAAGGCAGAUGUUAAAAUUAGUCAAGAUGGAACUGUACAGUAUAGAAAAUUCGCAUGUUCUCGGGAAGGAAAAAGGCACGAGAGAUAUUACAAUCUAGCACAGAGGAUUAGGCAGCCCAGGCCAGAGACAAGGACAGGAUGUCUUGCAUGUCUACGCAUCAAACAUGACAAAGCAUCUGAAAAAUAUGUGGUGAUGAAUUUCGUGAAAGAACACAAUCACAAAAUGGCUUCCAAAUCAAGCAUUCCAUAUCUAUGGUCUCAUCGACACGUAACAGAUGCCGAUUAUGCUCAAGUACGAACAAUGAAAAUGGCAGGGGUGAAAACAAGUCAGGUUAUGAAAUUUUUUGCAAUGCAGUGUGGUAGAUAUGGUAAUGUUGGAUUUGUGCUAAAAGACCUAUAUAACCGUGUCGAUAAAGAAAGGAGAGUUUUGAUUGAGGCUGGGGAUGCAAAAAAUGCAAUUGCAUAUUUCAAUGGGAGGAAGGCCAGUGACAAAUCAUUCAUCUUUGAAUAUGAUGUGGACGAAGAAUCAAGGUUGAAGACCCUUUUCUGGGCAGAUUAUGAGUCCCAAUUGGAUUAUAAAUGUUUUGGUGAUGUUCUAUUAUUUGAUUCGACUUAUAAUGUCAACGAGUAUCAUAAGCCACUCGUUGUAUUUUCUGGAGUGAACAAUCAUUAUAAUACUGUUGUAUUCGGUACAGCCUUGGUAUCGGGUGAGAGAGUUGAAGAAUAUGAGUGGCUCCUUCACACAUUAACCAAAGUUAUGGGAGGACGAAAGCCAAAGGCCGUGAUAACAGAUGGGGACAAAGCAAUGAGGAGGGCAAUAAAUAAUGUGUUCCCAGAUGCUCGACAUAGAUUAUGCAUUUGGCAUUUGAUGAAAAUUGCAGACGCUAAAGCCAAAUCAAAUGUAUUCAAGUCAAUGUUCGGUAGGAUGAUGAAAAAGGCGUACCCCAUUGGUGACUUGGAGGAAGAGUGGUUUGCUGUUGUGGGUAAAUGCGGACUCCGCCAAAAUAAAUGGGUGGAAAAGAUUUUCGAAAUGAGGUUGCUAUGGGCUGAAUCGUUGCUUCGUGAUACUUUUUUUGCUGGAAUGCGAAGCACUCAAAGGUGCGAACAAAUGAAUGCUUUUCUUAAACAGUAUUUGAAGAAGAACAUGCGAUUUUAUGAGUCAGUCAUCAUCCAUGAGUUGGCUCUUACUCACUUGAGGCAUACUGGGGCCAAGGCAGUUUAUGAGACAGAAGAUACAAUAGUGGUUUUGGCAAUUGCAUUACAAAAGUUGGAGAAGCAUGCAUCCGAAGUGUAUACUCGAAAUGUUUUCUUUCGGGUAAAGAAGCACCUUAACAGACAAGGCCUAUAUGAUUGUUAUGAACGGAAAGAAACUUGGAAUGGCUGCAUAUUUUUUCUCAAAAAGUAUGCCGAUGACAGAACAUGGACCGUAGAGCUCAAUCGAAGGACCCUAUCAUUAAAGUGCUCGUGCAAGAAAAUGGAAUGGAAAGGGUUACCAUGCGCACACAUGUUUCGUGUAAUGCUGAUGGAAAACAUGCAAUCAAUACCAAAAUCCUGCAUUUUAAAAAGAUGGACAUGCGAGGCCAGAGAGGAGGCGGAUAAUGAAGUUCUUGAAGGGAGGCAGGAGAUAUAUGCUGAGUUGGUUCAAACUGCAAGAUUUGGAACGAUGACAUCAAUUUGCAAGGAAAUGUGUUUCUUUGCAUCCCAUAUGGAUGAUGGAUUUGCUCGUGUACGAGAUAUUGUUAUAAAGGAGACUAAUAAUUGGAGGAGAGCUUGGGUGGAGCGUGGAUUUGAUUGUGGCACUAAUGGAAGGUUAGCUGCGGAUUCAAAAGAGUCACGCUUAAGCCAAUAUUAUGUGAAGGACCCCGAGAGGACAAGAGCUAAAGGUGACCGGUUCAUACCAAUAAAAACAAAGCUGCUAAGUGUGGAAACUGUGGGUUAGUUAUCGUGAAUAAUAAAUUAGAUUAUACAUUUGCAGUAACUGAAAAUCAUAAAAUGGAUUAUCAUUGCAUUUGUUGUACUUUCAUUAAUUUUAUUGGUAUGAUCACAGGUUGUGUGAUGGCCACAACAAAAGGACAUGUCCUCAUAACUUGCUUAGUUACGAUGCAUGUGGUAUUUCUGGAAGCCAAGCAAUUCAUUAUAGCAACCCAGGAUCAAGGACUAUGGGUGACUCAAGAUUCCAGUUCGGUGCAUCCUCAUCUGGUGAUUUUCAAGGAGUUCAGCAUCCAUUCCUAAGUCACUCAGGAAUGUUAAAUAGAGUUGACAGAGAUGGAAGCAGUAGCCAAAAAAUUGAUCAUAGUCAAUCUCACACGAUGCAGAGUCCUUGGAGUGAAUGGAAUGGAACAGGAUCAUACACAAUUGUAGACCGAAAUAGCUAUUCAGCUUCUUUCUGGAAAAGUUAAUCGCUAGGCUAUACUGUGAUAGGAAGCAUUGGAUUUUUCUUGGUAGGCCCACUGACUAACGGACGUGAUUUUAUUUUCUACUCCCGUUUGUUUUAUUUUCUACUCGCCACUUUAUGUUUACAAUUUUGAAUACCAAAUUCAAAAUUUCACGGUGAUAGGAAGCAUUGGGUCUUUCUUGGUGGGCCCACUGACUAACCGACGUGAUUUUAUUUUCUACUCCCCCUGUUUUAUUUUUUACUCCCGCGUGUUUUAUUUUCUACGCGCCACUAACUGAUUACAAUUUUCCAAAUUCAAAAUUUUCAUGAAAUGAAAUUGACGCGCGUGGUAGAAAAAUCAAAAGACACGAAUUCAAGUUUUUGUAGCCAAAUAAAAGGCCAUCUAAAGUAUUUCAAGUAGCCAUUUCGAUAGCUGACAUAGUAAACAGCAUGUCUUCAGCUUCUUCUCACCUUCGCCAUGGCUAUGCAGUUGAAUGGCCCCAACGAUUGUGUUCGUGUGGAAGGGUUUGUGACAUCAAGAUUGUUGAGAAGUCGGAGAAAAAUCUAGGGAGAUAUUACUAUGCUUGCCCAAAGGAAUCGGUAAACUAUUUAUUCAACUUCAGUUCCUAGUUUGUAGUAUAUGAUUAACUCCGACCCCUGCAUAUCAUUAACUUGUUCUUUAAUUUUUUCCAGCAAAAAUGUCUCGGAUUUAGAGGGUGGUGCGAUGUCUAUGCAACAACUAUUAAAAACUCAAACAUGCAAUCUAUCUCAGGAAAUGAAGGCGAGAGUUCGACGGCUAACCUCAUGUCCCCUAAGAGCACCAACGGCCACCGAGGUGCAGAGACAGACAUCGAGCGUGUGAGUAUAGAUGUUGCCCGGUUGAAGGUAGACAUGGCACACAUAUCGGAUGCUAUGUGGAAGGUCAAAGAAGGAGUUGUUUUGUCGUUGACCAUUGCAUUCAUUCUUCUAUUGAAGCUGUAGGCCAGUUCUAUUUGUUUAUAUAUUAAAGCAGUAGAACUAUCCAAUAUAUUUUUCUUGUGUUCUAUUUAUUUAGUGUGUCAGAAUGCUGGUGGAUGGAAAGUUAUUACGGGAUAACCACAAAUUUUUUUUUUGUUGCCUUUAUCUCAAUUUGCAUCUUCCUAGUGUUUUGGUGGGGGGUUGAAGACAAUGGUGCAGCUUUAAUUCUAAGCUUAUCACGUUCUCUUGUGCAAGAGUUAUCCACGUGAUAUUGUGUUCAUGAGAUUGCUUUCUGGCCACAAAUUCUAGACAAAGGGGACCACCACUGAAAUAAGGAGGCUAAGAAAUAAUAAAUGGCUUUGGUGGGUAUUCUUCAACCACCAAAAACAACUUCAGGAGAUGAAGAAUACUCUUCGCCGAGAGUUUUCGCCAGGAAUAUGUUUUGGUUGAACAUGCUGCAGACCGAGGAGUAAGAAGGUUCGUAAAAAUUCUGGAAUGGAAAGUUUUUGUUUAACUUCAAAUAUUUUUUUAAAAUUCUUAAGCUAAUGGAAAGUUUUUUUUUUUUUAAAAGAUCUCAACUCUCCUUCAUUUCUCAACCUUUAAAUUCUUGAGAUACGAAUUAUCUCAACUCCUUCAUUUCUGUGUAAUCUGUUUUGGGAGGUUUGGUACUGGAAAUCAUUAUCCCUGUUUCUAUGAGAUUUUAUAUAAUCUAUUACAUUUGAAGACAAAAAAAAGGACAUAAUUUUAUAGUUAAACAUAUUUUUUUAAAUUCUUGAAGUUGUUAAAUGAACUUAUAUUUCUUUAAGUUGUUGAAGUUAUUGUUUAAUGAACAUAAUUUUUUAGUUAAACUUUCAAGGUUGUUGUUUAAUAAACUGAUUUCUUUAAAUUGUCAAAGUUGUUCUUUAGUAAAUCUUGAAUUUUUUUUUUUGAGCAAUCUGAUGUGAUGAGAUUUCUACUGAGGAUUCGUUGCUGGGAGCAUCGUCAGCUUCCUUCCAUUGUCCGGGUCACCAGGUCUACCCGACCCAUAAAUUGCUAUUUCUCACUUACAACGGAGAAAUAGCAAUGAUUUCACCUACAAUGGAGGUUACGGAGGAGGCGGAGGAGGUGGGUGUUUCAAGUGUGGUGGGUUCUUUGAUUUCACUGUCUAUGUUUUCUAUUUUACUUUUUGUUUUAUUUGGGGGUUGGCUUAAGGUUUUUAAAGGCUUUGAUCUGGUGAACCACACGGUACUAAAUGCGAAUGUUAUUUUGUGGUGGGUUAUUUUUGUGAUUAAGUGGUCACCUGCAUAUAAAAUAAUCUCACCUAGAAUGCACGAGUCCCUCUUGGUAGGUGUCUUUGCUCUCUUGUAGGCACCAUCUCACCCGGCUGCGUGUUCUUCUCGAAGAACCCAAAUUUCACAAACUCAAAGAUCUUAAUUUCGCUCCUUCCCUUUUCUCCUAGAUUCCUUUCACUAACCGUCUGGAUCCACCGUUAAGAAGAUCUAACAACCACACAUAAGAUGUUUGGGGGACUAUGAGAGAUCAGGUACAAGAAGAUCCCAUAAGGUGUUUUUUGUUGUAAUCAAGAUGAUUAUUUAAAUACAUGCACUUCUUUAUUCCAUUUCCACCAGCACAUAUCAAGAAAAUUCUGAUAUAGAAAGUGAAAAGGCUUUAUUUUUGUUGAAUAUUAGGAAGUGAUCGGUUCUCUCGUACGCUGAAAUUUCUUAUCUACUAGUCUAUUGGCUCCUCAGCCUUGGGUAGUCCUUUUUUCUGUUCUGCUUCAAUGUGUGAAUGAGGGGAAAUUUAUGUAUAAACAAAGACUAACAGUACCCGCGAUUAUAUCGUGGAAUUUGGGCAGACACUUUUCAAGGGUCAAAGAUGCAUGUAUAUGUUUUGUUCAGAUUCCUGGUUUUCAUUUGAAAAAGAUGCUCUCCUGCUGCUCCAUUCUUCUAUCACUAAGCUGAGAAAUAACAAGUGAAACGCUUCAUCGAGAAGGAGAUGGAUUUUGGUUUCAAAGCUGUUAAACUGGUUCUGUUUCGAAGGAGGUUGUCAACAUGCACUUCAGGUGUGUGGUUGAGAAGAUCAAAUUGGAAAGGGUGGAGGAUUCUCGGGACUUUAGCUGUGUUAUUUGACAUCCUGCAACUGAGGAAAAAGUUUCGGAAUUGCUCAUUCUCUUUUGUUAGAAAGUGAAAAUGGCAAUGUAGUGGCCCAUUCUUUGGCAAGAUUUGCCUUAAACUUAGUUGCUGAUAUAGAUUGGAGAUUUUCCAUUCCUAGCUGGCUGCUUCAGUUAGCCAACAUUGAUGUAGGAGCAGUUGCUCCAAGUGAUGUAAGCAUUUUAUGAUUUUUUUGGAAAUCUGUUAUCGUUUGGAAAAUGCAUAUGAUAUAUGCUACUGGCUCUGUUUUGCAAUCUGUUAUCGUUUGGAAAUCAGUUGCUCCGGAUAGUUUAGUCUUCAACUCUUGAUGAAUGAAUAUGAUAUAUACUACUGGCUCUGUUUUGCAAUUUGGUUGUUUUGCCACUUACGCCUGAUGUUUGUUUCGUUCCGACUUUAGCUCAGUGCUGUAAGUUUUCUUACCUCUGAAAACGAUUCAUAGAUUGACUAUUUGCCCGUAUUAUUCAAAAUUAGUGUACUAUAGAUCCUCUGUGAUUUGUAUGGAUAACACACGGACCUCUACUAAUGGAGGUCGAAAUGACGAAAUCUCUUCAACGGGGCCCCAUCUCUGCUUGCUCUUUAAUCAAAUUAGUACUACUGUUGGGUUUCAAUGCUCUUUAAUCAAAUUUUUUCCAAUGAACAGAUGCCAUGAGUUGUUCAAAGUUGACGGAUGCUUCAAUGGCCUCUGCAAAUUUUCUAAUUCAAUGGCCUCUGCAAAUUUUCAAUAGAAGAAUAAAUCGCAUAUCAUAGGCCUCUGCAAAUUUUCAACAGAAGAAUAAAUUGCAUAUCAUAGAGCCUGGAGUGGUUAACUCCAAUUAACCAAUCUCCUUCAAAAAAUUAAUAAGUCCAAUUUUGACUUGUCAAAGCAGCUCCUAAACAAGAAUAUAUCGCUGUCAUGGAAGAAUUGAUAAUCACUACUAUUGACUACCCGAGAAACAAUGAACCAAUUCAUGGCAUUAAGGCCUUGGAUAUAUAAACACUUGGGACGGUCUUCAGCUAUUUCUGCCAGGCUGAGAUGACCAAAAAAAUUUCAAACAAAAAAGCUACAAAAGAAUGUGAAGACCUUCAACUCUGUCUAACUAUCACAAAACAAUGGGAAGGUCUUCAGCUAAUUCUGCCAGGCUGAGAUACCAAAAAAUAUUUUCAACAAAAAACCUACAAAGUAAUGGGAAGACCUUUAGCUCCUUGUUCAAGCACACUUGUUCAUUGUUCAUAGGUUUAUGCCGCAAGUUUCAAUUCCCAACAUGCCCAUUACUCUUAGGCCACGUCCUUUAACCUGGUUUCCAUCAUCCAAGAACAAUCUAACAGCUACCUUCUUACGCUCUGCAACAGAAUCAAACUGCAAUAGCAAUAGCAAAUAAUGAAACCGGUGAGUAUGAAUGCAUUCUUUGGUCUAAGAAUGUUAGUGCAUAAUUUGCUAAAAUCGAGAUUUUAAUACCUGUAAUUGCAAAUUCGGACCUAAGAAUUGACACUUUUCCAUGAACUUGAGUACGUAUAUCCCACAAUCAUAUCUAAAAAUGAAUUAAGCAUGAAAUUUUUUUGUACAAUCAAUCAUUGAAUUGCAGUAAUUUUUUUUACAAAUUGCAAUAAUAUUAUCACGGGCUCCCAAGGGAUAUUACUCACAAGUUGGGCUGACGCGAGCACCAAUCGGGUGCAUCAAUAAUGAAAUCUGUGAAAAUUCUAUGAGCUUUCCUCCCAUCCAUCCCAACAAACAAAGCCAUUUGAAGUCUACCCCACUGUGGCCAAUUAUCGAUUUAUCAAAUGAUAGUACACAGAAUUGAAAUUUUGACAACAAACGGUCUAUUGAUCAUCCUCAAAAUACUUACUAGUUUUUUCGUCAUUGCCAACCGUAGGUAGUUCUCCAACUCAUUUUUAGCUGGCAACGAGUCGAGAAGAAGCACAGUUCCAGAUGUCAAAUCAGCUACGAUUAAUAGCCAAUGAACCCUUUCCCAAUUGAAGGGGAUGCAUAUCCUCUCACACUUGUCAAUAGGCCCCCCAAAUCGAUCUCCCGUAAAAAAUGCUCUAUACAGCACAUCAUCACACUUGUUGAAAUCCAGAGCUACAACCUGCCAUUAGAGGAUGUUCCAAUUCAUAAGUAGGAGUUUAGCUUAUCAUUUCAUUUCCCAUUUCAAGUACAUUCAGAGACUAACCGCAAAAUCAACUGGCAGAUACCACACAGGAUAGCUUGUCUCGACUAUAUCUUUCCUUGCUCUUCGUGUUAGCAUUGACACGUAACAAGAGAUCACCUGACAUGAAUCAACUGCGACUUAGGCCAACCAUUUCCAUUCACAUAAAUGUGGAUUUGAAAUUACAUAAAUUAAAAAAUCAGCAUAUUAAGUUCAUAAUUGGUUGACUUCACCUCGGAACUUAACCAUCCUUCAGGAAGCAAUGUUUGCAUGGCUUCUCUAGAUGCCGUGUGAGACAAAAUAUGAACGAUUAUGGAGCUGCAAUUCAAAGGGAGUAGCAUUCUUACCAUCCAUUAUUUCACCAAAAAUCUUCAAAUAUGUAUACAUGAUAAUUUGUAUAGCAAUAGCGAGAGCUUCUCACCUACGGGGCAUCGAGUCGUCAACAAUGUAAUCAAAUAUCCUAUUUAUUCUUUCAGAAUUUUCCUGUGACGACUCCGAUGUCUGUUUUAUCUACCAAUCACCAGUGUGUUUUAUAUCUAAGGUCACAUCAUUGGAAACCAAGGUAAAAAAAUAAAAGUGCAAAAACCAUGAAUGGAAUAUGUAUUAUCACAUUUAUCUGGUUAUGUGCUUUCUUCCCGUGCUUUCUUCUCUUCCUAACCAUGGUCCGGAUUUCAAAGGGACUUAGUCUUUGCUCCUUUAGUUCAUUCCUAUCUCUCUUUCCUUUACAUUUUUCUGUCAUGACUACAUUAUUACAGCUUGACAUAGAUGCAGCUAUUGCAACUGCUGUGUUGGCGCGAAUGCCAUCCCUCCUUUUAGUAGACUUUGGUUCCCAUUUUGCUGGCUUCACCUCCGGGAUCCUCCGAGGUAGUGAUAACAUAUCAUCUACAUCAUAAAUUUUCUCACAUACUGUAUCACAACCUUUCCCUAACUUUGGUGGUGUUAUUGGGUUAUGAUAAUUAGUUUCUAGGUAUCCACUCUUAUUCUCAAUCUCCUUGGCUGCCAUCUUUCCUUCCUGCCUUCGGUCAUUGGAUUCCCCAACUUUUUGUGGCGUUACUGGAUUCCUCAUACAAGUCCUUUUUGAGGCCAUCUUCUUGCCAAUCCCACUUUCCAUUCAUCUACUACAUCUCUAUCAAUUGAACACCCUUUACCUUCAUUUAUUGCAGCAACAAUAGUCAAUAGGAUCCUGUGAUUCGUGUUUAUCUUCGUCUCUAGCCUAAACAUCCUCGCUUCCAAUUCCUCUUGCUGGCCUCCUAAUUUCAUCAUAGCCAUCUGUACACCUCGCAAUGCGUCAGCUGUUAAUUGGUCUGCACAACCUUUUUCAGCUUUUUCUUCAUCAUAUAACUUUCGGUCAACUACUCUCUCAGCCACUAUAACAUCAACCUACAAUAACAAGCCAAUUUUAGGAAACUUAAUCGACAUAAGUAUAUGAUCAUUGCAUUUAUUUUUUAUGAAAUCCUACCUCAUUGCCAUCAAAUAAUCCAGCACCUUGGAGUUCUAUUAUUUUGAAUUUCAAAUCAGUUUCAGCCCAAUACCAGAUUCGUGGCGUUGGCCUCAUGCUCAUUAGAAUAGGCUUACAUCUCCUCAAUUUCACAUGCUCUAAGUAGAAUAUCUAGCAUCACAAAUCGAUACCAAGUUAGUUGCUAAAAUGUAAAUGCAACUCUAACUUUUAAACAGCAAAUUGAGCUCACCAUCAAGAAAACCAUGCAGCCCCCCACUUCUGGAAAUGGUUUCUCUACUCUGUUCGCUAUGCCGUUGGCCAAUUCAUCUAAAACGUACUUUGACCAGUUUAUCAUUUCCAGUAGGUCCACCUUUGCCACCGCAGGAAUUAGAGUUCUACUGAUGCCAUAGCCUAUGGGUGGUGCCAGUAAUCUACCUAUCAAAUAUAGAACAAAUUUCACUUUAAACUCUGCCCCACUGCUAUCCAAUUGUUGUAUGUUCCUCCCCAAAUUUGCCAAACCGACCUGGUUUCCAAUAACAUUUAUAUUCAGCUCCCUCUCAAUUUUCUGGUCAACGCCAUGUGUACUUACCAUCAGUUGCAUUCCAUGACUUUUAAGUCCUAGAAUGUACUCCACAUCCCGUGGAGUAAUCUCUAGGUUAUAUCCAUGCACAUUUAGUGUUUUUUUGCUUGCAUCAAACCUCUCAAUAAGCCAUGACAAGAGCUCCAUAUUUAUGUCAAAUUGAUUAAAAUGCAAGAUAGAUCCGAAUCCUAUGCUUUCCACUGCCUUGACCUGGUCAUCAUUCAGUCCCUUCACUAUCUCCCUUACCAUAUACAUCGAAGAACUGGUGCUGUAUAUUACCUGUUUAGAUAUAUAAGUAAUCUCAUCACUAUAUCUUUUUUUCGAUACUGAUAAGCAUAUUAUUGUAAUACUUGUAAUUUUGCACUAUUGUCUCACCCCUUUGCCUCCACUUCCCAUUCCAUCGGGACCUCCUCGCACCUCCCUGCUAGCCAUAGACAAGCCAAACAAAAAAUUUUUUUAUCCCAGGUCCAUGUCCAUUUGCAAGUCCAAAAUCAAAUGGGCUCAGUUUCCAUACUAACAAGUCUCGGUUCUUAACAAAAAAAUGCACCCAAUAUAACAUAGAAUGCUGUUUCAUGCAUUUACCAUAACACAAUCAGAUUGAAAAUUUUCAUUUUCCCCUUUUUCUUAGCCUAUGUGAACAUAAAUAAGUUUCAUGGAUUUUCUCUGAUUUCUUUCCCUUUUCUUAGCCUAUGCGAACAUAAUUAUGUUUCAUGGAUUUUCUACGGUUUCUGCCUUCAAAUUUUUUUCACACAUACCUGUACGUUGGCCAAAUCGAUCCUUCACCUGGCCAAUCUGCUUCUAUUUCAAAAAAUACCGUUGUUGAUCCACUUGUUCUCGUACUUGAUCCACUCAUUCUAUUUCAAACCUGCCACUGCUUCUCUCGGCUAAUCUUUUGUCAGGUUUACCUCUUGUGGAGGAUGAUUCAUUACACCAUUUUGGAUGUCAAUCUGGUAAUUAAAAUUUGCAGCCAGCCCAUCUCACCUUGCCCAUCUCAUCUUGGGUCUCUUACUACGGUGGGGGUUUUCUUCGGCCUUGGGUCUUUUAGCGAUGAGGGAGUGCGAAAGUCUUUUAGUGAGGAGGGAGUGCGAAUUUUCUUCGGCCUUGGGUCUUUUAGCGAGGAGGGAGUGCGAAGCGUAAUUUCUCCAGAUGACUUGCCUAUUCUUCCUACCGAAGCCUCCUCAACUUUACUGAAGUGAAAAGUGAUAAGGUUCAACUUUACUAAAGUGAAAAGUGAAAAGUGAUCAGGUUCAACUUUUCCUUCAAUUUCCUUUUACCGGUUUUAUUAUUACUUUAUACUUACUUGUCCCCACAAUUCAGACUUGUUAGCUGGUAUAACUUCAACUCAAUACUUGUGUCGGUCUAAUACCAAUUGAGUGGUACAAACCACUGUACCAUUUUGAAGAGGCUUCGAUACAUACAGAUGUGGAGACAUUUUUCAAAAAAUUUUCUGCGGUGUUUCAAUCUCAACAAAGCAUCAGAUGUGUGUCACUGACAAACAUAGGUAGUCUCAACGUUUUUUUGCCAAAUGCCAAACCUGGAGGGCUAGAUUUUAGAUUUCCAAAUCAUAGGAGGAUAAUUUAAACAUUUGCUAAAUCACCAGGGUCUUUUUGGUAUUUAACCCAAUUUUCUUUCAUCCAUUGAAAAUGUAUUAGUACAUUUGCUUCUACACAAUCUAGUACUUCCAAUCUGUAUUCACUACUGCUCAAGCAAAUGUGAUGUUUGUUCUUGUUUUUCAACCUUCAUGUUUUCUCCCAAUCUGCAUGGAUGUCAGAUUUCUAUAGACCAAAUCCUUAUUCUUAUUAAGUUCAUAUUCUAAGUUUUGAAUCGAUAGUGAUUUGAUCAAACAUGUUUUUAUCAGUUUACACUUUCAAAAUGACAAUCAAAAUAUCAUAUAAGGGUGUACGUGUGUUGUGUGUGAGUUAGUGAGUGAGGGUGUGUUCAACUCCAUUUUGAAUUGUUCUAGGUAUUUGUAGAAUAUUAUUGAUCCAAAAUUCUACCAAUGUACAUUGGCCUUAAAUUAUUUUUCUUCAAAGAAAUGAAGCCUAAUGAUUUGUUGCGGUUACUUGUAGCAUUUUUAACAUGGAUAAGACCAAAGAAUUGCGGUCUCAGCCGGCCAUCCCGCGUAAAUUACUUGGUAAUUUUCUAUAUCUUGUCAUCUUUGUGUUUGUCAAGUUCAUAAACCUCAAUCGAGGAAGACAAAUGUACCUCUUUAUAAUCGUCUCUAUGAGCAGUCAAUAUCUCAUUAUAUAUCACAUCACAUACACAUAUCUUUUUUUUUUUUUUGGGUCAUAAUGACUAAAAACCAACAAUUCAUUCUAGAUUCAAUCUUAAAUAAUCAAAUAAUUGGCCCGUUUUGAUCAUUUUCCUCUAUUCGUUUUGAGAACAGUCUCUUAUUCUUCUUCAAUUUUGCUCCUCCAGAUCUUCCUCGAACUUCAUUAUGGCCACUAUGAACUUUGAUUCAAGCGUCAAAAUGAAAUUCCAGGGGGAAGAAGAUGAACCCCUAAAGCCAAAAACCAAUCUGAGAUUCAUCAUCUAUUUCAUUGUUAUUGUUGCUGCACUAUCCUCAGCUUUCACGAUAUGGAAAUCACACCUCAGAAGUCCCUCAACUGCAAUUCAAGUCGCCUGUUCGAGGACUUUUCAUCAUGAUUUAUGCUACAAAUCUCUAUUAUCCCUCCACAAGAACACCUCCAGGACCCCAUCAAACUCCAUCACCCUAUCACAAGUCUUCACUCUUUCACUGCAAGCCGGCAUAAACGAGCUCAGUGAUCAAAUUAUUCCUGAAUUAAAGAAAAAAUUGAUCACUGAAACUAAUCGAUGGAGACUAAGGAGUUUCAAAAAGUGUGACAACUGGCUGACUGAUUCGCUGGGAUUACUCAACAGUUCCUUGACAAUAAUGGGAGCUGAUGAGCCCAAUGAGAAAAUCUUUAGUGACGCGAAUUUUACCUUCUACAUGGAGGUCAAGAUCACUGAUGCAAGAGAUAAUAUAGCUGCAUGCAGGAGUGAAUCGAUCCACAUGAAGAUGAAAGAGGCCUGGUUCUAUGCGGAUAAUAGCUUGAGGAUUUUAUAUUACAGAACUGAAAUUCAUCAAGAGUUGAAUCCAACUAUAGCAAGUCUUUGGAACUCCCUAUUUAUGAGUGGAGCAUUUGGCAUGGUAUUGGCUUACAUACCAUUUGUCUUCUUAUUUUUUCUGGUUAUCUUGUUUUUAAGGACCUAAGUUUCAAUUUAGAGUGUUAAACCACUUUUGUUUACGGCAUAUCUUUAUCGCAAUAUGAUGUUAUCUUCUGUCUUUCCUAUUUUUCCCCACCUUUCUUUACCAUGUGUAGGUUUAUUUGUGAUUUUUCAUUUCUUUGGUGACUUGAAAAAGAUUUACAAAUGGUGGACUAAUAGAAUAAAAGGGAGAUCUGUUAGUACCAUACUUGAGAAUUUUUCAACUUUUUAAUUUAUUUAUUUACGUCAAAGUCUACUUUUACUACUUUGAGCAUGCAUGAAUAUAUUGUUAUAGGAGAUGAAAUGGAUCAAUGGAUGAACUAUAAUUAACCACCUCACUCCUUCUAGACUUAUUUUUGUAGAAUAUUUUCUUUACAAAUUAUGGGCCAUUUUCUAUGUCCAUUCCUCUUGAGCACCCAUGAGAUUAUAUUACAAGGCUUUGCCACAAGUUCAAGUAUUCAAGUUGUUUUUGUGUAAAACUUUCAAGAAUGGUUUCAUAAGUCAUACAUAAGGUUUACUGUAAUAUGUUUGUGUGUUUUGGUAGCAAUUUCUUGAAAACUCGUACUUUCUAAGUAAUUGUCUUGAAUUACACCAUAAUUUAUAAACACACACGCGUAAAUUAAAUUAUUAGCAAUAGAAAUAAAUUGUCUAGAAAUUUAAUACCUAAAAUUGAUAGUUCCUUUUCUUUUGGCUAAGGGGGAACAUUUAUGAUUUAUAUGCCUAUAUAGGGGUGGCAAUGGCGCGGGGGUGCCUCGUCCCCCGCCUCCCGCCCCGCCCCGCCCCGCUUCCCCCGCAGGGGCACCCGCGAGAUUAAAAAAAAUUUUAUUAUAAUUAAAUUUUAGCAAAUAAUCAAGUACUAAAAUAUCAACACAUCAUCAAAUUAUUAUUCAUUGUAAUUUCACAAUUGAAACUCAUAAAAAUAAUUAAACAAAAGUUAUGAUUAAAAAAUAUAACUAAAAUAAUCAAGUUUUCACUUUUGAUACAAAUACAAUCACUAAAUUAUUAUUGUGUCUUUUUAGAAAAAAGUGUUAUUGUAUUAAGUGUAGUUAGGAAAUUAAUAUAAACGUAUUAAUAAAUUUAGUAUAAAUAAUUAAUAAAUUUUAUUAAUAAACAUGUAUAAUUAGUAGUAUAAUUGAUAAUAUCAUUAUAUAUAUAAUUAUGUACAUAUAUAUAUUGUUUCAAAUGGGUGGCGGGGCGGGAGAAUAUACCCCCGUCCCCCGCCUUGUUUGUAAACGGGGGGAAAAAUUCCCCCCGGCCCCCGCCCCAACCCCCGCCUCAAUAGUCCCUCGCGGGGACACCCACCCCUAUGCCUAUAGUCAACAUUGAUGAAUAUGUGUACAAUAUAUAAAGGGAGAGCAACACUCUGUGGUCUAAAAACACAAUAAUGACACUUUUUAAAAUUUCUAAUCUAUCCUUAAUUAUACGGUUAAAUUGGUCCCAAUAUAUUCUAGAAAAAAACUCCCUAUAAUCAGCAAAAAGUUAUCCUUUUGAGAACAAAUUACAACUUCUUCACGAUAACUCCCUCACAUCCUUACUUUUUUCUCCAUCCCUUUAAGAUCUUGGAUAGAUAAUUUUUCCAAAAAUUUUUUUCGCUUGCAUCAUAAACACAUUUUCCAAUUUACUUUUUUAUAUUUCCAACCACCUUUUUAUCUCAUAUACAUUACAUCACAAAAAGUACUACAGUGAUUAUUUCAAAUAAUUAUUUGUAAUAAUACUCUAUCUAAACAAAGCCUAUGUGUACAACUUCUUCACACUAACUUCUUCACAUUGCCACUUUUUCCUCCAAGAUUUUUUAAAUAUAAUAACUUCCUCUGAAAUACUAACUAGAUUUUUUUGGAUAAAUACAUAUAUGUCUAACAUGACAUGUGACUUAACAUGAAAAAAAAUAAGGGCUGCAUUUUCUUGAAAAAAGCACACACCUAUGGUGUGCCAAAAGUAUACCUAAAAUUGAAAUUUUUUUAGAAUUAAUCUUUUAUACAUUGACAGUGUAUAUAUUUUCACUAUAGGAUGCAUGACAUAUAAUUUAAAUUUGAAUCUGAAACCUAAAUUUUGCACAUAUAUUAUGCAUUUAAUCGUGAUAGUGUAUAUACUGUCAGUAUAUAUAUUUACUCAAUUUUCUAUAACUAGUGGGGCCCUUGCCCCAUAUAACAAAUAUGCUCCUCCUCUGGUAGGGGCGUGCAAAAUCGAAAAAUUCCGAUUUACCGACCGAAUUCGAAUUGAAUUCGGAAUUUUCGAAAUCGGUAAAUCGGAAAUCGGAAUCGAAUUCGGAUUUUCCGAAUUCAUAUAUUUCGAAUUUGGUUCGAAUUCGGUAAUGGAGUUUUUCAAAUCGGAAUUUCCAAUUUCGAAUUCACAAUUCGAAAUCGGAAUUCGAAUUCCGAUUUCGAUUUCAAAUUCGUUUUUAAUAUAUAAAUAUAUUUUUUAUACAUGUAAUAUAAAAUUUAUACUAUAUAAUAUUAUAUAAAAUUUAUAUAAUAUAAUAUAAAAUUUAUAAAAUUUAUAUAAUAUUAUAUAAUAUUAUAUAUUAUUAUAAAUUUUAUAUUAUAUAAUAAUAUAUAAAUUUUUCCGAAUUCGGUGAAAUCGGUGAAAUCGGAAUUUACCGAAUUCAUUCCGAAUUGAAUUCGGUACGAAUUCGAAUUCGGAAUUGGUGAAUUCGAAAUCGAAUUCGAUCGAAUUACCAGGUACCAAAAUUUCGAAAAAUUCCGAAUUCAAACUUCCGAAUUACCGAAAUCGAAUUCGAUGCACACCCCUAUCCUCUGGUGGUCAGUGCUCUCCACUACAUCAGUCAAAAAUACUUGCGUGUUGGUCUUUUUAGAUCGUGGUUAGAAAUUUCCCGAAGUUUGACCUCUUGUUUCAUACUUUCAUAUAGUUUCAUUGGUUCAGAGACUUCCACAAAACUUGACUACUUCCACAGAAAUUUCCCGAGGCCAGAGUUGACUUGACUACUUCCACAAAACUUGCACAGUAUCCAUUGUCUGUUUGGAAGAUACUCAAGCAGCUGGAAAUAAAUAAUAUCUUUUCCACUCCAUAUUCCCACUCGACAGAGUAUCAUCUCCUUAUUCUCAAACAAAUCCCACAAGAAAGUGUGGAAAUCAGAUAUGAACUCAGUCACCAACAAGGAUAGGCACCUGAUGGAAGAUCCAGCUUCGAGACAGAAAAAGAAGAUAAGGAGCUACGUUUUUUUCAUCGUCUUAUUCACAGUUAUCAUCGGAUCAAUCAUCACAGUUUCCAUAGCUCUCAUACAAGAAAAAGAGUCUGAGUUACUCUCCGCUUCAACUCCAGAUAGCGCAAUUCAUGCCAUCUGCAAGCUGACUCCAAAACCAACCUCAUGUUUCGACUCCAUAUGGAGCCUCCGCACGAAUUUCUCCACCGAUUUAGGCAAGAUCAAGACCACCCCAUCAAGAAUUUUCGCCCUCUCUCUCCGAGCUGCUAUCAAUCAGCUAGAGGACUCGAUUUCAGCUAAUGAAAAGGCAAUCUCUGAGGUCAAAGAUUCAAGAACUUUGACAGUUUUGAAAGACUGCGAUGUUUUGUUCAGGAAUUCUUCAAGGCUUGUAAACGCGUCUGUGACUGCAAUGGGAGUCGAAUCCGAUGACAAAAUCUUUAAGGUCGCGAAAUCUGUUGAUGACAUGAAAGAAUGGAUGUCAAGCUCUGCUGCAAAUAUAGACAAAUGUUUGGCCGGAUUGAGAUAUGAUCUUCAAGGAUCGAUAAAUGGGAAGUCUUAUUAUAGUCUACGGGAAAUGAGGAUCAAGGUUUCGCACGCGAGGGAUGAUGUAGCUAAUAGCUUGGUAAUGCUAGAAAAGAUGGACACCAUUCUCGGCAUGUUUAAUCAGACUAUAUUUGAUGGGAUUUUUGAGUUUGAUAUACUGGAAUAUCUUGGUUUUGGAUUGGUCCUUUAUGUUCCACAAUAUUUGGUCUUAGUCGUUCUUAUUUGCACGGUGCUACGAUUGUAAAUUAAUGAUAUUGGAACUUGGAAGAACAGUCCACAGACCUGAGAAAUGUGGACACUUUUUUGUGUAAUUUUUGCUCUUGUUGUGUAGACCGCUGUGUAGCCUAUAUGGUGAGUUAAUCACAGUCAAUAAGUCAACCUUCAGAUUCAUUUGUGAUUUUUCUAAAUAAUAUGUUUUUAAAGCACUUGUUAACGCGUCUAAUAUUCACCUAACUUAUCAGAUAUAUAUACAUACUAACAAUUAUUAUCUUCCUUAUAUUUAUAUACUUUUCCUAUUUAAUCUUACCUAAUAUCUCUUGUAUUUAUUUAUUUUCUCUAAUUAAUCUUAUAUUUUCAAAAAUAUAAGACCAGAAGGGCACACGCUAGACAGACUAAUCAUUUGCAGAGAAAAUUUUUGGAGAAUUCUUGAUCGAAUUGGAACUUUGCAAUUUAUGUCACAAAGGGAAUUUUAUCUUAAAAAAAAUUAUGCCUUUGAUUCAAAUAUUGAAAAAGUAAUUUAACAAAAAAUUUUCUUUUAUUUUUCCUUUCCCAUUUACAAAAAUCCAAUAUCAUCACUAGUAUAGUAUACUAUUCAUAGUUGUUUCACAAAGAAUGGCAACCUUUUUUUUCUUUUUAAGAAUGGCAAUCUUAUUUACCAUAUUAGUGAUUUAGUAAUGUAAAAAGGCAAAGACUAUUUUUUACUAGCAAGCACCUUGUUUCGAUCGACUAUACAUGAAAAUUGACAGACCAAAUCCAAAUUCCGGAAAAGCUAUUGGGCCAACAAAAUAGUACUGAAGUAGUAGUAAUAGAAUUCAUUGGGCCGGUCCAUAACAAUAGACCCUCCUAGUCCUUUCCAUAUAGCCCUAAUACCAAAUACAAAAACCCUCAUUCCGCUGCUGGGAAAUUUGCAUUUGCUAGGGUUUUGUUUCGUUCCCACUUCUCAGUCGGCAGCUCAAUUUUCAGUCUCUCUCUCUCUCUCUCAGAGCCACCGUCGUUGAAAAUGGUAAUAAAAAGCCCUUUAAUUUCAGUCUUAACGUUAAUCUUCAUAUUAAUCUCUGUCUUCCUUCAUGGUAAAAGCUUCUUAAUUUCUCCUGUUCUUCCUCAGAAUCGAGUUUGUAGUGUACUUUUGUACUGUUUUUCUGGGAUUGCAUUGAUUUUUUCGGCUAUGAAUGUUGUAGAAUGGUAAUAUUAAUCAUAUUCCUGUUUUCCAUUUGGUCUGCUCCUUUAAAAUUUAGCAAAAAUGUUGUGAAACUCUUAUAGUUUUCGUUGUGGAUGAUAUUUGUGAUUAUAGAAGAUAUAAUAAGGGUUGAAUGGUGGUUUUGCAGUCGAAGAGAAGGCAAAGGGAGCCGAAGGAGGAGAAUGUGACCUUGGGCCCUGCUACCAGGGACGGAGAGCAAGUUUUUGGGGUUGCCCACAUUUUUGCCUCCUUCAAUGACACCUUUAUUGUAUGUUUCACAUUUUGUUGUAUUUGAAUAUGGGGUGUGAAUUUUUUGUUUUUUUAUUUUCAGAUUUUCUUCUGAUUGGAAUCUUUAAAUUUGAGAUCGUUUUUGAGUUUCCUUGUUUUCUUUCCUACCUGCAGCAUGUGACUGAUCUAUCUGGACGAGAAACACUCGUUCGCAUUACUGGUAAAGAUUCUAGUCUUUUCAAUCCUUUCUCUUGACUUUGUGGGAAAAGAAAAGUUUUUGAGUCGUUGUUUUGUCAACUUUUGCAUUGUAGAGAUUUAAGAAACUAAAAUGGCAGUCAAAGAAGGUUAAAAAGUAUGUUACAGACACCAAUCAGUAAAAUCUGAACCCCAAGUAAAAUUGGAGCCAAUUUUUUGAUAUUUUGCCUGUUGGUUAUACUUGUAUCAUUUUUAACGUAACUUGAUAACUAACUAACUUGGAGAAGGAAUAUAUUGAAUCGUGGCUAGUUGGAAUUGAAAAAUAAUGCUUCUUUUGAAUUUGCAGCUUCUAAUUUUAUGGUGUUUGGACGAUUAUUUUUAAAGAUUGCUGUUAAAUGCAAUGCGCACUUGCAAUGUUUUCAAAUAAAAGCUUGCUUUUGGUAUGAAUUUCUUGGUGAAACCAUACAAACAGAUAUUAUUUGGGUUGUCAUUUGCUCAUCUUUCCUACUUGAUUUCCUUUCUUUGGAGAUAGACAAAAUUGUUUUGUUCAUGAAUAUUGUUCCUUUGUUUUGUUCAUGAAUAUUGUUCCUUUCCCUGAUGUCUCUCGAGUGAUUAUAGAAUAUAUUAUGUCUAGUUGAAUUACUAAAGGGCGUAGUUGAUCUUAUUGCUGUUACUGGUAUCAUAUACAUUUAGGAUAGAUCUCUUAACUGGGAAAGCAAAAUUUGGUCAUAGAUUUUAUCAUAUCCCUUCUCUUUUAGUUAUUUUAGUCACCCUUCCUUGGUUGGAUUGUGUUAGUUGUUGAAUGUAUUUCCAUUCAUAUGACAAGGUGAAGUACUAAAUUCUCUUGUUGUCUGGCCUACUUCUGCAGGUGGCAUGAAAGUUAAGGCUGAUAGAGAUGAAUCAUCCCCAUAUGCAGCUAUGCUUGCAGCGCAAGAUAUUGCUCAAAGAUGCAAGGUCGUUAUCACAUCCUUAGCUUGAUAUUCAUAUUUGGUAAAUAAAACUGAAUUACUAGCAAGUGUUGUAAGAUCUGAUAGCCUAAUUGCUUGUCUUUUGUUUCAUAUUAAUGGACUUAUUUGUUGCAUUUUUUGAUUACUGCCUAUUAUUUUUGCUGAUACUGUCAUCUCUUUGUAAUGGUUUUUGCAGGAACUUGGCAUCACUGCCCUUCAUAUUAAGCUCAGAGCCACUGGUGGUAACAAGACAAAGACUCCAGGCCCUGGUGCUCAGUCUGCUCUCCGUGCCCUUGCUCGUUCAGGAAUGAAAAUUGGUCGUAUAGGUAAACAUUUUCUUUGGGAUCAGAAGCAUCAUUACUUGCUCCUUUUUUAUUCCAUAUGAUGCCCAGGGUUGUUUUAGGUUGGAUGCAAGUGUUUUAUGAGUAGGUAGAAUCUCUGUGAGCCCUUGGCUGCAUGCUUCACUAUUGGAGGGGUGCGGUGAUAAGAGUUAUUUGCUUGAACCAUACAACAGAGCAUCUAAUAUAGUAACUACAGAAGAUAGAUCAUUCGUCUUAGAAUACAAUUUGUAUUUAGGUGCAACGGAGUGGGUGAAAAUGGUUUGCUUUGCAUUAAACUGACUGGUGAGUGUACCUGAAAACAAAAUAAGUUACCAUGGAGAGAGAUAACCAGAUUAAAUGUUUGUUGUCUAAAUCUUUCAGUAAAGUGUCACAACAAUAUCUUGAAGUGAAUACAAAUGUAAUUGGUUUUAUUUUGUAGUUUGACAUUUUUUGUUUCAAAACUACGAGGCCUUUGCUUGAACUUGAACUCUAGGUGAUCUCUAAGCUAUCUGUUUUUGAAAAAUUUGGUAGAAAUUGAAAUAUCAAAGGACUUCACCAGAAGUUGAAAUGCUUGUUGUGAAUCAAAAAAAUCUUUUUGCUUCUGCUGCUUAAUUAAUAUCUCGUCUCUUGAUAAAAAUUAGGGAGUCGAACAAGUAUUAUUUAUUUCCUAUUCAGAACUGAAUUUUUUUGGCAUAUUCUGCCUGCUAUUGGUUUGAUUUUGGAGUUCAUUAAGUUAUCCUAGAUUUGGAUCAGAUACUCCUCAUCACAUAGCUAAAAUAUGAUUGCACCCUUUUUUUUUUUCUAACAUCAGUUUUGGGUGCAUAUUAACUGACUUGAAAAUGUUAUUUUCCCAGAGGAUGUAACUCCAAUUCCUACUGAUAGCACUCGCCGAAAGGGUGGUAGACGUGGAAGAAGGCUGUAAGCUUUGGUUCUUAUCCAAUCUAAACUUCAUCACAUCAGCAGGGACCCUGAUUUUUCGUUGGACAUGGUAGUAUUGUAGCUUGAGGUGACAGAAUUUAGGUUGUAUGGAAAUGAGGGAUACUCAUUCCUGCCUUUUUGUUUCCGUGGUGAAAUUGGCCUGUCCGGUUCUCCUUUGAGUCUGUUGGUUGCUUAGAUCAUGGAUACUUCACCUGUUAAAAUGUAUUUGGUUUUUCAACUUAUUCGGUUGGCAAGAUAUCAAGCUUUGAGACCUUUGCGUUGUGCUUUAAAAUUUAAUUGAUGUGUGGAUUGGAUUUAUUAGAUUAUCCCAGCUAUUGUCUGGCUUACUAAAUCCCAAGAACAGGUAAAACGAAAUAGGACGCUCAAGUGUGUGCAUUGUUCUGUUUUGGAAAUUCAGUAAGGUGGACUAAACUGAUAAUUUCUGGCGUUUUCCCUCCAUUCUUCGUUCCUCCAUUGUUGCAGGUGAUGUUUCUUUCCUUUCCUCUCCAGUUAAUCUCCCAAACGAGAUGCGGGUUUUCAUUACCCCCUCUUCUUUUUCUACACCCAGACAAGGCCUAAACUAUCGUUUAAUUAAUUAUCAAUUUGUGCUGCUGCAUAAGCUCCUUUGGCGGAGAUUUCCAGAAAUAGGAAUUGCAGAGAAUUUUUCAUUACAACUCUACUCGCGUUGUUGGUGCAGCAGCUGAUAGGCAAUUAUCUAGCUGUUUUGGAUCAGUUGAAGUCCCAACUGUCCCAGAAAUAAGAUGCCAAUUAAUCAAAUACCUAUACAGCAUAAUAUUGGCACAAGCUCUGGGAUGUGCAAAUAUUCAAGGGCCAUCUCGACAAGAAACUUCUAUCAUUUUUCAUCCAUCCUAGCUUGGAAAGUUUCAAUCGUCGACUAUGGUCUUCAGGCUAUCAUUUUUAAUCCAACCUUAGCUUGGAAAGUUUCCAAACGUUGACUUGAAGGUGUAGUAGGUAUACGACCACACUUGGUAACUAUAAACUAAUUCCCCAGUCAGUCUUUUAUCUUUACAUCUUCAAGUUUCCUACUUUCCCUUUUCAUAAGAAUCGAAACUCCUACUGAUCUGCCCUCUUCAAUCAACCAUCAUACAAAUCUUGCCCCCAUUUCCUGAAUUUCCAAGCCUUGGAGGCAGAGAUGGAGUCAGCCAACAACAGACUAUUAGAAGAUCAAUAUUCAAGACGAAAAAGGAAGAUAACCAUCAUCAUUUCUUUGAUCAUCUCAUUCACAAUCAUUAUCAGUUCAAUCAUCUCAGUCUUAACCAUCCUCAAGCACAAAGUAGAGUCUCAAUCACUCUCUAAUGCGCCUCCAAGCAAAGCAAUCAGAGCCAUCUGUUCUCUAACUCCAUCCCGCCGCUUAUGUUUCAAGCAGAUAUGGAAACUCCAGCAAAGCCAGGCUUCAUCGAAGAUUAAUCCUUCACAGAUAUUUGCUCUUUCACUCAGUGCUUCUUUUGAUGAGCUCACCAUCCUUAAUUCCCAAAGGCAGAGGGUAAUCUCAAAAGUCAAUGCUUCUUCUGCAAGUGUCUUUCCAUCUCUACAAGAAUGUGAAAGUUUGAUCAGUGAUUCCCUAAGACUUGUUAACAUGUCUGUGACAAAAAUUGGGAUUGUCCCCGAUGGCAACAUCUUUAAGGAAACAAAAACCGUUGUGGAUUUGAUGGAAUGGACCUCUGCUGCUAAGGAGAGUCUGGAGAGGUGCAGGGAUGAAUUGGAGAAUGAUAAUGAAGGAUUGGUAUCUGGAAAAUUUUAUUUGGUGAGAAUGAAGAUGCGGAUGCUUGUGACAAGGAAAUAUCUGGAGAAUAGCUCAGUGAUUUUGGCCAAGAUGGAUACUAUUCUGGACAUGUUUUAUCAUCCUCUCCAGAGUAUUCUGUCAAAUUUUAUGCUCAGUGCAAGUGGAUUUGAUUUUGGUAUAGUCUUUUUUGGCUCACAGUAUUUGUUGUUAGUUUUUCUGUUUUGCCUGUUGGUGCGAUUAUACUAAAUUGCAACAGUUAUAUGACUUCAGAAAUGAGGAUGGAUGGUCUCUUCUUCUUGUCAAAUUUAAAUUUCUUUUCCUGACUCUUUAAUAUUUAAGAUCAAUCAUGUAUAUACUAGUGAUUUACCAAGUCCUAAACCAUACAUGAGUGAGUAUUGAAAAAAAGUUUUUUUUUUUGGGGGUAAAUAUGCAAAAAAGAUUGAAUCAAACUCCAAAUAUUAGAUGCAUGAUGAUCUCUUUUAGAGUUUUAGUAGUAUUGUUGACUGUUAACUCAGUGUCACAAAUUUGGGAUUCUUGUAGUUGCAUUUACAUUAGAAGGAUCUUUCAACAAAAAUUCUAAAAGAUGUAUAUGUUCUGUCAAGUUUUUGAAGUCAUUUAUUUGAAUUAAAAUUUUCCUUAUGUACAUUUGUCAAUAUAUUGUAGUGUUGCAUCUUUCUUUUAUCUUUAUUCAUGGUCCAGGAGUGAUAGAUUACGUUUCCAAGUUCUUUUCCCAUCUCCCAAACCCCUCAGCUUCAUAGAACUUUUCAAAAACAAACCUUGAGAAUUCAGACGACAUUAUUUUUACCUAAUAAAUUCCUUAAAUUUCACCUACAAUAAAUAUUCCUUUCUAUUUAUGGCUGAAAAUUUUUCCCUUGUCUUUUCUAGAAUCAAUUGCAGUUUAAUAUUAAUUCUGUCAAUUACAGUUUAAUUUCCAAUUGAUGGUGUUAAAAAAGGGACACAAUGCUCGUAUAGUCUAAUUUCUUUGGCCAUGUCCUAAUUUGCAAGAGUUUUAUUUUUUAUUUUUGAUAACAAAACAUAUUUCAUUAAUGGAUUGUUGGAAAUCGUCCAGCACGAUUGAUAUACAUCGUUGCCCUAAUGGCAGAUAAAACGUGCACUAAAAUUGUAGAUCUGCAAGUUAACGGAUACAAAAGACCUGAAAAAUUAAAAACAGAUAUAAAAAGUACCAUCAAUUUUAAAAUUAUCUUCUCAUAGAAUAAAUCGCUGCAGCCCACUUUGUGCAUGUUGCAAUCGUCAAAUCUGCUAAUCAACAGUUGUAAGCUCCAAUAAAGAUGAUGAGAUCUGCCGACAUAAAUCCAAAUCUAAAAUAAAUUCAUAUAUAUGACAACCACAUUUGAAGUGAAUUCAAAUUUAAACAAUAAAAUAAGGAAAAAUAACACAAAAUCUCACUUAAAACUGUUAGGAGAACAAAAAUUCUCACUAGGAAUCUUAGGAGAAACAAAGAUCUCCCACUAAAAAAAUUCAGAGGAGACUUUAUUAGAAAAAUAACAAAAACGAAACCUAUGGACUUGAAGAGGAAGGGAUUAAGAGAAAAGGAGCAGCAGAGAGAAGUUGGAGAAGUGGAGAAGAGGAGAAGUGGCUGUCACUACCCCUUUUAGCCCUCUUGGUAGGUUUGCAAGAGUUUUAUUAGUUCCCUCCUAUUCAUGUCAAAUUGAGUGCACAUCAAAUUUUGCUUGACAAAUUUGAGAGCAGUCUACCAACGGAGCGAACAUUGGAUUUUGUUGGUUGGUUAAUUUUGAGAGAAUUUGACCAAAAAGGAUCGAAUUGGACAAGUGGGAUACUUGUCCGAAAGAGACACAAGAUAUUUUGUAGCUUGUCAAACAAAUCACAAAACCUAAUACCACAAAGGACUCAAAAGUAAAAUCUAAAAUGGAAGAGGUUGAAACAAAACAAGUACUCAACUAAGGGACCAAUGGAGUAAAUCUGAAAUAGACGAGACAAAAGUAGAAAUAUAGCUAAGUUCAAGGUACUGAAACUGCAAUUAUCCAAGCACUUGAAAUAUUAUCCUUCUCUUGCCCAAUAAUUCAUUCGGGUGUACUUGUGCAGUGGUGUCUUACAGAGCAAUAAUGUACUCGGGCAGGUAGAAUAAUAGUUUGUUGUAAAUAUGUGUAUUUAAUUUACAUCAUCAAGAUUUGGUGUAUAAAUGCAUUCAAAAAUGGUACCUUUUGCAAAUUACAUAAACAAAUAAACCUACACAUAUUUAAGUGUGCAAUCAAAUCGUAUAACAAAUAUAUUAAUCAAGGAAAUGGACACAAACAGUUGUCGGUGUAACUAUUUGUAAACAGCGUAAUAUUUUUUUGAAUACAUUGUAAUUCAUUACAAACUAUUUAUACAGUUUCAUAAUAAUCAUAUUAAUAUAAUCAACUAUUUUCCACGUAAAAUUACACAUACCAAUUAUGUCAUAGUUAUAUAUCAUGAUCCCGAUCGUAUGAUUUUAAAAUUUAUAGGCCCCCAGAACUUUGGUCUAGUGGUAGUAGUCUAGUUAGGUGAGUACCACUGUUAAGGAUCGAAUUUCCGGUGAAACAACUCACACGGCUUGAUCAGGUUGGUGUGGAACACGUGUGAAUUAGUCUGGUGAUUCAGGAUAUCACACGUCAACAAAUAACAAAAAAAAAAAAAGAUUUUAAAAUUUAUAGUGAUAGCUAAAUUCGGACCGUAGAUUGCUUGGAACGGUUGGUAGGACGUCCAUUCUAAUCGUAUAACAAAUAUACAAUAACCGUAUACGGUGACACACACCACAAUUGCAUCUCUACCUCACUCGAAUACAACUAACUGUCUUAUCCAAACCAGGGAAACAGAAAGGGCAAAAAAUGAGUAAAUAAAUGCCCAAUGCAGCAGUAACAGUUGGCUGACAAAUGAGCAAAAAAAUACUACUAUAUUGGUCAAUGUUUACUUAGCACUAAUUAAACCCCAACUAAUAAAACUUGCAAUCUCAGACCAAGAAAACCAGACAAAAACUACCAACUCCCAAAGUCCCAAUUCCCCAGAACCAAAGUCACCAGGCCGCUAUGGACAACUUCCAAGCCACCAGCAAACUCAGCCUCAUCGAAAACCAACGAAAACAACAACAGCAGCAGCAGUCUUCUUCAUUAUCCUCAAACCUUAAACGAAACAAAAUCCUAAUCAAAACCUUCUUCUCACUAAUCAUCCUGUUGGCUUUCAUUACAGGUGCAAUGGUCAUAAAUCUCAUCCAUAGGCACAACAAAUCCCAAGAAAAGCUCAAACUCGACCAACAGACCGAGUCACUCCGAGGUUUCUGCUCCGUGACUCGGUUCCCGGAUCACUGCCUCAACUCAGUCAUUCUCCUACCUGACAACAGCCCAGAUGAUAUUUUCAUCGCAUCUCUCGAUUUAGCUAUAGAACGAGUCGUCAACCUCACUGUUCUCGCGAGGGCUCUGAUCUUGCAGUCAAGUUCUGAUGCUGCUACUGAAUCAAGAAACGAGUCAGCCCUGUUCAGGUGCUCGAGUUUGAUCGAUGACUCUUUGAACCGGCUCAACAGAUCUUUGACUGCCUCCGGUGAGUCGUCGUUGUUCGGUCUCCGAGUUGACUCGGGGGAGAUGGAAGAACUGGUCAGGGAGAAGAGUAAGGAGGUGAGUUCGUGGGUGAAUAAGGCGGCGAAUGAUCUUUGGAGAUGUUUCGGGACUCUUGGGGAAGACAAUUCGACGGCUGUGAUUGAAUUGAGAAGUGGGGUGUAUGAUGGUAUAAUGCGCGUGAGUAACAUCUUUGAUUUUCUCGAAUGCAGAGAUCGGAUAGUUGAUGACAUUAAAGCUCGACGAGAAAGCCAUGAGUACUAUAUCCCGCCUAGGGAUGAUUUGGAAUAUAUAAUUAUAUUUUCCCCUCAAUAUUUUGUUUUGAUAUUUUUGUUAUGGCUACUUUUACGUAUUUAUUGAUGUAAAUUGAUGAACUAUUGUUCAAUUAUACGUUUUUGUUUCCCUUCCCAAUAGUGAAUUUUCUUUGUUUUGAGAUGUGAGAUUCAUGAUUCCUUGCCUUCUUGGGUUCAAUUGAAAAUGGCUUGCUUCAAUCUUGAAUUUAUGUUAAUUUAGUAAAUCUCGAUUAAGGUAAUUAAAUAUGCUGUUAAAUAGUAUAAUAGUUGUUUGGAAGGGGUCUUAGAGUUCUCUCCACUCCUUCCCUGCAGGCAGGAUUAGAGUUCGAAUCGUAGGUAAGUCGAAUUGUGAGUCUAAUAGCGACGAAUUGUAGGUCGGGUGGUGUUUCAGUCCUCACCUGCCCCAUAGUCCAGUUGGGUCUCCCCUUAAAUAGAUAUAAAUAAAAUAGCGGCGAAUGACAAAAAAAAAAAAAAGAAUUGUGAGUCUGACAAAAAUGUGUUUUACUAUAGAAAUUUAACAAAACUUUGAAAUAAUUAAUCAUAAAUGACAGAUUAUUGGUCCAUUGCGUUGAUUUUCUAGUUGAUAUAAUAGAAUAAGAUAAAAAGUAACAUGCGACUUGAAGAACACGAUCCAUUGUGAACUUUUUUUUUUUUAAUUGUAAGAGGUUUUUAAAUUAUGGAAGUUGUUCAAAUGCCAACCAAUUCCUCAUUUCCUAAGUAGAAAUGUCCUUGGUUGUUGAUCAAAUCAUAUACAUUGCCCAUUGGCAAACUCACUUCUUUAUUGUUGUCAAUGUUCAUAUUUCAUCUUUCAGAACUUUUAUAACAUCCAAGCAAUUUUUUAUUCUGAUUCCUAACACCAAAUGAUCCUGUAAGAACAUUGAUCAUCAAGACAGAAAUUUUCUAAUCUUGAUGGCCUCUUUCAUCAUCAUGACAAAGUGCAACAAAUUGCAAGUUUGCAACAAUCAAAGCAAGAAGCCAAAUCAAAAUCAUACUUCAAAAAAUCCAUCAUCUUUAAUUAUUACUGAAAGAACUGCAUUAUCAUGACUCCCAUCAUAUUAAUUGGGGCCACUAUUUUCUCAUGGCCGUGAUAUACACAAUUCACAAGCUGUUGAGGUUGUAAACAUGAGGAUUAUGGCUUGUGAUUACCGCAUUUCUAUCAUGAGCCUUGGUUCAACGAUGUAUCCGACAGAGCCUAUAUGUCAAAUGUAUUGAACUUAAGAAACACUUCAAGGCAAAUUAAAAAAAAAAGAAAGAAAGGAAAAGGUGAAAGUGCUAGUGGUUUAAGCGAAGAAGAAAGAAUUAUGAUAACUUAUUAGAUAUUAAGAAAUUGAAAGUUGAAGAGGAUCAAUCUGUUGUGAUUUGUGAAAUGGUGAUUAUAUCUAAAUGUGCAAAUUGGUUUAAAGAGCAUAAUCUUUAAAAUUUCCUCCCUCAGGGUAUGUUUAAAACUUGGGAUAAUUUCAGAAACCUCCCCUGAGGUUUUUGAUAAUUUCACAUGGCAAUGCUAAAAUUUUAAAAAUUACACCUACCUCACUUGCUUAUUGAAAAUGACAAAACGAAUCUUAAUAUUUUAAUAAAACUCCCUUGUUGCUAUGUUUACACAAAGGAUGGAUUUUGUAUUUUUUUUAUUCAUUUCUCUUAUAUUUCAUUAGAAAUAUAGAAGAAUUAUUAAUAUUGUUCCUAAUCAAAUAUUAAACUACUAAUAUUUUUUUGAUAAUUUUUAAUAUCAUCCCUUUUUUGUAGCUCUUUUUUUUUAAUCAAAAUCAAGAAUAAAUUAACAAUAACUAUAAAACAGAUGAGCCAAAAAAAUCACUACCAAACUAUAGCAGUUCUAUCAUUGAACUGGUCCAAUAAAAAAAAAUAGUCCAUAAACUUAAAAAAAUAGAUAACUUUUUCUUCUUUAUCUUAAAAAAAGUAGCCUAUUACAACAAAAGAUUUAUUAUUAUAAUUGUUUUUCUUGAUUUAAUGUUUGCAUGAAAAACUUGACACUGAUUUCCUUUACUCCAUUGUGCCAAAUUAUUUUGGUGACCAAAGUGUCUAAUCAAGGUGAUAAGUGUAAUUUCAAGACCUUGAGUGAAGAAAUGAAAUAGUCAGAUUAGGGGAGGUUUUUCAAAUUAUCCCUUAAAAUUUAGUGCCAUAUUCACUGGCAUUGCUGAAUCCCAAGAGUGAAUUUGGUGAAUCCCAAAACGGUGACAUAGAUGGUGUAACGCUGUUGGCUCUACCUCUUCACACAGAAAGGCACACAAUUUGCAUAUGCUUGUUACUACAGGGAUCUUCAUCUGCUUUUUCACUCAAGAAAUCAAAAUAAUCACAACCUACUGUACUAAUCAGCGAUCUCAAACAAAAACCAAAACAUUUCGAGCCACAUCGAGGCAUUCAACGAUUCCUUCAUGGUCUCCAGCUGCAGAGUAAGCCUAUUGCAGGCUCAAUCACAGCAAUCAUCAUCAAGAAUUCUACAACCUAGAUCCCACAAAAGCCUCACCAUGAUCAUCUCCUUCUCGUUAAUCAUCCUGGUUUCUGUCAUCACAGGCACCAUAAUCUUAUCCCACCUGAAAAAUGGUAAAAACAACCACACCACCGAGUCACUCAGGCCAAACUCAGCAAACUUGAAGACCUUAUGUUCCGUGACUCACGACCCUGAGUUAUGCUUCACCUCUAUAUCCCCCGCCAUCGAGGAAACUGAAACCGACCCGGAUGAUAUUUUCGCCGCCUCUAUCAAGGUAGCCAUUGCUAAUAUCACCGGCCUGGCUCCGUUGAUGAAAGAAGUUUUACUGAGUUCGAACAUGAUUGGAGCUGAGUCAGCUCUGGAAUUCUGCACGUGGGCAUUCUCCGACUCACUGAGUCACCUCGAUAGGACUUUAAAGGCAGUACUACUGGAGAAAGAAGGAAACUACCGGGUCUUUUCUUCCGUUGACUUUGUGACGGUGGCGUGGACUUCUGAUCGGGGGGAAGACAUGAUAACGUGGCUGAUCAGCGCGUUGAGUGCUUUAGACAACUGUGGUGAUAUUUUGGAUGAGGUUGGGUCAAUGGCUGUAAAUGACUUGAGCUUGAAGGUGUACAGAGCUAGGGUGCAGGUCAACUACUGCAGCAGCUUUCUCUCGUUUAAAGAUCAGAUAUUGCCAUUUUUACUCUUUCAUCAGCUGAAAAAACUGACAAAAUGGUGAGAGUAUAUUUUGAGUAUUUGCUCACUUUAAUUACGUGUAUGGACAGGAAAUUAUUUGAAAUUUUUUUUGAAAUAUUAUUGUGACACUUUUUGUGAUAUAAUAUAUAUAAAAUGGCUAAAAUGAUGAUAUGAAAAAUAUAAAAAUAGGUGACUGAAAAACGUGUUUAUGAUUCAAUCAAAUUUUUAUUUUUUGACAAAUGUUUGGCAAUUCAAACCAAACUUUUGCCCUCAAUGCCACGUUUUUUAUUUUCCACGAGCAAUGAAUCGGUACUAAAGGUAUAUAUUUGGAAUAUAUACUUAUAUUCCCCCCACCUCUAUAUUUUUUUGUCAUGUUUGGUUUUGCGUAAAUAUUGAUGUAAAUUAAUGGACUAUAACUUAGUGACACCUUUUCUUAAUAGUAAAUUUUCUCCCUUUUGAGAUAUGGGAUUCAUGUUUUCUUGCUUUCUCUGGUUCAAGGGCUUUUAAUCAAGAGCCCUUGAUUCAGUGAUGGCAAAUUCUAAGGUCAAACGUAUUGAACUUGGGAAACAAUUCAAAGAAACUAAGUAAUAUAAUAUGGAAGAAAAGAAAAACUCUAGUACCUCAAGUAAAUGACAAAGGCAUAGAAGAACUAGUUAAAUAUUAACAAAUUGUAAGUGAGGAGCAUCUCUCUAAUUGUCAAAUAAAAUAAACAAUGAUUUCUUACAGCUAGUUUGGAAGUUUAGGAUAGAAAAUAAAGGAAGAGAAAGCAUAAGUUAUGAAAAAAAAAAGAAAAGAAGAGAAAAAAAGAAAAUUUAGUAUUGAUGUUGUUUGAGGGUAUAAAAAAAAGGAAAUAAUAUUAGAUACAUAUGUCAAUAAAACUUUUUUUAAUAAAUAUUUAAAGAUAAAAAUGGUAUCUUAAAAAAAUUUAUAAUACUUGCUUCAACUUUCUUUCAUUUUUUGCCCAUAUUUGGACCAAAUUUUUUUUUUAACUAUCAGAGCCAUCCAUCCAAAUCUUCUUAUUUUUUUUUCUUUGCUCAACAACUCGAAAACAUCACAAAAGAGUUAUCUUCUCUCAUUUUCUUUUCUUUUCUUUUCCCGUCAAAUCUAAGCUCCCAAACUAAACGUUAGACUCAUUACAUAUAGUGGUUAAGUUUAAGACUAAAUGUACAUAAUGGUUUACAGAUAAUGAAUAACCUUCAAAUUCUAGUGUCAUAAUUAGUGAUUGUUGAAACCAACAACGUUUGACUCUUGAGCUCGGAUGCUUUGCUUUGGCUUUAUCUCUUCACACACACACACACAAGGAACAAGCAGUCCUACAGGAUCAUCUUCAUCUGUUCAUGCCAUCAUUCUACUCAGAAAUGAAAAACACAAACUGAUCAGUCACCUCACCAAAAUCAGACCAUUUCAGGCCAUCAUGGACUCGGUCAACGAUUCCCUCAUGGCCUCCAGCAAAGUGAGUCUAUUGCAACACCAUCCACAGCAGCCAUCUUCGUCAAGAAAUCUACUAAAAACCUACAAAACCCUCAUCAUAAUCAUCUCUUUCUGUUUUAUCAUCCUUGCUUCUCUCAUCUUAAGCACCAUAAUCUUAUUCCACAUGCAUAACCGCAACAACUAUAACCUCACCUCCGAGCCCACCGAGUCACUCUGGUCGAACUCGGCAAACUUGAAGACCUUUUGUUCCGUCGUGUCUCAGGACCCCGACUUAUGCUUUACCUCUAUAUCCUCCUCUAUCAAGGGAACCGAGACCGACCCAGAUGACAUUUUUGCCGUCUCUAUCAAGGUAGCCAUUGAUAAUGUCACCAGCCUGGCUCCAUUGAUGAGAGAAGUUUUGCUGAGCAGGACUGGAGCCGAGUGGGCUUUGAAACAUUGCACCGAGUCAGUGGCCGACUCACUGAGUCAACUCAAUAGGUCUUUGACUGCAGUGCAGCUGGGGGCAAAGGAAAACCGCCGGGUAUUUUCGUCUGAGGCCCCGGUCGACUUGGGGGUGCAGCCGUUGACUGCUGAUCGGAGGGGAUACGUGAUGACGUGGCUGAUUAGAGCAAUGAGUGGUUUGGACAGCUGUGUUGAUGUUUUGGAUAAUGUUGGAUCAGUGGCUGUAGAUGAAUUGAGCGUGAAGGUGUACAAAGCUAGGGUGCAGGUCAGCAACAGCAGAGAGUUUCUCUUGUACAAGGAUAAAAUAUUGGAAUAUUUUGUCAUCCAUCCAGCUGGUAACACUACUCAUAAUAGGUUGAGAGUCAAUUUUGAGUAUUUGUCCACUUUAUUUAUGUUUUGCCCUGAAUACCUUGUUUUGAUUUUCCUUUUUUGUUUACUAUUACGUAUCAAUUGAAUAUUUAUUUUUAUUAAAAAGAGAAUAUUGUAUUAUUGCCUCUAAGCAGGAUCUUAAUACUUGAUUUUACUACGUUUAUCCCUAAUUACUUUGUUUGUUUAUCUUUAAUAAUUAAGGUGCAUUUCAAUACUUUUUUCCGUUUUGCCUUGUAUAAGAAAAGUUAGAACUAUCCAAUUUCAAGAGCAAUUUACAGAGUGUUCCAAAGUUGAAGGUCUGAACGUCGGAUCUCUUACUUACAUUUGCUCCCCAACCAUCUAAUCCAUGUUAUCCAUGAUUAAUAGGUUACUACAAUGAGUUCUCAUAGCUUGUCGUCCAAAUUGAGUUUCAACUAUGACAAAAAACUUUCUAAUGAAGUGAGCCACGAUUCCUUUUUUUUUUUCGGCUUAUACUACCCAACCCGAGUAACAAUUUAAUUACGAAAUCAACAAUAGUAUGAAAAGUGGUACUUAUUCAAUUGAAGCAAAAAGCAGUUGCGUUCAUCAUCUAAUAAGUCGAUAGGCAAGGACAGAUGACUGGGAAGCCUCACCAUGUUUGUGAGGACUCGAAAAUUAUUUUAUAUUUCUCUUAUUUUUGAAUAUGCUAAUUUAUAUUUUAUUUUAAUUUACUUGUUUUAAUAUCUUAGAUACUUGAAUGGUUGAGUCAAGAUUUUUAUUUUUUUUCUUUUAUAAUUUGGUGCAUAUUAAGUUUCUUAGUACAUUAUGAUAGUGUGAUCAACUAGUGAUUUAUGUGUACUAAAUUUGGUGGACAAGAAGGGGUGUGGUGUAAGAGAGAUUAUGUGACUAGAAGUGUUAAGAGUGAAUUAGAGAACACAAGAUGGAUUGGCUAGUUUAGACACAAGAGAGACAAAGAGAUAAGCAUGCAACCAUAAGCUGCCAAGUGUCAACGAUCUAGACAUUUUUGACCAAGAUUUUCUUUAGUCUUCAUCUUUCCAAUUUAACCAAAAAUUCCUUCAUUUUCCAUUCUUCUUGGCUGAAAUUAUAAAGAGAAAAAGAGAGAAAGAGAGUCCCAAGUUCUAGCUUUAAUCCUUUGCUUGAUUUGUGAGAAAUCCGACGAGCAACCAUAAUCCACUCCAUAGAUCUUCGAGGUAGCUAUUGGUGAAGUUGUUGGAGAGAGAAAGAGAUUGUUUUGCAUUUCCUCUUAGGGUUUUAAGGUCUAUUACUAAGAAACCUUUCAUUUCUUUUUUCUUGUGAUUUAAUCGACACAUGAGUUGAUUACGGCGGAUUUCAUGGAAGAUUUAUUGAUUUUGUUAUGGUAGCUUGAAUUUUUCAGCUUUGAUAUGAGGUUUUCUAACUUUGAGUUGAAUUUCCAGAUUUAAUAGGAGAUGUUCUAGUUUUGAUAUAAAAUUUCUAGUUUUGAGAUGCGAUUUUCAGUUUUGGUAUGCAAAUUCCAGCUUUGAGGUGCAAAUUUUCAGAUUUGAUAUAGCUUGGUUAGAGCUUUAUAUAGGUCCAAAGUUGAUAGCUUUCUUGACCUAGAACGGAGACCAUGUACCCUGUAACAUAUGAUCUUGAUCGUUAGUGGUUUUGUCAUGAAACUAGGGUUGGAAAUGAGAGAGCUAACUUGAAGAAUUUAGGGGAUAUGCUGUUGGAAUUUCCCCCCUUAUAGGUCAAGUAGAGAGAGUGAGAGUCGAAGUGUAAAUUUUGGGUAUUUUUGCUUUCCUUUGGUAUAUGAUCUUACUUCAGACACUUGUUACAAUCUUAGUCUUUGUAUGUGUGUUAGUUUUGCCAAAACAAGAGGUUUAAACGAAAGAGUUUUCUCCAAACUAGUUUCUAAUCAGAAUUUCCAACUUGUACCUUGAAAGUCUUGUCCCGUUUUCUUUCAACUUUUGACUAUAAUUACUGACUUUGUGCUCCAUAUUUUCCUUGAAGUAUUGGUUUAGCAUGCACGUGGGUUUUUCCUUGGAUUUGAACAAGAAAACUUGGCACUUUUGAAAGGUCAAUUGGGGUUAAACCUGCAAAUCACUUUAUUGGCUAAGUGAAGUUUCGAAACUCAUAGUUUUGUAUUUAUAUUGGUCUCAAGUGGUUAGAUUCUUGAUAUAUUAUAUGACCAUAAGAUUUGAGCAUGCCCAAGAGGAUGAACCAAGGUUUGAAGUGAAACGAUUAUGAUCCAUUGGUGAGUGUUCCUUGUGUUUUGUGAAUUAAAUGUCUUUAUUGUGGUUUGACUGUUAAUUGUAUUUCAAUGAUCACUUUACUAUUAAUAGGUGAGUGUGUACUUUACCGCACUUGACUUAAGUGAAUGUGAAUUUUUCAAUGGUCAAAUGAUUGAAUAUUACUUGUGUAUGAAUGUAAACCAUGUGUACUUUAUCACAUCUAUUGAAUUGAGCCCUUGCCCUUCGUCGCUAGCCUAUUCGAGCCAGAAGCGGACUCGAUCGGGUAGGUUGGUAACCUUGGACCACUGUUUCGGUAUGUUCGAGUAUUACCACGAAAUCAGGUGGAGUAUUGGCCAAUGAUUGAAAUGCAAUGAAUGAAAUUAUUGAAAUGAAAUGACCAAUGUAGGGAUUUUUGUUUUCAAAUGUCGGAAGUUAUAAAGAAGAGAUGGGCAGAGACUGAAUGAAUGAAUGAAUGAAUGGCUCUAAAUGAGCUCGUAUCCUUUAAAUGAUUGAGUGUUUAUUUUUUGAAUGCCUUGCGACUGUUUAUUACUGUGCAAAGUGUGUAAAAUUGUUAAAUGCAACAUUUUCGUGAUUUGACUGGUGUUUUGCUUGGAUGUUAAAUGCAAUAUUUUCGUGAUUUGACUGGUGUUUUGCUUGGAUGCUUGUUUGGGAAACUCACUGGGCGCAAGUUCAGCCCAUUAGUUUGUUUUCCUUAUAGGAGUUGAGGACCGGAGCAGAAAAGCUUGAAUUGGAGUGUAAUGAUCCUCUUGCACAUGUACUUUUGGCAGAUAGGUUGUAUUUUGAUAUUUGGUGGUGUAUCUUACGUUUCACUUUUGGUUUGUAACUAAGAUUGAAUUUUGGUUGAAUUGUAAAGCUCUGAUGUUAAAUUGGGAGGUUUGAAAGGUUAUUUUGAUAAUUUAUUGUAGUGAGUCCUGGCAAGAAUUGGACAGACGGUCCGCCAAACCCUUGGAUACGCCCUAAGGGGAGGUGAAGUCGUCACAAUGUUGGAGGCAAGCUUAUUUUCCUCUUUAUUGGUGUUGAAGGCAAGCUUGCAAAUUUCUCUAUUCAUGCCAAAAAAAAAACAAAAAGAAAAGGAUGUAGGAGAAGUAUUGACAAAAUAGAAGCCCAGUAUAACACACAAAGACACCUAUAUCUUCAUAUGGAUAUGCCAUGAUCUUGUUCCAUUUCAGAGAUCUUUCUCAUCCAUGUAUGGUUUCCUGCAAUUUAGGUAAUCAAUCCCUGCAUGUGAAUUUUUUUUUUUUUUUUGUGGAAAGCAGUUUUAGGAUAUAUGCAUAAUAAGGUUUCAAUAGUUGGCUACCUUUGAAAUAAUUAGCUUCAAUAACGGUUUCGCUAGUUUGAAAUCUCUAAAUAGCAGAAGGUUGUGUAAGCACUUCUUUGGAGAUAAAACUUGCUAUUGUAUUGUUCUAUGUCGUCAUGCUUCUGGGAAUUCUGCAAGUUACAUCUAACUUCCUCUAGAAAGACUACUUGGUGUUAAUAAUUGGCUAUCCUAGUUAAUUUCUCUAAGGUGUAGCUACAGGAAAUAAGUUAAUACUAUUAUUACACGUGUCAUCUGCUAAAAAAGAUAUUGACCUAGUAGGGGCUACUAACAUUGGAAUGGCAGGUGUCACUAGGGCUGCAAUCGAGCUCGACUCAACCUCGAUCAAUACCGAGUUCGAGCAGAUCGUUAAUAUAUACGAGUCGAGCUCGAACAGCCAUUUGUUAGGCUUGAUAGUUGGACAAGUUCUUCGAAAAACUCAAGUUGAUAUGAAAUUAUAAAAAUGCCUCUACAUCAAUUAAAAUAGAGCUGACUUCGAGCUUCUUGGAAGCCACAGCUCGUGAGUAAAAAACGAGUCGAGUUCGAACUUUUCUUUUUCUAAAUCAAGUUGAGCUGGAGCUUCAUUUCUUGGCUUGAUGAGCUCGAGUUCGAACUCGAACUCACACAUUAACAAGUCCAGAUUGGAUCGAUAAGUUCAAAACUUGACUUGACACGAUUCAACUUGUUUGUAGCCCUAGGUGUCACCUUGCCUUCUGUACUGAGGGUCAGGUUGGGCUGUGAGAAACUGUAUUAACUUGACGCCUGUAACUAAGUGCUAAAAGGGUAAGAUUUGCUGUUGCCAUAUUAUAAACGUUGACAUAGUCUUGCUCUCAAUGACUCUACUCUAUUCAAACUAGUUUCUUUUUGAGUUGUUGCUCUGUAUUUGUAAGGUCGAACUUGGGCUUGUAUAUAGUGUGCCUAUUGUUUUUGAGAUAUCUGUUCUCCUGAUAAAAGGAUCAGAAAUUGUUGUAGGUGUUUUUUAGGGCAAUUUUACGUGGUCGUCAUACUGUACAAAACUUUGCCUGAUUGAUCAAAGAACAACUUACUUGUUGGAACCCAAAAUCUAGUAAAACUGUAAAAAAAAAAAAAAGCACAGUGAUGAUAGGAACCAGAGUUAGCUGUUGUUGAAGAAGCCAUGUACUUAAUUUCCAGAUGCUAGCCCAUUAUUAAUACAACAAUACAGAAUGGCAGAUUUCUUUAAGAUCCUUCUUGAUCAGCGUUUUCUGUGCAUAAUUUUAGACUUAGCUGUGCCAAAACUCAAAAUGUCGGCCUAGAUCUCUCUCUCUCUCUCUGUUUCUUUGUUUUUUUUUUUUUGGCCCAGGUCUUUUUUUUUUUAUUGAAAUGCAACAUGUCUGGAGUAAUGAAUUUGGACAUUCCAGAGGCCAAUAGAAUGUUCUUUUGGCUGCAUAAUAGAGCAGUAGUUCUAGUUUAUGAGCCAAAGUUUUAAAUUUUAAUGCGUGCAUGAGAAUAUUCUGCAAUGAUACCGAUAACUAUUUUGUUUACUCAGGACAGGACAUGGGUUCUGUCUGCAAUACUACGUAAUUUUGGACUCUGUCUGUGUUCUCUUCCGCAGAGAACUUCCAUCCACUUUUGUUCUUUAAUUGAACUACUCAUGCUGAAUAAUCUCUUUUCAGGACAUCAUCUAAGGGAUUUGUCUUUCUUGGUUACUGUGCUGUUUUCUUUCAAUGGAUAUCUACCAACGUUGCUGCUUAUGCUAGUUUUAACAUAGUAAAGAAGCAAAUCUUUUCAUCCCUUUGAUGGCUAGAUUUGGCUACAGAUCAAGUCUUGAGUUAUUCAAUGGUAUAAAAUUUUUAGAUGCAGUCAAAAUUUUAUUUUUGUUUUACGUCUCAACUCUCUCUACUUUGCCAUUGACUUAUAUAGGAAAAGGUACAUCCUUCUAAAAUGGAAUAUUGAAGGUACAUAUACGAAUCUUUGCAGUAUCCCCUCUCCUUGGGGAAUGAGUAGUACUUGAAAAUUUCUGAUGGAGACAAAUGAGAAAAAGUAGCUCAUCAUAGAAAGCUCAAACCUUAAGCUACAAAAAUAAAGGAAACAAGGGUAGAGGUUUGCGUUCCUAAAACAACUGAUACAUUACAAUUUAUGCUUUGAUCAAAAGGCUUAUACAAUAACUUGAAUAUAAUAAAGGUGCUUGGAUUAGGAAACAAGGAGCCGUAUGUCCAUUUUCUUGUUUUCUAGUGGCAUUAGUUCAUGACUUGCAAACAUUCUGUUGUUGGAGAGAUAUGCCAUCCUUCAUUCCAUGUCUUAUUUUAUUUACUCAUAAACCUGUUAGUAUCUGAUAGGAAGUGAGAACUUUUCCAUCACUUUGUCUCAAAUGAGCAAACAAUAAAUAUGAGGCUCACCUAAAUUGUUGACUCAUAAGAGGCAGAGAUUAAACCAGUUCAAUAAUUUCUUUUCCAGCCUAGGUCUCCCUUGUCUAACAUUAUUAUCUGUGUGCAUGCAACCAAUAUUUUAUCUAUGGCUAAAGAUUACUACAAUGAGUUUUCAUAGGUUUUUCACCCAAAUUAUGCUUACCUAUGAUAAUUGUCUUUCUAUAAUUUAGUUAGGUUCAAUGAGAAAUGCUAUAUUGUACAGUUCGCCUAAUAUGAAUUAUUUGGCGUGAUUUUCUAGUACUUCAGGUAUAUUUUUAACUUUUCUUUUGUUUGCCUCGUAUGUAUUUCUUGUUUCUUAUGACAUGUGGUCAAGAAUGUUAGACAUUCUUUUUCUUUUUCUUUUUUCACUUGUUUUAUCUUUUCUUUGUAAGAAUAUAAUCGAGUCGAGUCGAACACGAGUAGUACACUACUCGAACUCAAUUCAAGUUAAAAAACUUGGAUUCGAACUCCAUCUCGAGUUCGUCAAACUCUUUAAAAUUGAGUUCGAGCUCGAGGUCAAUUUUAUUUUGCAUUACUCAAGUUCGAGUUCGAACUUCUACUCAUCGAGUCCAAUCGAGUUUAUUUUGAACUCAAUCAAGCCUAAUCGAGUUUAAAAUAUAUAAAUUUAUAUUUUAUAUAAUUUUAAACAAGAGACAAAAUAGAAUCUCAUACUAAUAAAUAAAAAACUAAUAUAUAUAUAUAUAUAAUCAUGUGUUAUAAGAAAAUUUGCAUCCCUACUUCUUUGUGUUAUUCUAUAAUCAUGUGGCCCCAUAAUCUUCAACUUGCAAAAUUUCGUUGGUUGGAUAUUCCUAUGUUCCUCUUCUUCGGUUUUAGAGUUUUUUGUUUUUUUACUUUACUGUCAUUUUGCUAUUUCGAAGAGUAGAGUUUCAUCUUUACUUAGCAAAGUUGCAGCACAGGUAGAGAACUUCCAGUUUGAUAGAAUAGUUUCGUCUAUUUGACGCCCUUAGCACAUUAGAAAAGAAAAGAUAAUAAACUAUUAAUGUUUUAAAAUUAUCACGACAGCUUAAAUUGCAAUACUUUUGCACAAAAAUUUAUCUUUUUGCCAAAAACAUUACAAUGAGCCCACUUCUUAUUUGCUGCCCAAAUAGACAAACACUAGAAGCGAGCAGCCAUGGUGUGAUUUGAUCGAAAAUUUUCAAGAGCACCAAGGAGUUAGAAUUAUUUGGACAUUGAAAGUUAGCCUCAUUGAAGUUUAAUGACAAGGAUUCAAGCAAAUGCAUACACCGAAAACUCCAUGACAUUCUCCAGAAAAAGAACCUUCACUCUUGCAGGCUUUAACGCAGUCUGAGUGAAAGACGCAAGGGCCAUGAAAAGAGCCUGAUAGCUUUCCGCACAGUUGGGCGGCUUCAACUUCAACACUUAUAUCACCUAUGAGUGACAAACAGCCAAAAUGUGAAUUAUAUACACGUUCAUGCAUGGGAGAAAUGGACCAGGAUAGAGCCUGUUUAAAAGUAGAGAAUAUUCAUCCUUGCAUUAUGCCCUCAGAGUACACUUUUUUUUUUUUGGCUGGAGCGAUAACAUUUUUAUAACCUAAUUUAUCCUAUUCUACGGGAACGGGAGACUAAAGAUGUUGUGUAAGAGGUUUGCCGGUAUACAGAUUUGAAAUAGACUUGAAAUAGAUACAGUCUUCAAAAUACACUUGAAAAUUGAAAUAGAUACUUUUGCACGUCCAAAUGUGUGUACAGAAGGAAUAUCAAAAUGUUCACGAAUUAAUUAAGUUUCUUUUUUAUUGAUCUACAUAAAAGAGAUGGACCCUUAUUUGUACGUACAUCGACUUUUGGACUUAUAAAUGUUCAAAUAUGAAUGAACUGCCAUACAGAUUUGGAAAAAAAUAUUCAAGAAUGAUUAGUUGAUCAAGAAGGAAAUCCAACUCGGUUUGCUAAUUUAUUAAAUCAAAACAGAAAAAAAAUAAUUUUGCUACAAUCAAAUACUUACUGGAAAGGAAAAGAAAGAGCAAGACGAUGGCGCCAAUGAAUUUCCUCAUAUCCAUCCUAUACUUCAGUUGCUUCUCCUUCUUAUUUGCCUUUCAAGUUCAACUUUGUUAGUUUCUUUGGUGCAAAUGGGCUUUUCUUAUAGACAUGGAUUGGCAACGGUGAAAGGAUCAUUGAAGCAUUAAUUAUUGAUACUUAUAAUAUUUAAUAUGCGUAUGCCAACUUUCAUACUAAAAUAGGACAAAAUACAACUUUACCCCCUUGAAAUUUAGUGAUUUUUCACAUAAUUUCCUAUAGUUUCAAAAACUAUAUAUAACUCCUUCAUAUUUGGAUUAAAGUGUCAAAGUGACGGAAAUGAUCUUUUGUAAUGGAACUCAUGAAAAUGUCAAAAUUACCCUUGUUUAAAAAUUAAAAUGGGUGAAAUGACUAAAAUAUAUAAAUAUUUUAUGCAUUACACUCUAACUUCAAAGGCCUCUAAAAUAGGCUGAUGGUUUGGAGCACUAAUCGACUUCAACUUCAACAAUGAUAUCAAAUAGAUGUAUAUACACGUUCAUGCAAGGGAGAAAUGGACAAUUUAAAAGUAGAGAAUAUUCAUCUUUCCAUUUUUUUUUCAUCUUUCCAUUAUGUCUUCAAAAUACACCUGAAAUUGAUCCUCUUGUACAUCCAAAUAUGUGUGCAGACGGAAUAUUAAAAUGUUCUCAAAUUAAUUGUCUUCUACAUUGAUCUACAUAAAAGAGAUGGAUCCUUUUUGGUACAUUUAAUUUACUUUUGAAGUUAUAAAUGUUGAAACAUAGUAAAUAAAGUGCCACACAAAUUUGGAGAAGAUAUUCAAGAAUGAUUAGUUGAUUAAAAAUGAAAUCCAAUUUCGUAUGCUUAUUUUUCGUGCAAAACAGAAAACCAUGUAUAUUUUUGCUAGAACCAGAUACUUACAGGAAACGAAAAGAAAGAGCAAGACAAUGGCUGUGUAUAUAUUUAUAGGUACUAAAAUAUGUCACCAUCCUUUCAUUCGUGGUAAUCUAUUCCAGCAUGAAUGGGAAAUGGAGACAAAUAUGCAGUUCGUAGUUGGUUUUAGGCGGUCCACUACUGUUGCUGUCUUGAUUCUAUAUCUCAAUCGGCAGAUUCUUUCCUCUUUAUCAGAUUUCAUUUGGGAGUUUGCAUCAAUUUGUUAAAAUAAAGCUAGAUUAGCUCUAAAGAAAUACAUUGAAUUCAUUUUGCGAAUGCCAUGUGCUCCUUUAAAACUUGAAACACGUCUUAGACUGUAUACAUAAUUUUUGUGCUUAUUUAUUAGUACAUCCUAAGCUUAUAUGGAAAGUAUGUUGCUCAAAUAUACAUUUCUUGAAUUUAAACUUCUAGUUGAUCUUGGCCAACGAGAAGUAAUUAGUGAUAAUUCAUUGUCAAACUUCUGUGACUUCUAAGUCAGUUUAACUUCUGCAAAUUUUGACUUUUUUUCAAGUUUUAAACCAUUGAAAUGAUAAGAAACCUCAAUGACGGGAUUUUUAUAUCAAUGCAAGUUUAUUUCAGAAUUUUACCUGUUGGACUGCAAGUAUACAGGCCACUUAGUAGUUUUGGGCAAAUAUCAGGUCGAUCCCACAAGGAGCAAUGUCUACAAGUACUAGGUCCUUAUUUUCUCUAUUAUUUAGACUUAUAAUGAAUUUGAGCAGAGAAAUAAUAUUGCUACUGUCUACAAUUCUGAAUUAAUAAAUUGAAAGAUACAAAUGGAGAUUUUUCACUAAAAACUUGAAUCUAGGGAUAUAGAUUCCACUAAUGGCAUAAACAACACAAAUGAAUAGAUUUACCUCUUGUUAUUAAUCUCGUUAAACCAGGGAUUUAUUUCCAAUAUUACCAAAUUUCAUUCUCAUGAUAAAAUGGCCUAGACCAAUCCAGUUUUCCCUAUUUUCAUGGUGAAAUACUAGUUCUACUCUGUUUUCCUUCAUGAAAUACUAGAUAAUCCACUUAAGUGUAUCUCUAUUUUCGUGAACAUACAACUCAAGCUCUACUCAUGUUUUUCCAUUGUUACUACCAAUUCUCAUUGACUAAUAACAACUAUAAGCAUACUAUUGGUGAUCAAACAACAAGAAGUAAUUACAACUGCACAAAUAGACAAGUUAAUACAAGAUACAACUAGUGUAAAUCACAUUCAAUUCAUAUCAUUUAGCCAUAAGUUUCAUCUACUCCCUAGACAAAGAAGUUUAGCUACUCGUGAAUGAUAUAACAAUCAAAUUCACAAGUUUAUAAAUGCAAAACAUCAUAAAGUACAAGUACAAGAAAGAUAAAGGAAAGCUUAGCCAAGUAAUGGUGAAGCCCUCAAAUUUCUGCUAUGUCUUGUACAAGAUGAUUACAAGUUAAGUCUCCAAGUGCUUCCUCAAGAACUUCUAGCUAGAGAGAAAAAGAAAUGUUACAAGAAGAAAAACUAGCUACGUGUGGUCCUCUCCUGGCUUCUCCUUCCUUUUCUGCAUAAAAGGUGGUAGAAAGGCACUUUCUUCUCCUUCAUGAUUCCAACCACUUAGAUUUUGUAAAGAAAGUCAAAAGAAAUGUUAUUUUGACUUGUCAAUAACUCAUUUUGUCUUUCCUUUUGUUGCAGAAGCAUGUGCCACCGAAUUUUCUCACCCAAGAUAGCUGGAAAGUUAUGUGAAAAGCGAGAAAAAAUGGUUGUGCCACUUGCAGAAGAAAGAGGCAGAUUCGAGCCUCGGAUCCGAGGGGUGAAGAAUGAUCCGAGCUCGGAUCAUUGCUGAUCCGAGGCCUUUCUCUUAUGGAUCCGAGCUCGGAUCGUAUGACCUCGGAUGCACUGCUCUCAGAUCUCCAUUUGUUCACACGAAUCCGAGCUCGGAUCUGUGCUGGUUAAUUUCCAAUUUUUUACUUCUUUCCUUUUUCUUCAAUUUUGCUCCUAGUAUCCUUGUACUUUAUCCUCCAGAUGAUCCUUACAUUUUUCGUCAUCUCGUGCAUAAAUUCCAUAUAUCAAUACCCUUCACAAUUUCACAAAAUUAACAUGUUAAUCCACUCAUUUAUCAAAUUUUGAACACUUAAACAAUAUUUAAGCAAUUAUCACCAAAAAGAGUUCAAAUAUAGCUUUAAUCUCCUCAAAACAUACCAAAAGUUCAUGCCAAACUUGUACAAAAUGUAUGUUAAAUAUUCACUUAUCACUCAACACCAAUCAUGUAAUUGGCACACCAACUAAAAUCUACCAUGUUACUGAAUACAGAAAAAGAACAUGAAGGGUAUUCAUCUAGAAUGAAGAAGGGGAAACUGAGGAGAAGAGAUUGCUAAAGAACAAAGCACAGGUAGAGAAGACAGAUGGGCGGCGACAACGAUCAACGUUAGUUAUGCUUAAUAUACUUUUCUUAUAAGUUAUAUGCCCUCUAAUAAAUUGUGUUACAUAUAGCCAUAUCAAUGGGUUGGAUCUUACCUAAAUCUAACUCAGAUGCAAUAUACUUGAGUAGAGUUUAUAUUUAAUUUGUCAAAUUCAAAUAUUACCCAAAUCCAAACCCUUUAAGAGAGUCAUGCGUCUGGCAGGAUUUGGUUUCUAUGAUCCAGACUCAAAUCCACAUCCAAAUCAGAUCCUACCUAAAUCCAUGUUUAAAUAAUAUAUAUAUCAGUAAAUUUAUAAAAUAAUCUAAUAUUCUAUGUUCAAUGCAAACCUUUUUAGAAAAAGGAGAAAAAUAAAAGAAACAGAUGAAGAUUAGUUUUAAUUCUUUAAAAAUAAAUAGUUUUAGCUUAUUAAUUCUUUCAUUGAAUUCAUAAUAUUGCAUUCAACAUCUAGAAUGUUAAUUUUAUUAUUUGAAAAAUAAAAAUUGGAUGGUAUUUAUAUUAUUUUUGAACUCUAUAUAUUAUCAAAAUAUUUUUACUUUCCUUGUUCAAAAAAAAUCCACCAAUGCACAUUGAAUACUCAAACCCAUAAGGGUCUAGGUUUGGGUUUACCUUUUAAGACCCAUAACGGUUUGGAUCUAGAUAUGAGUAUAACUAAAUUUAAUAAAUUUGGAUUUAAAUUAAAGGAAUCCAAUUCAGACUUUAUCCACUGACAUGACUAAUUACAUAUGCCAUUUUGUCAUUAUCAUCAAAAGAACUAAAACUUGUAAGAAAAUCUUUUUCGUGUUUGCAAAUCACAUAACUAAAAAUAAACAAAAAAGAAACAUUUGCGUUUAGUGGCGCAAAAAUGGAAAUUAUGAGAGGGUAACAGAAUCUUAUGAGAAACAAAAAGAAAAAAGAUUGCCAUGAAGGUGCCAUGCUAUUUCCUCAUACAUCUCCAUCCACAAGAUUCUUUGGUAUUGAUCUUGGUUGAAGCUUCAAUUUUGUUUAUGCAGACCAGAAUUUUGGACAGAGCAACAUUGCCAGAGGGGGCCGGUAUAUGAUUCUCAAGUAGCAUUUUAUAAGCAUUGCAGGUGUAAUUGAAAAAAAGAGAGGAAGCAUUGUGUUUGGAUAGAACAUUAUUUUUAAAAAAAUUAGAAUAAUUACUGUAACACUUUUUAUAAUGUGAUUUAUUUGUAUAAAAAGGUGGAUAAAAAAUUUAAUUGACAAAUGUAUAUUGAUGUUAACAAAUUAUAUUCUACAAAUGAUUCAUUCAUUUUUGGCUUUGACAACAAAAUUAGCCAGGGAGGGAGGUACGUCAUUUGAGGGUUACUAGUUGGUUCCCUAUGAAAUUUUGCAAACAUGCUCCAUAAUCAUCUUGUUGUCACGUAUACCUUCUUUCUUUAAAAAAAGGAAUAAUUACUUUUUUUUUUUUUUUUUUUUUUGUAAACCUUCUCAAGAAUGCAAUCUGAACGUUGAUUGGCAGUGGCUGGAGGAUUGCAGUGGACAAGAAAGUAUUUUUGCCUUUCACAAGAUUAAAAAAAAAAAAAGAUUCAGAUGAGUGUCAAUACCAAUUCUUACCUGGUAUUCCAAAGGUUACAGGUAUAAGCGUGAACUACGCAAUAUAUCAAGAAGCUGAUAUAUAUCCUCCCAUGAUAGCUUUGUAUACUCUAGAAAGCCAAAGUUUUAAGGAGUCCAUUACCUCAAAACCAUCUCGAAACUCGAGUGUAGCAGUCUAUAUAGAUGAGGCGGUUGAGUUGAUAGACCUUUUAGUCAUUUGACAAGCCGAAGAUGCAAAACAAGUUCAUGAAGCCUAAGUUAGUAACUAUCCAUAUCAUAAUCGUAUUGCACACGUUCAUAUGUAUAGUUUAAAAAAAUUAUAUUUUGAAAACUAUUCAUGCUUUUUACAUAAGCUUAUAAAAUAUGAAAUGAAUUUUUGGCGUAUUAUCUUCAAAUGUUUUUUAAAAGUUUAAAUUUUGUGUAAUAAUAAUGACAUAUCUUUCAAGUUAUAUAUAUAUAUAAUAAUAAUAAUAACACUUGCAUACAUUAUAAUUUUUAUAAAUUUAUACAUGUAAAUAUAUUUGAGUAAUAAAGCUUCAAUAAAUUUAAUGCUUGAUACACAAAGAGAGCUAAAAGUGGCAUUAAUAUAUCAUAAUCUUUGAAAUUGUAAUAAUUUUACCUAUAUUUUUAGUUUUAUAAAUUUCAAAUAUAGUCGAACUAUUGAUGUACGAAUUCAUUUGCGUAAUUUUAUCGAACUUACAUUUUUACGCUGAACUUUUCAUCAUGCUUUUGAAAAAAAUGCAUAUAAUAUAGAUAAAUAUUAUAUUUUGUAAUAUACCCAUCGUGCAUUUUUACUGUCAAAACAGAUGCAGUGGAACGGAAGAACAAACAAGAACAAGCAAGAACAAAUUUGGGGGAAAUCAAAUUUUAUUAGGGUUCAGAAUGUAUCAGAUAUUUUGUACAGAAUGGAUAUGAGGUAUAUAUAUACAACCAAAUAACCAAAACGGAUUGGACCCAAAAAUUAGGCCCAAAAACCGAGACCCAAACUAAAACGGGUACGAUAUCUAAUGUAUACCGUAAGUUUCGGGGGCCCCCACUGGGGGCAAUGCUGCCCCCCAGGCCCCCCAGCCAGGGCGCGUCUAAGAUCAGUUCAGCAGAGGUCGAAGAUCUGGUUCAAGGCAUUUCAACAUUUACUAACUAUGCAUGCAGCUAUUAGGGAAUUUAAAAUUCAUUUCCAUUUGAUCAAAUGUGGUUGACAAUUCAGCAGCAUACGGCCGUUUGGUAAUAUUUCAUUCAAAGUGCGAAAGUGCCUUUAAAAAUGUAUCGAUUUUGUAAGUAAGUUGACUUGAUUUAAUUUGCUUGACUUGGAAUUGCUUCAAUUUGAGCCUAUUCAAACUUAACGUGUUAUUUAUCAAGUUGAACUCAAAUGAGUUUUUAUCGAGUUGACGUUAAAUCGAGCAUGAGUAGUUUGAUCUUUUUACCUGUAAAAUUUAAUUUUAUACUAAUCUAAUCAAAAUUGAGCCAAGUUUGAGCAUUAACAAAAUACCAAAUAUUGUUCAAACUUGAUUUAAUUAGUUGAUGAAUCAAACUUGAAUAAGCUCUUAUCGAGUCGAACUGAGUAUUGACUAGCUCUAUUCAUCUUCUAGUCCUAAUUCGCAUUUUCCUUGGUUGUCUGAGUUUUUUGUUUUUCCUUGAUUAUUUAUAUCUACUUCUUGAAUUGAAUUUCUUCAUUUUAUAACAUUAGCAACAGUACAAUUGCUAGAUGCCAUUUUUGUUUCUUUUCUUCCUUUAUGACUCAAUUCUGCAACCAAUUUCAAGGACAAUUUAUUGAUAAUGGGAUUGAUGCAAGGAAAUUUUCGUUUCUAUAUUAUUGUUGUUUUGCAAUUUUGGAGGAGCAGAGUUUCAUUUUCGCUUAGCAAAGAGAAGUGGAGGAGUUUUGGUUUGAUAGAAUGGUUUUUACAAUUUUGGGCACCAAAUAAGCACAUUAAACAAGGAAAAUGGAUCAACUCUUAGGUGGCGUUUGGUAAAAGGGUUUAGGAACGGGGAAUUGGAAUAAAUCUCAUGAUUCAUGUUUGGUUCACCACUAUCGGAAUUGAAAUUUUGGAAUGAUUUCUAAAAAUUUAGCAUUCCACCAUUCCUUAAAAAGUUGGUGGGUUUUGUCCAAAACCCAAGUGUGAUUCCCAAAUCUUAUAAUUACAUAAUAUUUAGUAUAAUUAAUAUUUAUAAUAUAUAUGUAUAUUUAUAAAUGUAUAUUAUAUGUGCAUAUAUACAUGUAUAUAAUAUUAAUAAAUUAUAUAUUUAUAUUUAUAUUUAUUAUUUUUAAAAUAAUAACAUUUAAUAAUAACUAUAUUUAAUAUGUAAUAUACAUUAUAUUUAUAUAAAAUAUUAGUAUAAUUAACAUUUAUAUAUUAUAUAAUUAUAUAUUUAUAUUUAUAUUAUAAAAUUUGUAUAAUUAUAAUUAAUUAUAUAUAAUAUUUAAUUUAAUUCGUUACAAACUUAUAAUAAUUAUAUAUUAUAAUUAUUUAGUUAAAUAUAAUUAUAUUUAUAAUAUAUAUGUAUAUUUAUAAAUGUGUAUUAUAUGUGCAUAUAAUUAUAAUAUAUACAUGUAUAUAAUAUUAAUAAAUUAUAUAAUUAUAAUUAUUAUUAUUAUUUUAAAUAUAAUAAUAUAUAAUAAUAACUAUAUUUAAUAUGUAAUAUAUAUUAUAUUUAUAAAAAAUAUUAGUAUAAUUAAUAUUUGUAUAUAUUACAUAAUUAUAAUUAUAUAUUUAUAUUAUAACAUUUGUAUAUUUAUAUUUAAUUAUAUAUAAUAUUUAAUUUAAUUAGUUACAAACUUAUAAUAAUAAUAUUAUUAGUUAUAUGUAUUAUAUAAUGUAUAUUAAUCUAUGUAAUAUAAUUGAUAUUAUCAAUUAUAAUAAUAAUUAUACAUGUUUACUAAUAUAAAUUAUUAAUUAGUUAUACUAAUUUUACUAAUACAUUUAUACUAAUAUAUUUAAUUAGUGAAAAUUUCUUAUAUCCCAUUUACAAAGAGUCAACAAACCAAACAUCAACUAUUGUAAUGAUAUACAUUCCUGGCACUGAAUCAAACAAAUGUAUUGUAAUGAUUGAUUCCAUUCCAAAUCUAGGAUGAAUGACUACGAAUCUGAAUCCGAUUCCAACAUGCGAACCAAACGCCAUCUUAAUGUUUUAAAAUUAUCACCGACCUCCUAAACUGUAAUGCCUUUGAAAACGAAAUAUAUCCUCAUGCCAAAAAUGUAAAAUUGGACCCACUUCUUAUUUGGUGUCCAAAUAGACAAACCCUAGAAUAGAGCAACAAAGGUGCCAAUUGAUCAAAAUUUUUAAUAAAAGCAAAGAGAUAGAAUUAUUUGGACAUCGAAAGUUGUCCUAAUUGAUGUUUUAACACCUGAAGCAAAUGCAUUGGCCGAAUAAUGGACGGUUACAUUCUCCGUCAUUAAUUCCUUCUAAGUUGCACCUAUUAGGGCAACUAUCGUCAAAAGAGAUGCAAGCGCCAUCAUAAAAGGCUGAUGGUUUGGGGCACCCUUUGGCUUCAACUUCAACAAUGAUAUCACCUAUCAGUGACAAAAAAUCAAAAUGUGAAUUAGAAUAUAUGUGUAUAGACGUUCGUGCGAGGGAGAAAUGGACCAGGAUAGUGUCUAUUUAGAAGUAGAGAAUAUUCUUCCUUCAAUUACGUCUUCAAAAUACACUUGAAAUUGAUUCUUUUGCACAUCCAAAUAUGUGUCCAGAUUGAAUAUCAAUAUGUUCACAAAAUAAUUAAAUUUCGUCUAUAUCGAUCUGCAUAAAAGAGAUGGAUCCUUAUUGGUACAUCGACUUUUGAAGUUAUAAAUGUUCAAAUAUGAAUAAAAUGCCGCACAAAUAUGGAGAAAAUAUUCAAGAGUGAUUAAUUGAUCAAAAAUGAAAUCCAACUUGGUAAGCUUAUUUUUAAUGCAAGCCAGAAAAACUAAUUUUGGCAAGCAAUAUUGUUAAAGCAAUUAUCUUUGUUUCAAAGCGCAUUUUAGUCAAAUGCUAAGAUUACUCUUAAUCAAUCAACUUUAUAUAUGUUCAUUGAUUUUUCUAGGAUCCAUUAUGCAUUAAUUACUCCUCUUUUCUAUCUCUAAUUAAGUAUUUUAUGAUAGGGUCUCUUACUCUUCUUUCUAUUAUUUUCAUUUCUCUCUUUCUCACCCACACACUAAUAGAUAUAUUCUUUUAUAAUUAAAUAACAUAGUUUUUGCUUUAAUCUUUUCUUGUAUCUUUUUGGUUCUAUGCACUCUUGCUUUUUAACUUAAAUUACAUUGUGUUUGAAAAAAGAAUCUUUGAGUAAAAUUUGAAAAAUAAAAAAUAUAAGAGCAUGUAGAAUUAAUAUAUGAGAAAUUAUUAAAGUCAAGGCCAAUUUAGUAAUUAAUGUGAAAAUAAUUGAUGAAUUAAUGUGAGAGACAGAGAGAGAUAGAGAAAAAUGUGAGUGAGUAGGAAAAAAUUUUAAUUGGAGAGAGAAGAAGAAGAGUAAUUAGUAUAUAAUGAAUUUUAAAAAAUCAAUAAAAAUAUAUGAAAUUGACUGAUUGAGGGUAAUCUUGGCGAUUGAGGAAACUUUACUCUAACAGAAGCAUUAUUACCCUAAAAAUAUCGCCAGCCAAUAAUUUUGCUACAAUCAAAUACUUACUGGGAAAGAAAAGAAAGAGCAAGACGAUGGCACCAAUAAUAAAUUUCCUCAUAUCCAUCUUCAACUUCAAAUGCUUUCUUCUUCUUAUUUGCCCUUCAACUUCAACUUUAUUUGUUUGUUUGUUUGGUGCAAAUGGGCUCUUCUUACAUAUAUAGAUUGGCAAAGGCGGAGGAAUCAUUGAAUCAUUAAUUAUUGAUGCUAAUAUUUGACAUGCAUAUGUAAAAAAUAUGUCAUCAUCCGGUGUGAAGAUAUGGGUUAGGUGGUGUAGGGAGAGAAAGCGUAAUCUCUCGAUUCUAAACUCAAAUCCUCCCAUUUACACCAUUAAAAAAAAACAUUCAAAAAUUGUCAUCAUCAUUCUGUUUGUGGUGACCUUAUCGAUUUACCCGGAAUGAAUGGGAAAUGGAGACGAAUUUUCUUCGCUGGAUAACUGCCUAGACGUUACGUGUUGUAGAGAAUAAGGUUAGGGCAAAGAAUCUUCCACUUUUGCUGUCUUUACUCUUGAGCUCAAUCGGCAGAUUUUUUACUCUUUAUCAGACGUGAACGGCCGGCUAAUUUAAAUACUUUUCCGAUACUUUCUUGUAAUUAGAGACCCUUUUGCUUUGUAUUCAUUUAUGUUGUUUUUUGGUGGGAUAGGCCCAGGUUGAGAUUGAAGGACAACAUAAAUAAACCCGAAAAGAAAAUAGAAAAGAAAACCCAAAUAUAAAAGAGAGGAUGAUUUCUCCCAUAGUCGAUAUGCUUCAGUCGGAGCCUUUGCAAUGGAUAGAGUUAAUCAUACCAAUGGAGUUUGGUAUCACACGUAAAUGCAAUUAAAAUCAUUAGUUCAAUGAUGAGUUGAUAAGGUUAUGGUCAUUUUCUUCCGUUCUGCUUUUAUUAUGCUCAUUUAAAGCUCAAUGUCUACAAAAUGUAUAAGGCUAGAACUCCAAAAAUUGCAAUGGCUAUUAUGCUCAUUUAGGUGCUUCUUAAUUGUUACUGUUUUGCAGAUCAAUUCAUUGUCUAAUUUGGUGUUCUGAUGUUAUUAAGUUUUUUAAACGAUUUAAUCUCCACAUAUCAUUGUAGUUUAAAGUUGUGUUUUUAAACUUGGAUCGGAUCGGUCGGUUCGACCGGUUAAUCGGAUUUUACCGAGUUUUUAUACAUCCGAUUUUUUAAAGUAAUUCGGACCGAACAUUUGGUCAGUUCUCGGUUCGAUCGACCGGUUGAACAGAGAACUGACCAAAUGUUCGGUCCGAAUUACUUUAAAAAAUCGGAUGUAUAAAAACUCGGUAAAAUCCGAUAAAAAAUCGGGUUUGACCAGCAAAUCGGAUGAACCGGUUUGAUGUCAAAGUUUUUUUUUUUUUUUUGAAAAGCUCAAAGCAUUUUCAAUUUUAUGUUUUGGUCCCUAGGUUGUUAAAAAUUAUUAAUAUAUCUCAAAUAUUUCAUACUUUAUAAAUGUUAUCCUAAAGUUUGGUGUUAUUUUUCAAUUAAAUCCAUAAUUUUAAUUCUAAACUUGUUAAUGUUCAUUUAAUAAUAUAAAUUGCUACUUGAUCAUUCUAAUUUCUUUGUAUUUUCUUAUUAAAUAUAUUUGAAACACCAAAUAUAUAUAUAUAUGAAUAUACACUUAUUAACAUUAACAUGCUCUUAAGUAUUUUACAUACAAUAUUUUAAUUUUUAAAUAAUUUUUAUUUAUGACGUCAUCCGGUUCAAUCCCGAUCGAAUCCAGUCGAAUUCAUUGAUCCCUGACCCUAAGCUCGACCGAGUCGAUGCCUGGUCCAAGUCUGAAAACAUAGGUUUAAAGGUUGUUGACAGUGUGAAUUUGUUGUCAUUUUUUGUUAUGAUUAUUAUUGCUUUUGGCUUUUUUCGAUUAGAUAACACUUGAGUUAGUUUGAUUUAAAAUUGAUUUUGUCGCCUUAUAGAAUACAUUGGUGUACACAGAAAUCCUUGGGAAGAGAAUAGUAUUGUCUGAAGAAGGAAAACAAUUCAUGAAAAUCGUCCAGAGAGAGAAAGAUAUGCAGCCAUGUCUUUAGAAAAAAAGCUGGAACUCAGUGCAAAGAAACGUCAAAAGUAUAUCGCAAAAAAGCACAAAAGGAUUAUGGCCGGAAAUUGUGACAUGGUACUCCUAUUGAUGAAUCUUGGUCUGACUCUUCUAUUUCCAAAGUUUCUUUUGUGGUGAAAAUCAACAUGUAGCCAAUCAUCAAAGUGCUUUUAUUAUCUAUCAAACUUUACUUUAAUUUUGUGUAUUCCUUGUGCACUUUAGUUACAGGGCAAGAACUUGAACACUACUUCCAAUAUAGGAGGAAUGGCCGAAGUAGUAAUUUCAACGUUAGUAAUUUUAAUUCAAUAUACCUGUGGAAUAGGUUGAGCUCCUCCUUCUUGGAGAUUUCUUCUGCAAAUCUGCUAAAGAAAGCAUGUGGUUCCAUAUUUUGAUUUAUAUACCAAAUAAGGUCUCUUUUGACGCUUAAAUUGCAGUUCAUUGUGUACUAUCAUCACUAGACUUAAUAUUUUCCAGGUUUUGCUGCAUCAUCAACUACUCUCAUAAUCCUUCUUUUUUCGAUGUUUCAGAAUAUCCAGGUAUGCCAGAAAAAAGCAAGAUUUUGAUCAUUGGAGGAAUUGGAUACAUUGGCAAGCUUAUCGUUGAGGCAUCCCGCCUUUAUUUUGAUUAGAGGUACCACAAUUUCUGAACCUGUUUGGGGAAAUUACCCAUCGAAAGCUUCAAGAACUUGGGUAAUACUUUGGUACUUUUCAUGAGUAAUCUUGAAUUCUUUUCACCUACCAAUGUUUUAUUGCUUUCAGGUUGAUCAUGUUCUGACAGGAUCAAAGGGCUAAGGUUCCUCUAUAUUGUGGAUUCACAGCUGAUGGUUGAAUAGCAUUUUAUAGUAAUGUUGACUUGCUUAAAGGUUCUUGUGGUAAGUCUCAAUGAUGCUUCUACUACACAGCUUUUGGAGAACUCAGAAGUUAUGAGAUCCAAAGAAUAAGAUUAUUGUAAAUUCCAACUAAAGAGGAAGAAAUAUGGAGGGAUAAGCUGAUGGCCAAAGGGCCUGCAGUUCUUGCGGCCACAAAAAAGUGAAAAGGAGUAGAGAGGAAGAGAGUAAUUUUUAGGACCAUGUAAUGGGUGUCAAACCACCAAAAUUAAAAUUUAUACUAUAAAACUUAAAUUCAAAUAUAGGGGUGAGUAGGGUUGUCUUCUUAGGGACUUGAUGAUUUAUUUCCUUCUAAAGCAAGAAUUAAAUGGGAAGUUUGGAAAAUUAAAAUAAAUAAUCAACGUAAAUAAAAACAAUUAAAUAGAAGAGAGUUAAAAUUAAAUUAAUAACAAGCAACCUCUAUCUAAGGAAAAAAUUUCGGAAGUGGUUCAUACAACUGCAUAUUGAUGCAAUAAUUAUUUCAUCUAUUCGUUAACAAAUAGGUUAUAAUUGUCAAAUAAGCAAUGACAAUCAAUUUUUCCUAAUAUACCUAUUAACUAUUUUUCUAAUCAAGAAAUAACCCUAGAUAUGCUCGUAAGAUUUAACUUCUUGAUUGUAUUAAAAACUAGAAAAGACCUAUUCUAAUAAAUAAAUAGGCUACCAGGGUUUAUUUAAAUUAAAUCAUAUGUUUUCCUAACAUGAAACCAAUCAAACUAGUUAUCACUAAUUUAAGAUAAGUAAACAAUUACGGAUUUAACUGUCUCAACCAGUAAUAGGUUAAGGUUGAAUUAAAUAUCAAGCUGUUGAUAUUCAAACAACAAAAUAAUCAUGAGAAAUUAAAUCAGAAAACAUAUGAAAGCAAUAUAUAAAAACAAUUUGAUCUCACAGUUAUAGUUGAACCAAAUCUUUUAUCAUCCCUUGACUAGAAUAAGAAAUUUAGUUGCUCCUCAUUGAGAAAACCCAAGCAAAAAUAUAUGAAUUCUUGACAAUGUUAUUGUUUCACAUGAAUAUUUGCAUUACAUGAAAAACAAAAAAUAAGGACGGAGUAGUUUUAUGGCCGUGAAAUUGGACAUGUCAAAGGCCUACGAUAGAGUAGAGUGGAAAUUCCUUGUUUCCAUGAUGGACAAUAUGGGCUUCUAUACUGUCUGGAGAAAGUGGAUAAUGAGCUGCAUUUCUUCAGUAACAUACUCGUUCAGUAUCAAUGGAGUACCAAAAGAGUUUGUAAUCCCAGAAAGAGGAAUAAGGCAAGGUGAUCCCCUAUCAUCCUAUAUAUUCCUAUUAUGUUCAGAAGGUUUCUCCAACUUAUUGAAGCAGACAGAAGUGGACAAAAGGAUCUCAGGGAUGAAAAUAAGCAGGAAUGGACCAAGUAUGACUCACCUAUUUUUUGCAGAUGACUCCCUAAUCUUCUGUAAAGCUAAUAGAGAGGAAGCCAGUGAUCUUAUUCAAAUUCUGAGGAAAUACGAGAGAGGUUCAGGUCAAUCCAUAAACCUGGAAAAAUCCACAGUUUUUUUCAGUAAGAAUGUGAGUCAACAGAAGAAAGUGGAAGUGAGCCAAAGUCUAGGCACAAUUCAGGUUGCAACUCAAGGAAAAUAUCUGGGGCUUCCUAUGGUGAUAACAAGAUCUAAAGAGCAAGUUUUUGGCUACAUGAAGGACAGUGUCAGAAAUAGAAUGAAUAGCUGGAAGAACAACACUACAACAAAAAUGGCCUUUAGCGGCAUUUAAAGGUGUCAGUAUAGAUAAUCUAACAUGACACUUUAUCUAUCCUCACACCUAGGGCGAGUGUUGUCCCUUCCAAUGUGGGGAUAGCCUCAAAUCUUUAGCAGCAUUCAAAUGUGUCAGGAAAACCAUGCUGCUAUAGCUUUCCCUCUGCCAACAAAAACUUUUUUUUGUGAUAAUCGAAAGUGUCAGUAUAGCAUUAGAACAUUAGUAGCAGAUCAGUAGGAUAUCCAAUUUAUGAAGGCAUCUUGAGUUGUCUUAAUAUAUGGCUUUAAGGACACGUAGCCAUGUGAAUUUACACUGCUUUGGACGACAUGCCCAUUUGUCAUUAGUGUUUUUCGAAGCUAAGCUAUGCUGACACUUUUAAUUGCCAGGAAUUUUUUCCCUAUUUUUUUUUAUAUGGAAGCAACCUGCAAUUAGUCCUCCCCGCUGUACAUUCCAUCAACCAGAAUCCCAAGGGACUUGUAAAAUUAACCCAAAGAGCAGAAUGCAUAUAGCAAUUUAAAAGAAGAAGUCGAUACUCAAAUAUAAUUCAUUGGAUUAAAAGUCGGUAAUAAGUACAAACAUAGCAAGUACUAAAAUCCCAAACAAGUACUAAAACAUUCUCAUGUACACAAACUUGAAAUACUCUCUUGUGCACAAACUAAAAGAUUCUCAUCCCUAACAAGUUGAAAGAACUAACAGUAGCUUCCAAACUUUCCAAUGAAAUGAGAGCUUUCAGUCAUAACCACGAAGUCCCCAUCAAUCUUCAGCUGGUUUCACCUGUGCACAAAGUUUGUGGGGGAUUAUUAGAUCAUCGUACUAACAAGAGCUUUCCAGAAAAGCCACUAUGUAUUUGCUAAAGAUCAAAUUAAAUUGUCGUGAUUCCAGAGGCAAAGCCAUUCAUGAUAAGACCUAAGAGCCACGAUGUAAAGACAUGAACCCCUUUUCCACUACUUUGGGUUAGGCCAUGAGCCAUGUCAUUUUGUUUGAUUCAAAGUUAGGAACCAUUUUAAGGAUUUAAAUUUGUUCAAAUUUUCUGUAUUCGACGAAAUAAUCACUUCCAGGGGGAAAUUUUGCAACCCACUCACACUUAAGAUCAAUUUGCUAUCAAUGAAAAACUAAACCUUGUAUCCACUCAGUAACAUAAAGUCAACUGCUAACAAAACUAGUUACAUGCAUUUCAUAUCGGCAAUUACAGGACAGAUCAAUGCAUAAAGUUAAAAUCUUUCAAAAUAAGUAUUAGCAACUCAAUGCCCAUAAAGCCAAUACAUAAAUGUGCAGCAGUAGCUGAUCAUGAAGCUUUAGUUGCAUUUACUUCUUAAAUAUUAGCUAGAGAAAAGAUCAUAACGUUUCCCACCUGGAAGCUUUAAUUUCAUCUAUUAGUUACCACCUCAUAGUUGCCAACAACCAUAAUCACACCACUCAUCCUCUUAUACCAAUCACAAAGUCCAAUAAACCCAAUCUCCUGCCCCCUGACCCUCCUCUUCCCUACCCCAAAAAAAAAAAAGAAAAGAAAA